AUGAUCGCGGAUGGCUUCUUCCAACUUAUGCCUUCUCUCAAAGUUUUGAAGAUGUCAAACUGCUGGAAUUUGAAAUUUCUUGUUGGGAUGUCAAAGUUGGGUUCGCUACAGCUUCUUGAUAUUUCACAGAACGCCAUAGAAGAGUUACCAGAAGAGUUGAAGUUGUUGAUAAAUCUGACAUGUUUGAAUUUGAGGGGGACAGGCCAAUUAAAUAAAAUUCCACGGCAACUAAUAUCAAAUUUUUCAAGGUUACGUGGGUUAAGGAAGUUCAUAACGUGUGCAAGCAGUCAACUCAAGGUUAGCACGUGGGAGAAUUUGCUGAGCUAAAGUUAGUUAAAUAAGCAAUGCCAGCUCAACAAAUUCAGUCAAGGUUUACUGAGAUUUUAUUCCUAUUGUUUUCUUUUCUGUUAACAAUGUAUAAAGGUGUUCUUUGUACUCAUUUGAUCAUUAAGAAAAAAAGAAAUAAAAUCUAGAAUAUUCUCUGAAGUUUUCUCAGUAAAACAGAGUAAAUUUUCUCAGUAACUAAACAGUAUAUAUCAGUGGAAUUUACGUUUUAUAACAUGGUAUCAGAGCCAAACAGUAACCAGCAAACAAUGAUGAGAAAUCUAGCAAUCAAUAAUACACAUCAACACACUCAAAUCAAUUUCUCUUUCACGAAUCCAAUUAAACUAGAUCGAUCAAACUACCUGCUCUGGCGUUCACAAGUUCUGGCUUCGAUUAGAGGUAAUCGACUAGAAGACUUCAUAACUAGAAUCAAAUCAACAUCUGAAGAAAAUAUUUUGUUAGCUGGAGUUGAUGGAUCUACACAACAAAUUGAGAAUCCUGAGUAUCAGAUCUGGAGAUCACAAGAUCAAAUUCUUCUUGGUUGGCUACUGUCAACCUUAAGUGAAGGUAUCCUUAGUCUUGUUAUUAACUGUAAAAGCUCAUUUUCUUCAGCUCAGAUAUGAACUGAACACUCUUAAAAAGGAGUCUCUUAGUAUUGAAGAUUAUUGUGUUAAAAUGAAAGCAAUAGCUGAUAAGCUUGCUAGUGCUGGUAGCUCGAUAACAGAAAAGGAUCUAAUGCUAACCAUACUCAAUGGAUUAGGAUCAGGAUAUAGUGAUAUUGCUACUUUCAUAACUGGUUCACGAAUGGAAUUUGAUGAUACUUAUGCAUUAUUGCUCACUCAUGAAACUAGGUUGGAACAAGAUCAUGAUGAUAAGAGUAUGUUCAAUGCUAACUAUGCAUAUACUAAUGCAUUUCAUCCUAAGGUUUAUUAUGCACAGCCUAGAGGAAAUUUUAAGAGAGGAGGUUAUUAUGGUGGUAGGAAUGUUUUCUCUGGUAGAGGGAAUAUGAAUUUUUCUCCAAGAAUGUUUAAUGGAGGUUUUAGAAGUGGUUUUGGUAGAGGAUAUUAUGUUGGUAAUCCUUUUAAUGGUAAUAAUUCUUUAGCACCAAAGAAUUCAUCAUCUGUUAUCAAGAAUGGAUCACAGAGAACUUUUAAUAACAAUCCAGGGGACUCAGUAUGUCAGAUUUGUCUCAAACUUGGUCAUACUGCUGAUAUUUGUUGGCAUAGAUUUGUUGAAGAUUAUGUGCCAAUGCCAAGGGGUUUUUAGAAAAGGAAAAGCACCCAGAGCAGCAUCACUACUAGAAAAAUAGCUUUUACUGAUACUUGUCUUGUGAUACUUUUCUAAAAAGUAUCAGCAAUUACAUAUAUUUGGGCCAUUUUCCGUGUUUAACAAACAAGUGUCACAAAUUACUGAUUCUAUGAUGUUUGUAUAUUAAACAUCAGAGAUCGUCGACACUAAGGUAUCAGAAACAACAAAAAAAAAUAAAAAAUCUAUUUUUGUUUUAGUUGCGACUCGAACCUAGGACCUCAAAACUAAAGUGCUUUAUGUUCAACCAACAAACCACCAUGCCAAAUUCAUAAAUUAGUUUGUGUUGAACAUGUUGAAAUUAUCAAAUUAAAUUAAUAUAGAAAACAAAAAUAUAAAAGCAAAAGAAAAAAACCCUAAAUCAACAUAAACAUAAAAUUCCCUAACUCCUAAAUCCAUGGCCAGCCGCCUCAUCUCUCUGGCGAUAUCCUUCUUCUUCUUCAUACCUCUAAAACUUCGAGCCCUAAAAUUCAAGGGUCCAUGUCAUAAGAAAUCCUACCACCACUGCUCAAAUUCUAACACCCAUACCAUACGAAACCCUAAUGAUCUACAUUAUGCAAAACAUCCACCAUGCCGCUAUGCCACAAGCUCACAAGACCCGCUUUAGAUCUCCACAUUUUGCUCACCCUACUCGAGUGCACACCGCCCCUCUCGCUUCGACUUCUCGGGAUUUCUUGUUAGCUGAAGUUUUGUUUUCUUCCGCUAAUUCGAUCUUCGAAAGGUCUCGGAGCUCCAAGUAACUAAGUAAGCUCGGUUUUCUUCUAUUCUCUCAGAUACUUGCUUACACAUUCCUUUUUUUUUCGUGUUAAAUUUUGUUGUUUCGUUGUGUUAUAUGGAUCGAUGAGAGUCACAGACUUUGACGAGACAAUGACGAUAUUGUUUUGGAGUUUCGUUUCGUAGAUCUGUGAUAGAGUCUCCUUUUUCAGAUAUUUCCUUUCAUUUACCAUAUUUGCACAAUUUGUUUUGUCAUUAAAUUAUUUGCGUUUGAAUGUACAAUUUUUGUUUUCGUUUUAUAUUUUCAAAUACUGUUUCUUGGAGCGAAUUAGUGGAGGAAUUUUUGGUUGAAGCAGAGGAUGGAUAACUUUUGUAUUUUGAACUUUGUAUGUUAUUUAUUAUUUGAACUUGAAGCUAAAAGGUGACCAAAUUUUCCAAAGGUUAGGGUUUGGUUGGCUUAUGUGAAAAUGCCGAACGAAUGUGUAUUAUUCAUACUCCAAUAUUGUAGGUGCGUCAAUGCACCUCCUUGCGAUGGUUGCAGCAACGAAACUGUAGGUCAAGGUUUGGGUACCCCAUUUCCUUCAAAGAUCCAAUAUGGAGCAACUCGAGUCGAGCUUUUUCGGUCAAUUUAAACAAAACCUUUACUCCUAAUUUAUUGUCUUUUGCUUUCUGUUUGUACCUGUAGGAGUUCAUAUUUUGUAAUGUUCCGUAAGUGUCCAAUAACUGGUUAAAUUAUGACUUAUGCUAGGUGAAGAUUUUGUGUUACAAUCCCCUUCAAUAGGCAAUCACUCUUUUUGUAAAUGUUCAUGGGUAAUUGCUUUGCCUUUGCUUCUGUUGUACUUUUGUUUUUGUGGGGUUUUAGUUAAUGGAUGUUGAGUUAUAUUUCAAUCAGUUUGAUUUCUCUGCAUAUUUUUCAUAUUUUAGUAUUAGAAGAGGUAUUUAAUCAAAUGAAGACAAAAACAAUUGUCGGCCAACCAACAAACUCACUUUAGUUUGUUGUGAAAUGAUUUUCUCUCUCUCUCUCGAUUUUCACUGGUUCUGUGGUUUUUUCCCUUCCACAAUGUGAUUUAGUUCUGUUCUAUUUAUGGAUGUUACCAACAUUUUAGCUUUUAAGAAACAGACAAAAAGAUUCUGAAGUUUGUUUCUUGUUUCUUACUCUGAAUUUCCAAGGCAUCUUAUUUGGAGAAAUGCAUUCUGAAUGGAGAAAUUUCUCCAAAUUUAUGAGAUGUGGUUCUGUCUUGCUGAAUGAACAUUGUAUUUCCUUCAAUGGUUUGCGAGCCAUUAAGUUAUUUGAGCAAACAAAAUUAGCAAUAUGGAAUCCUGUUUCUACAGGAUUAUAGUUGUAGGACUCUAGAAUUUAGUCUAGGUAAUGUUUUUACCAUUGUAAAAAGUAUCUGACAUUGGUGAUGUUUAAGCAUAUGUGUCAUUUCUUUUGGGCUUCACUUUGGAUCCUUUUUUUCUUUUUUUACAAACAAUGGAUGGUUAAAACCUAAGAGACUGAUUGAUUUUUGUUUUAAAUCCAGUGGUUAUGCCUUGUAAACUUUUGAGUUGUAUCAAUUUCUUUUCCUGGCCUAACUUGGCUAAAUUUAUGCUAUAUAAUUGAAUUCUACAAAUUUUGGCUAUGUAUGAUGUAAAGGUCAUAAGUCUUGUAUCUUCAUUUGUUCACCACAGGCUUGAUACUUCACAACUACCAUAAGUUAUGUCAUGCCAUGUCUUCUUUAGCAAUAUUGUGUGGCUUUGAGUAGUAUUAAUGUUUUUGUUUGUUAAUUCACGACUUAAUGGAACCAUUUUCCUUAUAAUCGAGAACCUUCGUGCGAGUGUUGUGGAGAAAUCUUAUGAUUCAUGUGUAGGUGUGUUUGCUUAAUGUGAUGACUUUUAUUAUGUGUUGUAGUUCUUGUGUCUAUAAGAGGAACCUUUGCUCCUAUGUCUAUUUAUCUCCGACUUUCAGUUUAGGCGUAAAUAGGUUACUCUUCUUUCUUUCUCAUUUUUUAAUUUCUAUGUUCUCCUAUGUCUAUUUACAUGGACUGCUUUGCUGCUUCUCUGCAGUGAAAACAACCCUGGUAAUUUACAGGAGCUUUUUUCACUUCAGAACAAUAGCAAGACAUCCCCUGCAGAUUUUUUAUUGAUUUUGCAUAGAUUGGUUUGUUGCUUUGGGUUGGAAUGCUACUGGAUAUAUGUCAGAAUUAUAGCGCUAUUGGAAGAUGGUGGGUUGUUGCAUAUGAGUUGGAGUGUUCCUGGGUAUGUAGCUAGAAUUAGAGUGCUGUUGGAAGAUGGUAUUGCUACUGGAAGUUUUGCUCAAAAACUUGUCGUUGGAAUACUUGCAUUAAUUUUUGGAAAUUUUAUUGGGUAACUUGGCUAGGUGGCUGAAAUUUUAAUUGCUUUUGUGUAUUGAAGCAUUUGGAUUGUGUAAUAUAUAUUGAUAAUAUUUAAAUGUUAUGAAAGGUUUUGAUAAAUAAAUUGAUUUUUGUUCUUAUUUCUCACAGCCUUUUAAUUCUAUCAACAAAUCAAUGGGUAAUGUCAUUUUGUAUAAUUAUUUUUUUAAAUAAUACAUAAAGUAGUGAUACUAUAGUAACAGUAUCACAAAUACUAAUAUAGUAUUGUAAUAUUUUGAUACCAUGGUGUUAUGAUUUUAAUGAUACUAUAGUAAUAGUAAUUACUGACACCACUUACAAGUGUCACUAUUUUUCUGACUGCCAGAUUACUGACACAAUUAGCAAGUGUCACUAAAAGUAAUUACUGACACUAUUCUAAUGUCAGUAAAGACCAUUUUUCUAGUAGUGCAUAUCUGUCAAAUUUUGAUGGUUCUGUUUCAAAUCCAAACUUUGAAGAUUAUGAGAACUUCAACUAUAUGCCUUCAGCUUAUAAUCCUAUGUCUGGCAAUAGCUAUUAUUCUGGUUUUGAUGCUUGUACUCCUGGAGUAGCAUUUAUGGCUAACUUUGAAGGAGUUGCUAAUGAUGAAUGGUACUUGGAUAGUGGGGCAACUCACCAUCUGGACAACAACAUGGAGAGCUUGCAGAUCAGUGAGGAGUUUAAGGGUACUGAUUAGCUCAUAAUUGGUAAUGGUCAAGGUUUGUUUAUCACUAAUGUUGAUUUUGCAUUUCUGUCACAAAGAGCAUCAAAUUACUUAUCUGCACAUUCCAGAAUAGCACUUAAGGAUAUAUUACUUGUUCCAUCAAUUACCAAAAAUCUACUAAGCAUUUCCAAAUUGACAUCUGAUAACCCUAUAACUGUUGAAUUUUGUGGGAAUGUUUGUUUUGUGAAGGACAUGAAUAGACAAGUUCUGCUGCAGGGACUUGCCGAAAAAGGUCUAUACAAGCUGCUGCUGAGUUCUAAUUCCUCUUCUUCAUUUCCUUCAUCUCAUCUUUGUCAUACUCAACUAAAUAAUUAUGUCUCAAUGUUGUCUAGCUUUCAAAGCUUUGAUAAUCCUUCUAAAGUUUGUUAUCAUUCUGUUUUCAAUAAAUGCAAAACCAAAUAUGAUGUAAUGACAUUGUUACAUAGAAAAUUUGGUCAUCCAAGUUCAAUGAUUCUGAUGCAUUUAGCUAAGUCUUGCAAGCAAUUAAAAAUCUCUCAAAAAGAUAUUCUAUCUUGUACAAAUUCUUUGUGUGAGGCAUGUCAGUUAGGCAAAGUUCACAGGCAAAGUUUUCCAGCAACUGAAACAAAAACAAAAGGAGUAUUAGAACUGAUUCAUACUGAUAUCUAGGGACCUUCACCCACUGUAUCUAGAAAUGGAUACAAGUAUUACAUUAGUUUUGUGGAUGAUUACACUAGAUACACCUGGAUCUAUCCACUUAAGCUUAAAUCACAAGCAUUUGAAGUUUUCAAACUGUUCAAGGCACAAGUUGAAAAUUAGUUUAAUACCAAGAUUAAGGAAUUACAAUCUGAUCUGGGGGAGAGAGUUUAGAGUAUUCAGUAAUUUCCUAAGUCAAAAUGGAAUCAAGUUUAGACAUUCAUGCCCUUAUACUCAUCACCAGAAUGGUCUUGUUGAGAAGAAACAAAGACACAUAAUUGAAUUAGCAUUAACACUCUUAGCUCAAGCUAAUCUCCCUUUUCAGUUUUGGUGGAAAGCUGUUCACACAGCAACAUAUCAUAUUAAUAGGUUACCAACACCUGUUCUUAAGCUUUUAUCUCCUUAUGAAAAGCUCUUUAAACACAAACCAGAUUAUUCAUUUCAUAAGUGCUUUGGUUGCCUAUGUUAUCCAUAUAUGAGAGAUUUAAAUAAACACAAAUUUGAUUUUCACACCACCAAAUGCAUCUUCAUUGGCUAUAGUCAUUCUUACAAGGGUUAUAAGUGUUUAACAAGCUCAGGAAAAAUUCAUAUCCUAAGGCAUGUUAUCUUUGAUGAAAAUACAUUCCCUUACUUAACAAACAAAGUCUUUCAUUUAUCCGAGAACAGUUCAAAUUCUGAAAUAUCAGUGUCAAACUUUUCCCAGUAACAAAUUUAUCAUCUCUCCACAUUAUCCUUAACUGACAGCAGCUUGGAAGAUCUUCAAUCAGCAAGUUCAGAAAGCAAUGAACAAGUACCUUCUGUUUCUGCACACACAAAUAAUCUGCAUCAACAAGAGCAUUCUCAAGAGCAUUCCUCAUCAACUAUACCAUUAUCACCAACACAACAACAAACUGAAUCACAACCACAAAAUGAACCACAUCUAUCUACUUCCUAGCACAUAAAUCAAACUCAAACUAGAAACCUUCCUUCACAACCAUCACAUUCAAUGGUAACCAGAUCGAAAAUAUGGAAUCUUCAAGCCAAAAGUUUACAUAACCACCUUAACCAACAAAGAACCCAGUACUGUUCAAGAAGCUCUAAGUGAUCAGAAUUGGCAUCAAGCUCUGAAAGAUGAAUAUGAAGCUUUGCUUAGGAAUGAAACAUGGUCACUAGUACCAUUUUCAGAGGUAUACAAGGUUGUUGACAGUAAAGGGGUUUUCAGAAUUAAACAAAACACAGAUGAGAGUGUAGCUAAAUACAAAGCCAGGUUAGUUGCAAAGGGUUUCCAGCAAACUAAUGGUGUUGACUACUUUGAGACCUUUAGUCUUGUGGUAAAGGCCUGCACAGUAAGAAUUAUUUUUAGUUUGGCUGUGAUGAACAAGUGGAAAAUAAGGCAAGUGGAUGUCAAUAAUGCAUUCUUAAAUGGAGAAUUGACUGAAGAUGUUUACAUGUAUAAGCCAGAAGGUUUCAUUGAUGAGAAAAAGUCCAGUUAUGUAUGCAAGUUGAAGAAAGCCCUGUAUGGCUUAAAACAAGCUCCUAGAGCUUGGUAUGAUAAGUUGAAAAACCGUCUGAUAAGUUGAAAAACUGUUUGAUAAGUAAUUGGGGUUUUCAAAAUUCCAGAGCUGAUACUUCUCUCUUCUUCAAAGAGAUUCAAGGCUCAAUAAUACUUGUGCUUAUAUAUGUGAAUGAUAUACUUAUUACAGGGCCUGACAUUGGAGAAUUAGAGAAGUUUAUCUUAGAAUUCAGUAAGACAUUUGCUUUAAAGGAUCUAGGAAUACUAUCAUACUUUCUUGGGAUAGAAGUCUCUUAUGCUGAUGGUUGUAUGUACUUAUCUCAGAGAAAGUAUAUUAAUGAUCUCUUGUCUAAAGCUGAUAUGUUGAACUGUAAAGGGUGUGAUACUCCCAUAGCGAUUGGACUGAAACUUCAAAAGGAGGUUAAAGGUUGUUUAGGUCAGUAUGUUGAGGAUGCAACCAGUUACAGAAGUUUGGUUGGAGGCUUGCAAUAUCUGGUGUUAACCAGACCAGAGAUAGCCUUUGCUGUGCACAAACUCAGUCAAUAUGUGACAGCUCCAACAUUGCAGCACAUAAUGGCCUGUAAACGAGUUCUAAGAUACCUAAAGGAAACCAUGGAUUAUGGUCUAAAGUUUUCAGCUGGUGGAGAAAUGGAAAUCACAGGUUUUAUAAAUGCAGAUUGGGCAUGCGAUAUUGAUGACAGAAAAUCUAUAGGUGCAUACUGUAUCUAUUUUGGAAAUAAUCUGGUGUCAUGGUCAUCUAAGAAGUAGUCUGUGGUGAUAAGGUCUAGUGCAGAAAGCGAAUACAGAGCUUUGGCUUCUGCAAGUGUAGAAAUAGCAUGGAUUCAAUCUUUGUUCAGUGAGCUAAAUAUAAGAUGUGUCUCAGUACUUAUCAUCUGGUGUGACAACAUGAGUGCAACAAAGUUAAGAUAAAAAUCUAGUCUACCAUUCACGUACCAAACACAUUGAACUGGAUAUGCAUUUUGUUAGAGAUAAGGUUUUAGCAGAGGAGCUGAAAAUUAACUUCAUUCAAAGUGAAGAACAGAUAGCCGAUGUCCUAACAAAACCUCUCACAUUCAUUCAUUUUAAUUAUUUCAUAAACAAACUCAAUGUGCAGCCAUGCCCCUUGAGUUUGAGGAGGGCUGUUAAGGAAGCUCAUAACGUGUACAAGCAGUCAGCUCAAGGUUAGCACGUGGGAGAAUUUGCUGAGCUAAAGUUAGUUAAGUAAGCGAUGUCAGCUCAGCAAAUUCAGUCAAGGUUUACUGAGAUUUUAUUCAUAUUGUUUUCUUUUCUAUUAACAAUGUAUAAAGGCAUGCUUUGUACUCAUUUGAUCAAUAAGAAAAGAAGAAAUAAAAUCCAGAAUAUUCUCUGAAGUUUUCUCAGUAAAACAGAGUAAAUUUUCUUAGUAACCAAACAGUACAGAUCAGUGGAAUUUACGUUUUAUAACAACGUGUGUUGAGAAUGUUGGGUAUUGGCCAAUUCAAUUUUCAUGAAGCACCAGAAGACAACGCUUUAUUUGGUGGGGGUGAAGUUUUGAUACAGGUAUUGCUCGGUUUGAAAUAUUUAGAGGUAUUGGAGUUGACCUUGGGAAGUUAUCAUGCUCUCCAAAUUCUUUUGAGCUCAAAUCAGUCAAAAAGUUGUAUUCGAUCUCUUCUCCUCCACAAGUUUAGAGGUACAACGCCGAUUAUUGAUGCUACGGCUUUCGCAGAGCUAAACCACCUCAACGAAUUAUUUAUUAAUAAUAGUAUUGAGUUGAUAGAAUUGAAGAUUGAUUAUACAGAGAUAGUACAAAAAAGGCAGGAACCUUUUGUUUUCCGCAGCCUUCACCGUGUUACCAUAUUUAGGGCCCGUUUGGGAGUGAGGUGCUGUAGCUUUUAAGCUGCAGUUGCUGUGGAGUAAAAGCUAUAGAUGUGGAAUGGAAGUUGAUGGUGUUUGGUAAAAGUGUUGUAGCUUUUAAGCUGCAACUACUGAUGGUGUUUGGUAGAGUGGAUGAAUAUUUGUAAUAAUUAAUUUUAAAUAACAUUAUUUUUAAUUGUUAACAAAUCAAUUAUUUUUCAUUCUUCAAAUUAUUAUAUUGACAUACAAUUACGAUUUAUUCCGUUACAAAUUAAAUUAAUAUUUAAUAAAUCAAAUUUAUUUUUUUGCACAAGUUGUAAUAAAUAAUUUAUAAAACACAUCAUGGGGUCAAUUAUAAAUAAUUUUAAAUAACUAUUAUUGACAAUGCCAACCGGGCAGUGUACAUGAUAUGCUUCUCCAAAUUGCUUCGGUUUGUACCUGAUAUGAUUAAUCGAGUAUUAUUUACAAUACCAAAUAUAUCUAAUAAAAAUCAUACAACAAAACAAAAUAAAAUUAAAAUGUAAUUAAUUACAAAAUUUGUAUAAAUAUUUCUAUUGUUGUGCCUCCAUUAAACUUGCAGCAAUGCCAUCUUUCAAGAUUAUUAUAUCUUGAGUUGUGCUAUCAAUUGUUUCAUAACUUUCUUCAUGAGAUGCAAUAUGUUCGCUAAUACUAUGACUUGGUUCAUCCGUCAUUUCAUCAAAAUGAUCAUUAUUUUGUGAAUAUCUUCUGAUAUAAUUAUGCAAGGCCAUGGUAGCAAUAACUAUUUUCACCUGCUUCUUGAAUGGAUAGCUUGGCAUACUUCGUAAAAUCUUCCAUGUAUUCUUCCAAACCCCAAAAGUACGCUCAAUAACACUUCUCAAGGAAGAGUGCUUGUAGUUGAACAAUUCUUUAUAACCCAUUGGUUGGCUACCUCUACGAAAUUCAGGAAGGUGAUAUCUUUCACCCUUAUAUGGUCCUAAGUACCCACAUAACUCCGGAUAUCCUGCAUCUACUAAAUAAUAUUUUCCUAAAAAUAAAAAGAAAAAUACAAAAUAAAUAAAACAAUCUAAUCAAUUGAAUAUGUAUAUAUAAAAGAAAAAUUAGAAACACAAACCUGGAGGAGGGUUUGGAAAAUUGAAUGCAGGAUUCGUAAUAGUUGUUUGAAAUACCCUUGCAUCAUGGGCACUGCCUUCCCAACCAGCCACUGCAAAUAUGAAUUGCAUAUCAAAGCUACAUACAGCCAUUACAAAUUCUUUUCCCACCAUUCCUCACUUGCAUCAACUGUCCUCAACCUAUGAUUCCACCCUAAACCAGUUUCUUUGCCAAUCAAAUUCUUCCACAAUUUCCAAUCAGUUCUAAGAGAAUCCCAUUUAUUUUUCAUUUGAGUUCUGUUGUAAUCUAAUCCAGUUUCUUUAGUGAACUCCUUAAUCAAAUUUUCAUAUCCUUGGGAAGUCAAAUGAGUCCCUGGACGAUGUCCGGCAUCCACCUCUUUAACGCAUAAGUCACAAAAUACAUCUAAAGUCUGGGGGUUCCAAGUAGCCUUACUAGUUGAGCUAUUAGACACAAUUUCAUACACUUAAACCUAGGAAAAAAAAUAUUUCUUUAUCAAACAACAAUACAGAAAAAAUAAGAAUAUAGAAGUUAAGAAAAUUACUAGAAUCUUGUUAUGGAUGGUGGAAGGAAAAAUAAUUCGAUAUUAAAAAAUUAAAAAAAAAGACAAACCAGAACAAGUUACCUUAGUUGUUACUUUACUUGAAAUACUUUUCCAGCAAACAAUAAUGAUCAUAGCCCACGAAUAGAAACAAUUACAAGCAAGUCAAUAAAGCAACAAAAGACAAACCAGACUAGGAAACAAAGAAAUUCAACUAAACAAUCAUUAGGUACAAACUGCAAUUGCAUUUAGCCUCACAAUCUCAAAUUUGCUACGUGCUUUGAUAUUUCCUGUACUAUUCUUUUGGCCCAUCCUAAGACAUAUACAAUUGCAAUUGCAACACUUUCUCCCUUCUUUUUUCUGUAAUUCGUAUGGCGACUUACGUAUAUAUAACCUAAUUAAUUGAAUUAAAUUGAUGAUGGGUUAGAAAAUCAUUAGGCUUAUUAAUUAUACGCGUCAAAAGAAUGGUCGGCCAAUAAUUAGGUGUCCUGCUUAUACUCCUGUAAUUUAGUCAUUCUCUAGUAAAUAUUAUUAAAUAAAAAGAAACACAAACAAUUAAGCUUAUUGGUAACUGAACUGGUGCCCAAAAAUAACAAGAGCAGGAGAAAGCAAACACACCCAAGAAUUUGACAAACUUCAACUUGAAAUCCAGAAUUUGACAAACUUCCUUUUGUUUACUGAAGCAUAGUAUUUCAUAACGAAGGCAUGCAUUUUAUUAUUUAAUGUCUUGUAGAACUGGAAACUCAAAUCAAACAGGGGUUGUGCAUGUUUAUAAAAAGCAACUACAAAAAUAAAAACUACAAUAAAAACAAUGGUUACAAGCAAAUAAAUCACGCAUGACCCAUCACCCAUCAAUUUAUUCUAACAAAAGCCCCAACAUUUUAUGAAUGAAAAGGAAGAAAAUGAAAAAUUGCUUGAAAUAGAGUAAAGGAGUACUCAAAAAUGAACAACAGAUAGAGGAAAAGGCACCACUGACAGAGGCGUAUGAGAGUGGCCGGUGUCGGAAUCGCGCCGAUGAGAAUUUCGGUGUCAGAAUCGCAUCAAUUGGAACUCCCACAGUCGGAAUCGUGCUGAUGAGAAUGGGUGUUUAGGGUUUGUUUAAAAAAAUCGAUUUGAAAUAGAACUCCCACUGACAUGACUGUUUGAUAAAAUGAAAAUGGAAUAAUAUAUAAAGUUAAUUUAGUAAUUAAACUUGCAGCUGGGAAAAAAAAUCUGUCAAGUUGUCAAAACACAACUAUAAGUGGUACCAAACACUUUGGUGGCUGGGCUGCUCACCACACUCCCAAACGGGACCUUAGUUGCGGUAAAUUGAAAGAUGUGACAUUCCUCGUUUUUGCUCCAAACCUCAAGUCUCUUUGGCUAUUCGAUUGCGGUGCUAUGGAAGAAAUAAUCAGCGUCGGAAAAUUUGCUGAGACUCCUGAGAUGAUGGGACAUAUAAUCCCUUUUGAAAAUCUCCAAAUGCUUAAUUUAAUGGAAUUGCCGGAGUUGAAGAGAAUUUUCUGGAAGCCAUUGCCUUUCACUCAUCUGAAAGAAAUAUCUGUGGGUUAUUGCCGUAAUCUUAAAAAGCUUCCACUCGAUUCCAACAGUGCAAAAGAGCGUAAAUUUGUAAUUCGUGGAGAAGAAGACUGGUGGAACCGACUUCAAUGGGAGGAUGAAGCCACUCAAAUUGCUUUUCGUUCCUGUUUCCAACCUCGUUCCUGAGCGGUGGUCGCAAAAUUUGAUUUCUGGUGAGUGCGUUUUUGUUAACGCUUAUGUUUUUAUUCCAGUGUGUUUUUCUUCUGUCUUCUGCAAAUCACGAUUAAAUGUUGAAUAAUAUGGAAUCAAUGCUUUAUAAAUUUUCCGGCGUGGCCAUUUCCUUUUCCCUUUUUUUUUUUGGGGGGGGGGGGGGGGCGUGGUUCGAUUGAUGCUCUGGCUUUUUACUUUUUGUCUUCGAAUUUUGCUCUGUUUUUCAAAUUGAUGCUUGAAUAGUUGAAUUCAAUUAAUGCUCACAUAAAUUUGUUUAGUUGCCGUAAAACGGUAAAAGGAUAUAAUUAGAUUGAAAUUCGCACUUCUAGAAUGAAUAGAAUUACAAUAGAGAAAAUAUUAAGUAUACAAGCCCUCUUUACAGAAAAUCAAAUGAAAAUAAAAUUUUUUGGAUAUUUGAUUUUCUAUGGUCUACUGUAUACGCUUUAUAAAUUCCUCUGCUUUAACGAUAACCAAAUCCUUUUUUCAAGGAUUUUUAUUUGGGGUAUUGAUAAUAGUCCACCAACAUAGUGAACGCUUGGAUGCUGCUUAAGGAUCUCUAAUCAGUAGCUGGAAGCAAAUGAGAAGGCGGUCGCUACUUUGUACAAAGCCAUGCAGCAAUUGCUAUUCAUUUUCAAACAAAGUUGAGAUGUUAUUUUCAGAUUUGGUUCCAGAUUUUGUAUGAAUAUCGUUGUUCCAUUGAGUUGUAUAUGAAUUCAAAUGUAAAAUAUUCUUUGGUUUUCAAUUUUGAAUUCAAUUUCUUUUUCUUAAGCAUGUUGUGCAGAAAUGAUUUCUACUAAAUCAUUUUUGAUAAACUAUUUAAAUUAAACAACUGGAAUAAGAACUGUAAGGAUUUAUCGUAAGCAGACUAAUAUGAUAAUUCUGAAACUAUCAUUUUUUUUUUUUCAAUUUGUUGCAGGGAAAGCCAAAUUUUGCGUUUUUCAGUUUUAUCUGAUAUGGGCUUUAUUUCCUCUACACUAGCUACCUAAAGAUUUAUCAAAUUGCUUCUCUUCCCUGCUUCAAAUAUCUUCAUGGCAUCAUAGGAAAAGAGAGUUUGGGUUGUAUUUAUUAUAGUUUUUAUUUUUUUUUUUGUUAUAAGCAAAUUUAUUUUAAAUACUUUAGUAGUAACAGUUUUUAUUGAAUAAUAAUGAGGGAUGAUUAUUAUAGGUUCAAAUAGUUGUUAGAACAUUAUAAAAAGUCUAUUUACUAUCAAAUGUUUUAAAUUGAUGCAACGUGAUAAUUGUCUCAUAUAAUUUUUUUAUAAUAUAUAUGUCCCAUAAUCUUAACAUGAAUAAAUGAAUUUCAACGGUUAAAUUUGACACGAUUAUUAAAUAGAUCAUAUCUAUAUUAAUUCGAUUUAAAAUCUGGUCACAUUUGGAUUUAGAGUUUCUAACAUGAUAACUUGUUUUAUGACAUGAUUUACUAAUCAAUUAAUAGUAAAUCAAAUGUCAGUCAAUUAAAUAUGUGGUACAUUUGUCAUAUUUUAAAAAUUAUUUAUUUAUAUUUGAAAUGAAUUUGGUGCNNNNNNNNNNNNNNNNNNNNNNNNNNNNNNNNNNNNNNNNNNNNNNNNNNNNNNNNNNNNNNNNNNNNNNNNNNNNNNNNNNNNNNNNNNNNNNNNNNNNAUAAGACGACGCGACACAAAUACAACCAACAAGUCAACCCAAAUUGCCACCUUUUACUAUCUUCUUUGUGUUAUUUCUCUAAAAAUUUGUGCCUUCUCUUACACUUUUAAAUCUGAAGUGUUUGAACUGGAGUACACAAAUUAUCUCUCUACAAUUCCAAAACAACCAAUUUGUUACUUGGUAAAUCUUAAUCAAUGGCAGGAAGCAAUUGAGAAGGCGGUCGCUACUGUGUACAAAGCCAUGCAGUAUUUGCUAUUCAUCUUAAUAAUUGUUAAGCUUUGGUAAAAUUUUCAAACAUAGUUGACAUCAUGUUGUUUUGAGAUUUGGUUCAUGAUUUUGUAUGAAUAUCGUUGUUCCGUUUGAGUUGGAUGUGAAUUGAAACCUAAAUAUUCUUUAUUUUUCAAUUUUGAAUUCAAUUUCUUUUUCUCAAGCAUGUUAUGCAGAAAUGAUUUUUACGAAAUCAUUUUUGAUGAAUUAUUUAAAUUAAACAAUUGGAAUAAGAAUUGUAACGAUUUAUCAUAAGCAUGCUAAUAUGAUAAGUUGUUUUACGAACGAUUAAUUAAUCAAUUAAUAUUAGAUUAUAUAUUAGUCAAUUAGAUAUGUGUUACAUUUGUCAUAUUCUAAAAACUAUUUAUUUAUAUUUCAAAUAAAUUUGACCAGAGGUUACGUAGGUAAUACUACAUAAUUUCUAAAGGAAUGUAAAAAUUUAAAGUUUUAUUAAAUAGGUGACUCAAUAAUAAAUGGAUUUCUGCAAGAAUUGAGAUUCUUGAGAUAAUUAUUACAUAGGGAAUUUUGGUUAGUUCAAUUUUGACAUGGUAAGAAGACGACACGGCGCAGAAAACCCAAAUUGCCACUUCUACUAGUAAUAAAAGAUACCUGUUUGAAAAGUAAUUAUAAACUAUCUUCUUUGUGUUAUUUCUCAAAACUUUUGUGGCACAAUGUUAUUUCCCUGGAGAAAAGUACGAAAUACCCCCUUUCACGUCGGCAGAAGCAAAGCAAAGCUAUGAGCUAUCUCUGUAUACUUGAAACGCCAUUGCUAAACGAUUCUCGAUGAUGGGUGCCACUGGGUCAGUGUUGUCUCUGAUUUACAUGAUUUAUUAGUUGUCCAGAUGCCAGAGAAACCAUGGUGGCAUUGAAGUUGCCCAGAUGGUUAGUUUUCUGAUCAUUUUUUUAUUCAAUUAUUUAUUUUUUUAGAAAAAUGUGAGAAAUAUGUAGAAAUGUUGACAGCUAUGAUUUUGAAACUUUGCCUAAAAUUGUUAUCAUCACUUAUUUAAAGAGAAAUCCUAGAAACAUGAAAUGAUUAGUAGCCUAAUUCAAAAUUAGACGUGAUUACAACAAGAGAAAAGUGGAGAGAACUUGAUAAUCGAGUGCAUUUAGAAUUUAAUUUUUCUUUUAGCUGCCGAUCAUUAAAUUUUCGAUUUCAGAAAAUUAUACCUAGAAUAUUUCAAGGAUAUACUAUGAAGAUUAUGAAGGUUUGAUUACAUGUCACUAUCAAUUGCCCCAAUCAUUUGUAGUAAAUUAAUUGAUCAUUUUGAUGCAAAUGAUUCCCUACUAAAAAAUUUAAGUCAAGGCUGAAUUGCAUAGUAGUUAGUCGCGCUUGCACUUCAAAUUAAGUAUUGUAUUUUCUGCCUGGUUUGGUUGAUUAAAGUGUGUGCAUUUGCUUUUGAACGUUGUAGUAUAGAAAUCGAAACAUUUGUUUUUCGCUAAGCCCAGAAGCAAAGUUCUUUGUACUGUACUCAUCACUUCUCUUCAUUCUCUUUGUUGAAAUUUUUUCCAAACAGCGGUUUCUUCGAAUUUGUGCCUUCUCUUCCACUUUUAAAUCUAUCAAAGAACCGUUACCUGAGAAGAUUGCCAUCAGGAAUUUCUAAAUUGAUUUCACUAUAAUACCUUAAUCUUUCAGAUACUCCCGUCACUGGGUUGCCAAAAGUGCUAAAAGCCUUCGUAAAUCCUACGUGUUUGAACUGGAGUACAAAUGUUAUCUCUCCACAAUUCCAAAACAACUGAUUUGUUACUUUUCAAUGCUACACGUUCUGCGAAUGUUCAGUUGUGGUUAUCUUGCUGAAAUACCAGAAAAUAGGGUUCUAGUUGGCGGUAGUGGAUUCUUGGUUGGGGAAUUGCUUAGUUUAAAACAUUUAGAUGUAUUAAGCAUCACCUUAAAAGGUUUUUCUUCUGUCCAAAAACUUAUGAGCUCCCAACAGUUUCAAAGCUGUACAAAAUGUUUGGAGCUUAUAGACUGUGAUGAUUCAAAGUCGUUUGCCUUGGCAGAGUUGAAGCAUCUUGAAAAACUAGGUUUUUCAAAUUGUGGAAAUUUGGAAGAUAAAUUACAUUUAUAAACUGUGGAUCGCCCUUUAUAAGUAUUAGGCUUAUCCCAUACUCGAGCAAUGUGGAAUACCUUUAUAAGCAUUAAGCCUCUCCCAUACAAUUUCUGUACAUGACUUUAAAAGUGGUUGAUGACCCGUUUUGUAAUAUCAUAGAGGGAUCAUGAAUUCCUUUUCUUUUCUGUGGCUAGGCAACACUUUUGGGCCAAAGUAAGGAAAUCUAUUUUAGGUAAUGUAAAAACCAGUUGUGGGAUGUAAUAGUUUAUUAUGCACUGACAACAACUUUUUGUAUAAUUGUCAGUUUAAUGAAUACGAGAGGAACUCUGUUGGCAAAUUCAUCCAUGAUAGAUGCUAAAAUUAUACCAGUUGCCUUAACUAAUUUUUCUCAACACUGGUAUUGAACAGGAAAAUGAAUAUGCAAUUUGUAUUUGUGCCAUUGUGGAGAAUUUGGAUAUUCUUAGUUUUAGUAACAAGGAGAGUAUUUGCCUCAUCUUUAAACAAUGAAUCUUUGAGAAAUGAGGACUGGGUGAUUGGCAGUGUCAGAGUGUCUUCAUGUAAAUGUUCAUUUAUUUGUAUUUUGAACUAUUAUUAGAAUCUUUAUAUGCCAAAUUAGUAAUACAAAUGUUCAGAUGAUUUUUCCUGGUGAUCAUUUCAUUCUUGAGAGCCAUGUACAAUACUAGGAUACCAGAGAAACCAAGGUAGCAUUGAAGUUGCCCCAGUGGCUAGUUUUCCGAUCAUUUUUUAUUCAAAUUUUUAUGUUUCAGAAAAAUGUAAGAAAUUUAUAGAAAUGUUGAUAGCUAUGAUUUUGAAACUUUGCCUAAAAUUGUUAUCAUCACUUAUUGUUUCUUAUUUAAAGAGAAAUCCUAGAAACGUGACAUGAUUAUUCCAUACUUGUUUUAAUAUUAUUUAUUAGCAGCCUAAUUCAAAAUUAGACGUGAUUAUUUGUUACUUUUAAUGCUACAUGUUCUGGGAAUAUUCAGUUGUGGUUAUCUUGUUGAAAUACCAGAAAAUAGCGUUCUAUUUGGUGGUAGUGGAUUCUUGGUUGGUUUGAAUGUAUUAAGCAUCACCUUAAAAGGUUUUUCUGCUGUCCAAAAACUUACGAGCCCCCAAAAGUUUCAAAGCUGUGCACAACCUUUGGAGCUUAUAGACUGUAGUGAUUCAAAGUUGUUUGCCUUCGCAGAGUUGAAGCAUCUUGAAAAACUAGGUUUUUCAAAUUGUGGAAAUUGGAAGAGUUUAAGUUCUGCUGUGUUGAGGAUGGAAAGGCUCGAGAAUGUUUUCGUGUGAACAGCUUCAACGAGUUAAGAUAAAGGCUUGUCAUAAAUUGAGGGAAGUGACAUGGCUUGUAUUUGCUCCGUAUCUUGAGGUUAUUCAAAUAGCCAAAUGUAUGGGGAUAGAAGUAAUAAUCAGUGCAAGGAAAUUGGGUGAAGUUCCAGAGAUGAUGGCAGAUCUAAACCCUUUUGCAAAACUCCAAUAUCUUGGCCCACGAGUUCUACCAAAAUUAAAAAGCAUCUAUUGGAAUCAGUUGCCCUCUCUACAUGUCAGGCGAAUUUUGUGUCUGAAUGCCCAAUUCUCAAGAAGCUUCCACUUGGUUUUAACAAUGCAAAGGAAUCUAAAACUAUCAUUAGGGGAGAAGAACACUGGUUGAAUGAGCUGCAAUGGGAGGACAAAGUGACCCUUAAUGUUCUUCUUCCUUGUUUCGGAUCCAUUUGAAGGCAUCAACAUGGAUUGAUACUUUGCAGUGGAGAAAUUUGAAUAAAACCUAUGGUAAGCGCUUUUCCAUUUAUUGCAUAUUUAUAUCUAACUUUUGUUUUCCUUUGUGGUUAAAUUUUGCUCUAUAUACGUUGUUGUACGGUGACAUUCUCAUAUCAAUUAUUAGCUUUUUAAUUCUCUUCUCACAUUAACUGCCCUUUUGAUCAUGUAGGAUAUGCUGAUGUCAAAGAGUCGUAAUUUGGGAUGCAAAUGUAAGAAUUAGACAGAUGACCAGUUGUUUUGAAGCGCUCGAAGAAGGAUUAAUUACGUCAUUGAAAGGCUCCAAUUUUGUGACUUUUUUUUUUAAUUUGUUGUUUUUUCUAUUUUUAGAUAGCUUGAUUGUCAGUUGUCGUGAUGUAAUGCUUUAGUGUAGAAAAAUGAUAUUCGGCCAAGACAACAUUAGCAGGGCACCUUGUGCAUGCAUACUAGUGGAUAAUUUCGGCAUGCUAAAUCCAAUUAGGGUGGAUGACCCUUUAUAAGCAUUAGGCUUCUCUCAUACCCGAAAACAAUGUAGAAUACGCUUAUAAGCUGCGGAUCACCCAUUAUAAGUUUUAGGCUUCUCCUUUACUCGAGCGAUGUGGAAUACCUUUAUAAGCAUUAAGCUUCUCCCAGUAUCUUUAUGUUAAAAAUAAUAAUAAUAAAAGAAAUCCAUUUUAAAAUAGACUCUUUUUUCUUUUUCUAUAUAAACAAAUGCAUUCUUCAAAUCAAUUGUGGGCAGAAGAAGUUAGUAGAAAAGAACUAGUCCCCUUUCAUUCCCCCUUAAAGCUCACCAAAGCCUCUUUUGUAAGCUUUUCGGAUUUUCUUUCUAUAUUGCUUAUGAUCUCAUUUUUGAUUGAAUCACUUCUUUUGCAUGCUGCAUAUUUUGUUUGUUGUAUUUGGAUAUUAUCGUAUCUGGAAUGCUGUUAUGAUUGAUGGAACAAGUAAUCGAUAUUUGGUCUGAUGGAAGUUGACUUAUUUAUUUAUUGUUAUUUUAAUUUGAAACUAUGUACAAUUGCAUUUCAUUCAUUUCUCUCUCUCCCCCCCCCCCCCCCCCACACACACACACAUAUAUUUGUUAUGUAUAAUUGCGUUUCAUUUGAUAUUGAUCAUGCUGUAGAUAACCAUGUGAUUGUAGAUGGGGAUUUCAAGUUUGUUGAAUAUUCAAGUAAGUGAAGUAACUGUCAAAAUACUAGUGAAAUUGGGAGCUUUAUUCAUGAGCUUGUGGUUUUGAAAAGUACCACAGUUCAACCGAUGAAGGUUCCUUUUUGGGGUUCUUCUUUUUCUAGGCUGCAAUUAGGAUAUGUACAUGUUAGACAAUCUUUUGCGGGUUUAGCAUAUCUUCUCUGAUUUUGUCUUUUAUUCCCCAAUCUUAUAAUUGCACACCAUGAAUGUUGAGUGAUUGUAUAGAAAAUUUGUGUUAUAACCAAAGCGUUGUGAAGGAGUUAAGUUAGUGGCUUCUGUUUUAUUGGCAUUGAUUGGGUAGAUUAUGUGUUACAGUGAUUCAAUUUGUGCUCCAAAGUUUGCUUUAAUUUCUUUUUUCCCUAAUUAUUUAUGUCAAAUUUAAAUCCAGAAGCAUGUACUGAUUUUUUCUUUUUGUAUUAAUCUGUGAAGGUUAUUUGGAAUGGAAGUAUCUGGGUUGGGUCUAACGGAUUAAAUUAUGACAUUGGGGGGAAGGCAGUAAAGGGUUUGCUCGACACAUUUGGUUCUGUGUUUACUUUGCAAGAAAUAGCUUUUGGUUAUCACAAUGCCGGUGGAAUCCCGAUUUGGCUCGUGAAUUUCUUUGUGACAAAUAGGCAAACACAUCAACCUCUUCUAUCCAUCCUUCUACUGGUAAGGCAAGGGGUAAAGAGUCUUCAAAAUCAUCAAAUAGUAACAUCUCUGAGAAUUCAUUUUAUGCAAAUGGAAAAUCUAGACCUUCUAAGACAAAAUGGCGUCCUGUAUCAGGAGGUACCGUUUCAAGUUUUCUUGGUAAAAAUUAUGUUAAACCUGCACAGCCAGCUAAUGGCACAUUUCUAGCAUCAAAGCCAUUGAAGUUGGAUCCAAAGGGGUUUCCCAUGUCUCCACUUUUGCGGAGAAGAUACUAAACUGAAACAAUCAAAGGAUGACCAUUUGCAGAAGGAUAUGGAAGAUUUUCUGUUUAAAUUGCUAGGAGAAGUGUUCCUAUUGUCCUUUUCAAUGUUCUUUCUUUCUUUCUCUUCUUUUCUUCUUCUUCUUCUUUUUUCUUUUUGUGUGCGUGUGAUCACUAAUUUGGUAUUGUAGUUUAGUUGCAGAUAGUUGUGGAUAUGAUAUGCAAAAGGUAAGGACUAUAUCUUCCUGAUGGAGGCCUCUGCUUUUUCCUUUAUGUGUAAUUUAAUAAAUUGCAUCUUCCUUUGUGAUUGUUAUAUCAUAUCAAAGACAAGUCUUAAAUACUGCUGUCAUAUGUUAAGGUUCAACUUGCAGUUUGAUUAACAUUCAUGGCUCAAAGGCCUGAAAAAACUUGCCAGUAAUUGUAAAAUGACAUUCUUUGCUUUUAAUGCAAUAGAGGGAACAGGGAAGUAUAGCUUUGGAAGCCUGGAUUGGUAACUAUAGAGAGACUUAGUAUUUAAUUGAUAAAAAUUCCCAUAACCCAAGGUCAAGAAAAUUUUAGAUCGUUAAAGACUUCAUUUUGUUUCGGCCAGAAAUGUUUGUUUCGAUCGAAGACUUGAACCAUUUCGAUUGAACCUGAUUAUGAUGCUUUACGUUAUGCAUGUUCCUCUUAAUCAAGAAAAGUUGAGGUGAUGAUUUUAUAUUUCUAUAUUGUAAGUUGAAAUAAUAAUUGGUCUGCUUGUUUCUGUAGCUUGAUAACAUGAAUUUUCCUUCUCAAGUUAAUUUAAUCAAUAAAGUAAUUCUUCAAAGAAAAUAUGCCCAUUCUAUAAUCAUUUUCUUAAUUAACAUGUUUUUUUCUUCACACUUCAGAGCAUGUUGAAACUAAUUGAUCGCUCGGCAGAGACUUUGGGUGAGAAGACAAAAUUUCUCGGUAAAUCCUCUGAAAAGGUAUGCAUAAUUCCGCAGUAUUAAAUAACCAAUGGUCAUAAUUUUUGUACAGGACUCUUUUCUUGUGGAGAUAAUUAAAAGUGGCUGAUGAUCCAGUUUGUAUAUCAUAGAGGGAGCAUCAAUUCCUUUUGUUUUCAGUGGCUAGGCAACACUUUCAGGGCAAAGUAAGGAAAUCUAUUUUAGGCAAGUAAAGCCAUGUAGAUGUAAUAGUUAACAUGCACUGACAAUAACUUUGUAUAAUGUCAGUGAACGAUACAAGAGGAAUCUGUUGACAAUCAUCCAAGAUAGAUGCUAAAAUUAUUAUGCAUGCCAGUUGCUUAAUAAUUUUCUUACACUGGUAUUGAAGAGGAAAAUGAAUAUGCAAUUUGUAUAUGUGCCAUGUGAGAAUUUGGAUAUCUAUCUAAGUAACAAGGAGAGUAUUGCCUCAUCUUUAGACAAUGAAUCUUGAGAAUUUGGAUAUUCAUGUAAAUGUUCAUUUGUUUGUAUUUUGAACUAUUAUGAGAAUCUUUUAUAUGCCAAAUUAGUAAUGCAAAUGUUCAGAUUAUUUUUUCUGUUGAUCGUGCAUUUGUGUCUGCACACAACCAUUGUAUAUCACUUCAUUCUGAUGCGCAAGUGUCUGUAGUUUAGAAGAAAAGAAAUAAUAAUGAUAUAUUAUUGCUUGAUUCAUGAUUAUUAAAUGAUUAUGGCUUUAAAAAACCUACAAAUUCCUUUUGUUGAUAUAUGAAUGUACCAAGUUUGCUAUAUCUUAGAUUACCAUUUCCAAGAUAACAAGUUCAAAUUUUUUCUUUAUCCUUUUCCUUCACAGUUGCAUUUUAAGUGUAAGAUUUGUUAUUAAUACCUGGUUUCCCGUCAUUAUGAUUUCAUAAACAGUGUAUGGGUAUGUGCUCUACUUUUGGAGGGCCUCCACGUGAAAGAAAAUUGUAACAAUUGAAUUCUUCCGGAUGGUAUGGUAUUUAAUUUAUUUUCUCAACCUCUUGUAAGACUAAUAUAUUUUCCUUUAGUAGACACGGCAUGGUGGGAAGGGUUUUUUAUUGAAAGAAUUCUGAUAUUUCUUAGACUUUGUUUUGGAAGGGGGUGCAGGGGUUUCUCAUCCAUAUAUGGUUACUUGAUUAGCUUUUGACUGUAUUGCCUCAAUCGUGCAAAGGAAGAUCCAAAUACAAACGAAAGAGAAUUGUUUAGACACCCAGAAGAUGGAAAUGAACUACAGAAGGAAGUUUUUGCUGCUUUAUUUAGUGCUCCUGAGAAAUCUGAUGAAUUUCCUGAAAUUACGGUGAAGACCAAGUGUGAGGUCCAAAGCAUUAGGAAAGGUGGUGAGUGAACUGCCGGAGCAAUUGGUACAGAAUACAAGGCUAAUGUGGUGGACUUGCAGCAAGAUAACCGGAACAGUACGUGCUCUUAUAUUAACUAUAUUGACUGGAUUUGCUAGUGUGUGCAUUUUCGUGUGUAUACUUUUGUAUUUAUGCAUAUUAAUGUGUGUAGGAUUCUUGAUUUCUGCCACUUAUUGGAGAACUAAUGGAAAGCUUUAUACUGGUAUAUCUGCAAUAACUAAUGGAAACUAUGAUAUUAAUAUUUUCUCUCGCUUGGAGAAUGCGUAACAGAUAUACUUUGUGGCUCUGGAAUACUAAAGAUUCUGCAAUAACUAAUGGAAACUAUGAUAUGAAUAUUUUCUCUCACCUGGAGAACUUUGUAACAGUUACACUUUGGGGCUUGGAAUGUCUAAAGAAUUUUGUCUGCUUCAGUUAGAUCAAAUAUCUUUUAGUUACAUACAUUAUAGAAAAGAUAAAGUUCUCUGAAUCUGAAAGACUUAAAAUUUUGCAUAUUUCUUGAUAGGGAAAUAUCUGUAGAUACUAGUUCAUGCAUUGUGGUAGCAUCAGUGUUAAAGAAAAACAGCAGUAAGUUAUUAUAUAGAAUUAGGUUCACUUGCUUUAAAUCCUGGUCUGGUCAACCAUAUGAACCUGUAAGUGGUUCUGUAGAAAUAUAUAUAUACGGGGAGAAAGUAGCUAAAUUUUCCUUUCAUUUAUGGGUUUGGUCAUUUUUUCCCCUUAUUUAUGUUUUCUCACACAUUUUUUAAAUGCCCCAGACAUGCAAUUUUGUAUGUGUCAAUUGCCUUUUAAGUUUUAAAAACCAUAAAGUAAGAAUACAGUUUCUUGUCAGGCUAUUGAUGCAUUUGCUCGGGGGGAUCAUGCUCGAGCAGGAAAACUUCUAGAACAGGUAAGGUUUCCAUCUACAGCCAUUUAUUGACAACAUAUAUAUUUUCAUUCAGCAAGCACUGUUAGCAUUCAAGAUGCUGGCAGAUUCACUUGAUUCUUAUUAGUUUGUUUAGUAGCAAAGCAUAUAACCUGUAUUUUAAAGCUAAGUUGUGCUAUUGAUUAUGUUAACUUUAUUGUUCACAUAAAGUGAUAUUGAGGAAAUAAUCAAUGUAGGAAAAUUAGGUGAAGAGAUGAUGUCAAAUCUUGAACCUCUUACAAAACUCCAAGUUCUUUACUUGAAGAAGCUACCAAAUUCGAACAGCAUCUACUGGAAGGCCUUGCCAUUCCCUGAUGUAUGCAGAAUUUUUGUAUUUAAAUGCCCAGAGCUUAAGAAGCUGCCACUGGAUCUUGAGAGGGCAGGCCAAGGUAAAAUUCUUAUCAAGGGAAAGAAAGAUGGGUGGAAACAACUUCAAUGGGAGGAUCAAGUAACUCAGAAUGCAUUGCUUUCAUUUUAAAAAUCAACCAACAAGUGAUUGAAGGGGGCAUCAUCAACGUAAUCAACAUGGAUGGAGAGAUUCUGGAGCAGAUCAGCGGGGUUUAGUACGACCUGUGGUGGUUUCUUUUUUGUGACUUUUUUGCCUUUCAUUUUUUCACUUCCUGUCAUAUUAUCAUUUCUUUGUCUGUGUUUCUAUUGCUAGUGUUGCUGCAUGCUUGCUGUCCUUGACAAAGUUAGCUAGUUUUUUUUGUUUAUUAAAUUUUGUAUGUUCGGUCGGGACAGUCACAAAGUACUACUUGUUCUAUAUGGGGGUGAUGUGAAUCAACUUUUCAAUUAUAUAUUCUGUGGUAAUUGUGAAUUCAAUUUCAUUUAUCUCCUGCAAAUUAUGAAGAAAGUGCAGAGUUACAAUAUGGAAAAGUUCACUGGCAAAUACUUUGUAAAAGCUUCGGAGUGAAACAGGAAAUGCACUUGCAACUAAGGACAAAUUGGUGGCCGGCUAAUGCAUUCAUUUUAGGGAAAAGGACACAGACCCUCAACGUUUUAAUAAGGGACAUAAAACUCCCUAAUAUUUUAAAAAAAAUACUCAAACCCCCAUUUGUUAAUAGUAAAUUCUAAGUUUAAAGUGUAAUUACCAUUAUACCUUUAUAGCAUAUUAAAAAAUAAUUAUUCAUUAUUCAAUUUAUUCUUAUAUUAUUAAUAAAAUUACGAAUAUAAUUUCAUUAUCUAAUUUUUUCAUUUAAUUUUUGUUAAAUUUUCUCUUCAAACUAAAUAAAUUUAAUCCAUUGCUUAAGAAUAAAAAUAAAUUAAAUUGAUUACUAAUAUAAUAAAAAUAACAUAUAUUUAAUAUAAAAAUAACAUAUAUUAAAUUAAAAUAAAUUUAAUUUAUAUAUAGAGAAUUGUUAUUUUUAAGAAAUUAUCAAUUUAAUUUAUAUAUAAGAAAUUAUAAGAAAUAACAUAUGGAGAAUUGUUAUUUUUAUUAUAUUAAUAAUCAAUUUAAUUUAUUUUUAUUUUUGAGCAAUGGAUUAAAUUUAUUUAGUUUGAAGAGAAAAUUUGAUAAAAAUUAAAUGGAAAAAUUGGGUAAUGAAGUUAUAUUCAUAAUUUUAUUAAUAAUAUAGGAAUAAAUUAGAUAAUGAACAAUUAUUUUUUAAUAUGCUAUAAGGGUAUAAUGGUAAUUGUACUUUAAAAUUAGAAUUUACUGUUAACAAAUAGGGGUCUGAGUGUCUUUUUUGAAACAUUAGGAAAUUUUGUGUCUCUUAUUCAAACGUUGGGGGUUUCUGUGUUAUUUUCCCUUCAUUUUAUGUACAUUCAUCUUUUUAAUUAUUGAAGAUAAGUGGUUCGUUGCUUUUGUUGUAGAUAAAAUUCAGACGACCUCAAUUGUGACAUGACAAUAUUUAAAACAUCUCUUAAAUUAUUAUAAAUUUAAUUUAUCUUAACUUUAUUGAAAAGAUAAAAGAAAAAUGUGGUGUAUGGAUAAAUUUUUUUUUAUCUUCUUAAUCAAAUGGAAUAAAUUAAAAUUUACAAUAAUUUAAAAUAUUUUAAAAAUUAUUAUUUCAUAAGAGAUUAAUAUGAAAUUAAUCGUUUUUACUUUUUUAAUGUGAAAGGACAAGAAAAGAGAAAGCAUGUGUCCCUGCUUUUUAGUUUUUAUUUUAUUUGAAAUCGGAGUUAUCCCAUAUACUUUACUAAUUUAGCUCUAACAUUACAAUGUUUUUAGGCUACACUUUUAUUUUUCUUUUUCCCCCUUUUUUUAUACAUGCAUGUGGAUUACUUUUCUCUAAGCUCCUUAAUAUUUAAGACAAAUCAUAAAAGCAAUUGAAGUAUAACAAGAUGAUCAAAACAUUUAACCAAAAAAAAAGAAAGAAAAAAGAAAGAAAACAUUGAAAAUGGAGAUGUUGAUUAAUUUAGAAGAGAUGCAAGCAAAAGAUAUUCCCAAAAAAAAGAAAAAAAGAAAAAAACAACGUUAGUUCAUCCAUGUCUGUCAAUGCGUUUUUUAUGGUUUUUUUUUUCCAGUUGUUUGUUGUAAUAGAUUGAUUGUAAAUUGAUAUGAAUUUGAUGUUGUAAUAUGUUCGCUUUUGUGGAAUUAAAUUUGAAUAUUCAAGAUUAUUCAAGUCUUAUCUAGUAUGUGUUCAAUUGUGUUGUCGAUAAUUUUGCAUUCGAAUAAUUUUUCACCUAAAAUAUUAGCAUGAGUAGUAGUCCUUGAAAUUUUGGUCAAAAUUAUUGUUAUUGUUUGUUUUAGAGGAAAUUUUUUUAUUAAAGCCUCGUUAACACUAUACCUUAUUAAGAUUAUAAGUUAGUGUCAGUGCAGGAUUUACAGCAACAAAUCUUGUCUAGCCACGUGUCAAAAGUACAAAUAAAUCAAGAGUAAGCACAUGACAUGGAUUAGGAUCCAAUAAGAUUUAAAUCCCAAGGAAAAGGACAAUUGUAUCCUAAAGUUUCAAUAAGAGAUACUGAGAUAUCUUUUGACUAAUGUUAUUUUUUUAGCUUUAUUAAUAAAAAGAUCAAAUAGUUUAUAACAAAUAAAAAUAUAGUAUGAAGCUAAAUGUGAUAAUAUAUACAUUUUACAUAAUUUCAAUAAAAAAAAUUUCAAUAAAAAACAUUUUAAUGUUUUACGAUCUAUUAGACAUAUUUUAUUAAAUUAAUAGGAAUUUUCUGAUAAAUAGCAACAUAAUAUUAAAAUAAAUUUAUAAAGAUUUAAAUGUAAAAUAAUUUUAGUAUAAUUAAUACGUGGGAUAUAUUUUGUAAAUUAUAAAAUUACUUAACCCAAUGAUUUUUAAAAAUCUUUAAAAUAAAUAAAAAUAAAUUAUUCACAUUUUGAUGUAAAUAUUUAAAACAUUUUUAUACAUUAGUCCACAAUUAUUUAUGUUAUAUUUGUAUUUAUUAGAAAUUUUGAAAGUCAAAUGUUUUUCACCUCUAUCUUAUUAGAAUUAUUGCACACAGAGAAAGAGCCAUAUAUGCUUUAUAGCUUUAAAAUCGAUUUGUUUUAUAGCUGGGAACAGAGAUGAUCAUUAUUAUAAGGAUUAAAAAAAAGAUAAAGAAUAUUAAUGAUUAGCGAAAUCUCUAUGGAAAUUGAAUUUAGUAAGAAAAAAUUGAGCUGAUUUUAGCGGUAUAGUAAUAUUUUAUAUAGAGAAAAGUAAAAGCUGCACCCAAGGUUAAGGGAAAUGGUCAAAACUCUUUUUUAAUCAUAAUACUCUUUUUCCUACAUAAUUUAAAAAUUUGACAUUAAUAUUUUAUAAUAAAUAAAAACAUAUAAUCCUAAAAUAAAUAAAAUAAUAUAUAUUUUAAAAUAAUCUCAAUAUUUAAAAUAUAUUUUAACAUUUUAUAGUCUAUCAGAUAUAUUUUAUUUUUUUUAAAGUAAAUUUUAUAAUAAAUACAAAACAUACUAUUAAAAUAGAUAUAAAAAUUUUAAAGUAUUUUGAAUAUUAUAUAAAAUAACUUUAAUAUUGUUAAUGCGUGAGAUGCAUUUUAUUAAUUAAAAAUUCUAUUUAACCCAAAGAUUUAUUUAUAAUAAAUUAAUAAUCAUAUUUUUGAAAUUAUUUUAAAUAUUAAAAAAUAUUUUAAUAUUACUAACUAUUAGAUAGACUAAACUAUUUAUAUUAUUUUCUAUUUAUUAUAAAAUUUCAAAGUUAAUCUUUUUAACUACUAUUCAAAAGAUAUUAUGAUAAAAACAGAAUUUUUCUGUUUUAUUAAAAAUUUAGAGUUUACACCUAUUUUUUCAAAUAUUCGGGGUGUAACUGUUUUAUUUAAAUAAAAUCUCAGUUAAAAAUGUACAGAGAAGAAAUUUCUGUUGGUAUUUUAGUCUUUUACCAAUUAUCACGAUUAGGCCUUGGCCUUGAAACAUUAAUUGUUUCACUUUUAGCGCUAGUGGCGUUGAAAGUUGUCAAGAAAAAGCAAGACCAUAUUCCACAAAAGCAGCUCUUUUAUUAAAGGCAAAGUAUAAAGUAGUCAAGAAUCGAAUAUCCUGUCGUCUACUCUUUUUUAAAUUCUUCUUUUAUUAUCUUUUAGAAUAGUUUUUGGUAAUUACAAUCAUUAUUCAGAGUUAUUGUUAUCUUCUGGGGCAGUCUCUGUUCAUCGAAGUCGUUACCUUUUUUUCAUGGAUCAGUUCCAGUGCCAAGCAGUAAUUUUCUUAGAACUCGGAUCUUUAAUUCGAGUUUCUUUGUGAAUUAAUAAUAAAAAAUUUUCAUUACACGCAAUUUAAGCUACGAAUUACUUUUUGCAAAGUUGAAUAUGAAAUUGGAGAAAUUAAAUAAUUUAGAAUGUUGGUAAAAAUUGACUAACAUAUCCCCAAUUACAGUAAAACCUCUCUACAGUCAUAACAUUAUAACAAAAUUAAUUUUAUUACUAUGUUGAGGUAAUAUAGGUUUAGUUACAAAAUUAUUGUUUUAAUAUGGUUAGUGUCAAGUGAUAUAAAGGUUAAGUAUGCAGUACAUUGAUAAUUAAAUAAUGAAGCGUGUCAAAUCUAACGUAUAUAUAUUAAUGAUAUAGAUAGACAUAGUUUUAAAAAACUAAUUAAUGUAUAUUUAUGUACUGUUAUGAAUAUGGAAAGUCAAGCCUACACUUUACAUUAUCCUUAAUUUUUUCUCUCAGUUAAAUUCUACAAAUAUUGUACAAUGAUUGGGUAAGAACUCUAAAUUAAGAAUAAAUUAUUGUCACAAAUAAUUUUAAAAAAUAUUUUAUUUCAUCUUAAACCUUUAAUGUAAGUAAAUAUAUAUAUAUGUGUGUGUGUGUGUGCAUAUUUUGCAAGGUAUAGAUAAUUGUUAGUAUAUGGAGACAAGUCUUUUAAGGUAGGACCUAGGAAAAUUUAUAACUUACUACAUUGGGGAGUUUUUAUUCCUUUUUAUAAUUGGCUCAUAUUGAUACAUUCUUACACAAAAUAUUACCAUUGACAUAUUUUACUACAAUUGGUUUAGAACAUUUGUUAGGAAAAAAAAAAGAAAAGAAAACAUUCAUUGGAUGUAGCUCUCCCUCGUAUGCUUUUUUCUCCAAAUAUUCCUGCGUCCACAGAAACAAGUCAGAGCACGCCGGUUGUUUUCCCGGCGUAAACCCUCUGACGCUCAAGUCAGAUAUGAAGGCUCUGGGAAUGCUUGCCACAGAUCUUAUGGUUUUUCUGUAGUUUCUAUUCUUUAGAGUUUCAUUUAUCUCUGAAUAUAAUCUCAAAAAUGCUAACCCUUUUACCUUCCUUGGCUACCUUUUUAUAGGCUUCCUCUGAAUCCCGGUCUUCCGUAGUCCACGCCCGUUAUUCUCCCCACCCUCGGAUGUGGAUGCCCCAUUAUCGCCAUUGUGGGCGAAUGGAGAUGGACUUCGUGCCUUGAUUCUCGGAUAGGAAUGCACGUCUUGCCAACUGUCGUUGACUGGGUCUCCUCGCCUCUCGACCUCUAGCCGGAAUGGCCUUAUGCCUCUAACAAGAGUUCGACCUCGUGAAUGGCAUACUCGCGGACGAGCCGAAUAUUUCUGCUCAUGUUCCCCUGCUACCUGGCUCUUACAGGACAUACCUGUUCGCAGAACUCCGCCAUCAAAUAUCUGCUCAUCACGUCUGGUCUCGUUGAAGUAUUUCCCUCAAACAACAUAUUUUACUACAAUUAGUUUAGAACAUUUGUUAGGAAAAAAAAAGAAAAGAAAACAUUCCUUGGAUGUAGCUCUCCUGACUAUUUAAAUCUUUUAAGGAAAAAAAGAAAAAAGAAAAACUGACACAUUCAAAUCUUGAAGCAAUUACAUUAAAACCUCUCCAUAAUGAUAGGAAUAAUCUCCAUUUAGUAAUAAAAAAUUUUGUUCGCAAUCUAGGCAGAGUUAUAAAUAAGAAUAAAAUCCUCAUUGUAAUAAGUUGUAUUUAUUAUGGAUCCCAUCCUAAGGAACUUGUCUCUAUAUAGUAAUAAUUAUUUGCAUAUUAUAAAUAUAUAUGUUGCAUUAGAUUAAAUGAACUUGUCUCCACAUACUACUUAGACAAUGAGAGAAAGUUAUUAAAGAGAACACAAAUAUUUAGAGAUUUUUAAGAUUACUUUGCAUGUUUAUAACAAUAAUACAUUGAUAUAUGUAUUAGUUUUUUGAUAUAUUAGAUUUGACAUGCUCUAUUAAUAAAUUAUUAAUACGAUGCAAACUUCAUCUCUCUAUCCUUGCAAUAAAAGUAACUAAGUUAUAACAAUAAUUAUUAAUAAAUUAUUAAUACGAUGCGUACUUCAUCUCUAUAUCCUUGCAAUAAAAGUAACUAAGUUAUAACGAUAAUUUUUGUAACUACAUGCUUAUUAGGUUUUAACUACUUCAUAAUAAUAAAUUAAUUUCGUCCUAAUAUUAUAAUUAUGUAGAGUUGUAGUGUAUAGACACACCCAAUUUAAAUAGUAAAUCAAAUAAAAUUGUCCCCACAAAAAAGAAAAAAGGGGUAAAGGAUUGUUAUUUCUUCAAACAUUAGGAGCACGUUUGUUCAAGUGCGAUGCCUUUCUUUUGAAGGCAACGUCAGUGGGUACCCAAUAGGACGUGUGUAAAUCUUUCCAAAAUUUCUCCGGUAUAACGGACAGAGAUCAUUACUUUUCUCUUCCAUAGACCACAGCAGCUUCAGUUAAUCAGACUCAAUCAAUUUUCUUGGUUUCUUCGCUUAUCAAAAUUCCAAAAUAUGGGUAGCAUAUUUCAAAUCACAUGCGAUGGUGCUUUUUUCAAUCGUUGCUUGGAUUGCUUUCUUGGAAAAGUAGCAAACACAAGUAAGCUCCAAGAUAACCUUGUUGCCUUGGAGACUGAAUUGGGAAAACUAAUCGUAGCAAAGAACGAUGUGAUGAUGAGGAUUGUCAAUGCUGAACGGCAACAACUGAGAACGCUGGACCAAGUGCAAGUGUGGCUUUCGAGGGUGGAAGCUGUUAAAACUGAAGCUGAUGAAUUGAUAAGACACGGCUCUCAAGAAAUUGACAAAUUAUGUGUUGGAGGCUACUGUUCCAAGCACUGCGCGUCAAGCUACAAGUUCGGGAAACAAGUGGCUAAAAAGCUACGGGAUGUGCAGACUUUAAUCGGCGAAGGAGUUUUUGCGGCGGUGGCUACUGAGGUGGUGCCUGAGAGAGCUCCAGAACCUGUAGCAGAUGAAAGACCCACUGUGCCAACAAUAGUAGGCUUGCAAUCACAACUUGAACAAGUUUGGAGAUGUCUUGUAGAAGAAUCAGUGGGAAUCAUUGGCCUAUAUGGUAUGGGCGGUGUUGGUAAAACUACACUAUUGACCCAUAUCAACAAUAAAUUUCUUGAGAGUCGAACCAGUUUUGAUUGUGUGAUUUGGGCCGUAGUUUCAAAGGACUUGCAACUCGAAAAAAUUCAAGAAGAUAUUGGGAAAAAGAUCGGUUUGGUUGAUGAUUCAUGGAAGAGUAAAAGUGUAGAGGAGAAAGCUCUCGACAUCUUCCGGAGUUUAAGAGAGAAGAGAAUUGUAUUGUUGUUAGAUGAUAUAUGGGAGCGGGUUGAUUUAACAAAAGUGGGCAUUCCACUUUCGGGACCAAAGAAUACUACCUCAAAAGUCGUAUUCACAACCCGUUUCAUCGAUGUUUGUGGUAGCAUGGAAGCUGACAAGAAGUUCCAAGUGGCAUGCUUAUCAGAAGAGCAUGCUUGGGAACUGUUUCGAAAAAAAGUUGGGGAAGAAACUCUUGAGAGUGAUCAUGAUAUCGUUGAGCUAGCCCAAACUGUGGCCAAAGAGUGUGGUGGUUUGCCACUCGCACUUAUUACUAUUGGUCGAGCUAUGGCCUGCAAAAGGACAGCCGAGGAGUGGAGACACGCAGUUGAAGUGCUAAGAAGAUCAGCUUCUGAGUUUGCAGGUUUGGGAAAAGAGGUGUAUCCUCUUUUAAAGUUUAGCUAUGAUAGUUUGCAGAAUGAGACGAUUAAAUCUUGUUUCUUAUAUUGUUGUUUAUAUCCCGAGGAUUAUGGCAUUCUUAAAUGGGACUUGAUUGAUUGUUGGAUUGGUGAGGGAUUCUUAGAGGAAUCUGACAGGUUUGGUGCAGAAAACCAAGGAUACUACAUUGUGGGCACUCUUGUUCAUGCGUGUUUACUAGAAGAGAUAGAAGAUGAUAAAGUAAAAAUGCAUGACGUUGUUCGUGAUAUGGCUUUAUGGAUAGCUUGUGAAAUUGAGAAGGAGAAGAGAAACUUUUUGGUUUGUGCAGGUGCUGGAGUAGGAGCGGUACCAGAUGUUGAAGGAUGGGAAAAUGUGAGAAGAUUGUCAUUGAUGCAAAACCAAAUUGAAAUUCUGUCAGAGGUUCCCACAUGCCCUCAUCUCCUCACUUUAUUUCUUGACUUUAAUUAUAAAUUGGAGAUGAUCACUGAUGGCUUCUUCCAAUGUAUGCCUUCUCUCAAAGUUUUGAAGAUGUCAAACUGUGGGCAUGUCAAAGUUUUGAAAUUACCUUUUGGGAUGUCAAAGUUGGGUUCACUACAACUUCUUGAUAUUUCACAUACCGGCAUAAGAGAGUUACCAGAAGAGUUAAAGUUGUUGGUAAAUCUGAAAUGUUUGAAUUUGAGGUGGACACAUAUGUUAAAUAAAAUUCCACGGCAGCUAAUAUCAAAUUCUUCAUGGUUACGUGUGUUGAGAAUGUUCGCUAUUGGCUUUGAAAAUUCUAAAGAACCAUCAGAAGACAGCGUUUUAAUUGGUGGGGGUGAAGUUUUAGUACAGGAAUUGCUCGGUUUGAAAUAUUUAGAGGUAUUGGAGUUGACCUUGCGAAGUUAUCAUGCUCUCCAUUCUUUUUUGAGCUCAAAUAAGUUAAAAAGUUGUAUUCGAUCUCUUUUCCUCAAUAAGCUGGGAGAUACAAAGUCGAUUGAUGCUACGGCUUUGGCAGAUCUAAAGCAUCUCAAUGAAUUAUAUAUUCUUUUUUUUNNNNNNNNNNNNNNNNNNNNNNNNNNNNNNNNNNNNNNNNNNNNNNNNNNNNNNNNNNNNNNNNNNNNNNNNNNNNNNNNNNNNNNNNNNNNNNNNNNNNNNNNNNNNNNNNNNNNNNNNNNNNNNNNNNNNNNNNNNNNNNNNNNNUCUUUCGCUAUACGGUUGUAAUGCUGUGGAAGAAAUAAUCAGCGUUGGGAAAUUUGCUGAGGUUCCUGAGAUGAUGGGACAUAUAAGCCCUUUUCAGAAUCUCCAAAAGCUUGAUUUAUCACAUUUGCCAGCUUUGAAGAGCAUCUACUGGAAGCCAUUGCCUUUCGCUCAUCUGAAAGAAAUGGUGGUGCAUUGGUGUGAUCGGCUUAAAAAGCUUCCGCUCGAUUCCAACAGUGCAAAAGAGCGUAAAUUUGUUAUUCGUGGAAGAGCAGACUGGUGGAACCGUCUUCAAUGGGAGGAUGAAGCCACUCAAAUUGCUUUCCAUUCCUGUUUCCACCUAAUGAAAUAUAAAUUCCUUAGCGGUGGUUGCAAAAUUUGAUUUCUAGUGAGUGCUUUUUUCUUAAACUCUUACAUUUAUUUCAGAUUCGUUUUUUGUCUCCUGCAAAUCACAAUUAAAUGCUGAAUUAUAUGGAGUCAAUGCUUUAGAAAAUUUUCAAGGCACUGCCAUUUCCUUUUUUCCAUUUUUUUUUGGGUCGAAUUGAUGCUCUGGCUUUUUACUUUUUGUUGUCAAAUUUUGCUCUGUUUUUUCAAGUUGAUGCUUGAAUAGUUGAAUUCAAUUAAUGCUCACAUAAAUUUGUUUAGUUGCCGUAAAAGGAUAUAAUUAGACUGAAGUACACACUUCUAGAAUGAAUACAAAAUGUUAAGUAUACUAGCCCUCUUUACAGAAAAUCAAAUGAAAAUCAAUUUUUUGGGGCUUUGAUUUUCUAUGGUCUAUUAUAUACUCUUUUUAAUAUCUUCUGUUCUAACUAUAACCAAAUCCUUUGUUCAAGGAUUUUUAUUUGGGGUAUUGAUAACUAUCCACCAAAAGAGUGAACACUUGGAUGCUGCUCAAGGAUCUCUAAUCAAUAGCUGGAAGCAACUGAGAAGGCGGUCGCUGCUGUUUACAAAGUGAUGCAGUAUUUGCCAUUCAUCUUAAUAAUUAUGAAGCUUUGGUAAAAUUUUCAAACAAAAUUGAACAUGUUGUUUGAGAUUUGGUUCAUGAUUUUGGAUGAAUAUCGUUGUUCCGUUUGAGUUGGAUGUGAAUUCAAAAUCUAUAUAUUCUUUGGUUUUCAAGUCUGAACUCAAUUUCUUUUUCUCAAGCAUGUUAUGCAGAAAUGAUUUUUACUAAAUCAUUUUUGAUGAAUUGUUUAAAUUAAACACUUGGAAUAAGAAUUGUAAACGUUUAUCAUAAGCAUGCUAAUAUGAUAAAUUGUUUUAUGAACGACUAAUUAAUUAAUCAAUUAAUAUUAAAUUAUAUAUUAAUCAAUUAGAUAUGCGUUACAUGUCAUGUUUAAAAACUAUUUAUUUAUAUUUCAAACAAAUUUGACUGGAUGUUGUGUAGGUAAUACUACAUAAUUUCAAAACAAAAAAAAGUAAUAAAAACACGUUAAAUUUUGUUUUUAUGAAGAAAAAUUUAAAAUUUUAUUAAAUAGGUGAAAAUAAUAAAUGGAUUCGUGUAUGGUUUGAGAUUCUUGACAUAAUUAUGAAAUAAGCCGGAUUCGACUUAGUUCAAUUUUGACGCGAUAAGAAGACGACACCACACAAACACACGACAAGAACCGUUACCUGAGAAGAUUGCCAUCAGGAAUUUUGAAAUUGAUUUCACUACAAUAUCUUAAUCUUUCAGAUACUCCCAUCACUGAGCUGCCAUAAGAGCUAAAAGCCUUGGUAAAUCUUAAGUGUUUGAACUGUACACAAAUUAUCUCUCUACAAUUCAAAAACAACUGAUUUGUUACUUUUCAAUGCUACAUGUUCUGCGAAUAUUGAGUUGUGGUUAUCUUGUUGAAAUAUCAGAAAAUAGAGUUCUAUUUGGUGGUAGUGAAUUGUUGGUUGGGGAGUUACCUAGUUUAAAACGUUUAAAUGUAUUAAGCAUCACCUUACAAGGUUUUUCUGCUGUCCAAAAACUUAUGAGCUCUCAAAAGUUUCAAAGCUGUACAAAAUGUUUGGAGCUUAUAGACUGUGAUGAUUCAAAGUCUUUUGCCUUGGCAGAGUUGAAGCAUCUCGAGAAACUAGUUUUUCGAAUUGUGGAAGAGUUUAAGUUCUGCUGUGUUGAAGUUGGAAAAGCUCAAGAAUGUUUUCGUUUGAACAGCUUUCCCCGAGGUAAUAUAAAGGCUUGUCAUAAAUUGAGGGACGUGACAUGGCUUGUAUUUGCUCCAAAUCUUACGGUUAUUCAAUAGAAAAAUAUAUGCAGAUGGAAGUAAUAAUCAGUGCAAGGAAAUUGGGUGAAGUUCCAGGGAUGAUGGCAGAUCUAAACCCUUUUGCAAAACUCCAGUAUCUUCGUCUGCGAGUUCUACCAAAAUUAAAAAGCGUCUAUUGGAAUGAGUCACCCUUUCCACAUGUCAGGGAAAUUAUUGUAUCUGAAUGCCCAAUUCUCAAGAAGCUUUCACUCGGUUUUAACAAUGCAAAGGAAUCUAAAAUUGUCAUUUAUUACAUGUUUAUAUCUAACUUUUGUUUUCCUUUAUGGUUAAAUUUUACUUUAUAUAUGUUGUUAUACGGUGACAUUCUCGCAUCAAUUGUUAGCUUUUUAAUUCUCUUCUCCCAUUAAUUGCCCUUCUGAUCAUGUAAGAUAUGCCGAUGUCAAAGAGUAGUAAGUUGGGAUACAAAUGUAAGAAUUAACCAGAUGACAUGUUGUUUUGAAGCUCUCGGAGAAGGACUAAUUAUGUCAUUCAAAGCAUCCAAUUUCGCUACUUUUUUUUUCAUUUGUUGCUUUUUCUAUUUUUAGAGAGCUUGAUUGUCAGUUGUCGUAAUGUAAUGUUUUAGUGUAGAAAAAUGAUAUUCGGCCAAGACAUCAAUAGGAGGGCACAUUGUGCAUGCACACUAGUGGAUGAUUUCGGCAUGCCGAAUCCAAUUAGUGUGGAUAACCCUUUAUAAGCAAUUGGCUUCUCUCAUACCAGAGCAAUGUAGAAUAUAUUUAUAAACUGUGGAUUACUCUUUAUUAGGCUUCUUCUAUACUCGAGCAAUGUGGAAUACCUUUAUAAGCAAUAAGCUUCUCCCCUACACUUUAUGUUAAUAAUAAUAAUAAUAAAAUAAAUCCAUUUUAAAAUAGACUUUUUUUUUCUUUUUCUAUAUAAACAAAAUGCAUUCUUCAAAUCAAUAGUGGGUGGAAGAAGUGAGUAGAGAAGAACUAGUCCCCUUUCAUUCCCCUAAAACCUCACCGAAACCUCUCUUGUGAACUUCUCAGAUUCUCUCUCAAUAUUUCUUAUGAUCUCGUUUUUGAUAGAAUCACUUCUUUUGCAUGUUGCAUUUGGUGUGUCUUUUUUGGGUAAUAUCUUAUCUGGAAUGCUGUCAUGAUCAAUAGAACAAGUAAUCAAUUUUUGGCUUGACGGAAGUCGAUUUAUUUAUUUACUAUUAUUUUUAUUUGAAAUUUUGUACAAUUGUGUUUCAUUCAUUUCUUUCCUUUUUUUUUAAUAUUUAUUAUGUAUAAUUGUGUUUCAUUUGAUAUUGAUCAUACUCUAGAUAACUAUGUGAUUGUAGCUGGGGAUUUUAAGUUUUGUGAAUUCAAGAAACUGUCAAAAUGCUAGUGAAAUUGGGACCUUUAUUCAUAAGCUUGUGGUUUUGAAAAGUAGCCCGGUUCAACUGAUGAAGUUCCUUUUUGGGAUUCUUUUUUUUCCUAGGCUGCAAUUCGGAUAUGUACCUGAUAGACAAUCUUUUGUGGGUUUAGCAUAUCUUCUCGGAUUUUGUCUUUUAUUCCUCGAUUUUAUAAUUACACACCAUGAAUGUUGAGUGAUUGUAUAGAAAAUUUGUGUUAUAACCAAAGCAUUGUGAAGGAGUUAAGUUAGUGGCUUCUGUUUUAUUGGCAUUGAUUGGGUAGAUUACGUGUUACAGUGAUUCAAUUUGUGAUCCAAACUUUGUUUAAAUUUCUGUUUUCCCAAAUUAUUUAUGUCAAAUUCAAAACCAGAAGCAUGUGCUGAUUUUUUCUUUUUGUAUUAAUCUGUGAAGUUUAUUUGGAAAGGAAGUAUCUGGGUCUAAUGGAUUAAAUUAUGUAAGUGGCAGAAAUUCCUACACACAUAAAUAUGCAUAAAUACAAAAGUAUACACAAAAAAAUGCACACACUCAUACAUCCAGUCAAUAUAGUUAAUGUAAGAGCACAUACCGGUUUGGUUAUCUUGCUGCAAGUGCACCGCAUUAGCCUUGCAUUCUGGUGCCAACUCCUCCGGCGGUUCACUCACUACCUUUCCCAAUGCUUUGGACCUCCAUUCGGUCUCCAUCAGAUUUCUCAGGAGCACUAAAUAAAGCAGCUAAAACUUGCUUCUGUAGUUCAUUUCUGUCUUUCGGGUGUCUAGGCAAUUUUCCUUCGUCGGUAUUUCGAUCUUCCUUUACAUGACUGAGGAAAUACAGUCAAAAGCUAAUCAAGUAACCAUAUAUGGAUGAGAAAUCCCUCCACCCCCCUUCCAAAACAAAUUCUAAGAAAUAUCAGAAUUCUUUCAAUAAAAACCCUUCCCCCCAUGCUGUGCCUGCUGAAUGAAAUAUAUUAAUCUUACGAGAAGUUGAGAAAAUAAAUUAAAGAACAUACCCUCCGGAAGAAUUCAAUUGUUGCAAUUUUCUUUCACGUGGAGGUCCUCCAAAGUUAGAGCACAUAUCCGUACACUGUUUAUGAAAUCAUAAUAACAGGGGACCAGAUAUUAAUAACAAAUCUUGACACCUAAAAGUCAACUGUGAUGAAAAACAUUAAAAAGAAUAUGAACUUGUUAUCUUGGAAGAAGAUAAUUUAAGAUAUAGCAAACUUGGCACAUUCAUAUAUGAACAGAAGGAAUUUGUAGACGUUUUAAAGCCAUAAUCGUUUAAUAAUCAUGAACCAAGCAAUAAUAGAUGAUUAUUAUGUUGGGUGCAAGCGGAAGUGCAGAAAAAUUUUUAUUUAAGAUCAGAGUAUUUUGCUGGAAAUUUCUGAAACUUUAUUGCUUAAUUCAUUUUUUCGUUUCUCUCUUACUUUUCAUACAACCAGAGUUCUAUAUUUAUAUGCAUUAUAGACAACUCUAGAGAUUACAUUAAUCAUGCUUUACAUUUCCAAAGCCACAUUGCAAACAUCAAUUCUACCCUUUACUUCACGUUGAAAAACAAACCAAAUAAUCCUUCAAACUUCUUGCUCAAUUUACUAGAUUACUAAUUAUAUCUCAACACCCCCUCUUAAUUAGUAAUCUUCAAUUGCUUCUUGAAUUUUUCAAACUUCUCAAUAAUGAUUGCUUUGGUCAGAAAAUCUGCUGGCUGCUCAUUAGUGCUGAUAAACUCCAUAUUAACUUCUCCUUUGCUUACUAAGUCACGGAUGUAGUGAUAACGCAGCUCAAUGUGCUUAGAUUUAGCAUGAAAUACGAGGUUCUUUGUUAGAGCAAUGGCUGACAUGUUGUCACAAUAAAUUGUUGUUGCAGCAUCUUGAUUGAACUGCAAAUCCUUGAGAAUUCUUCUAAGCCAAACGGCUUCACAAGCUGAUUCAGUUGCUGCAAUGUACUCUGCCUCGGCUGAGGAUAAAGCUACUGACUUCUGCUUCCUUGAGCUCCAUGAAAUCACAUUUGUACCAAGACAAAAUAAAUAACCUGAUGUGCUUUUUCUGUCAUCAAGGGAACCAGCCCAGUCACUGUCAGUAAAACCAACAAGCUUGCAAUUGUCUUCUUUUUCAUACAUGAUCCCCUGCUUUUUUGUUCCUUGAAGAUACCUUAAGAUUCUCUUUGCUGCAAUAUAAUGGGACUUCCUUGGAUCAUUCAUAAAUCUAGAAAGAACACUAACUGAGUGCAAAAUGUCAGGUCUUGAGUUGGUUAGAUAAAUCAACGAACCAACCAAGCUUCUAUAGAUUCUUGCGUCAGCCUUUUCUUCUUUUUCAUCAUGUUUCAAUUUUUCAUUCAAACCCAUAGGAGUAGGUGCUGGUUUGCAUUUGAACAUGUGGAAUUUCUUCAACAAAUCUUCUACGUAUUUUUCUUGACAAAAGAAGAUUUUUCCUCUGGCUUGCUUCACUUGAAUGCCAAGAAAAUACUUCAUUAAGCCCAAGUCAGUCAUCUCAAAUUCAUCUAGCAUGCUUUUUUUAAACUCUUCCACCAUUUUCAGAUUAGUGCCACAAUAAAUUAGAUCAUCAACAUAAAGGCAAACAAUAAGGAAAUCAGUACCUUCCUUUUUGACAUAAAGAGAAGGUUCACUUGAGCUUCUGUCAAAUCCAUUUUUAACGAAAUAUCUAUCAAUUCUGCUAUUCCACGCUCGAGGGGCUUGCUUCAAGCCAUACAAGGCUUUUCGGAGUUGAUAAACUUUGUUUUCUUCACCUUUCACUUCAUAUCCUUUAGGUUGCUCAACAUAAACCUCUUCUUCAAUUUCACCAUUUAGAAAUGCCGAUUUUACAUCUAGUUGAAACACAUGUAAUUCCAUUUGGGCUGCCAAGGCAAGAACAGUUCGAAUAGUCUCCAUUCGAGCUACGGGAGCAAACGUUUCUGUAAAAUCAACUCCAGGCAGCUGAGAGUAUCCUUUGGCAACGAGCCGCGCCUUAUAUUUUUUAACUGAACCAUCUUCAUUGUACUUGAUUUUGAAGAUCCAUUUCAGCCCAAUUGUUUCUUUUCCAUUUGGCAAAUUAACCAUCUCCCAAGUUUUAUUUUUCACAAUGGUGGCCAUUUCCUCGUUCAUUGCUUGGAUCCAAUUUUCAUUUCUUGAGGCCUCCUCAAAGUCUUGAGGCUCACAAGAAAAUAAAGCAAGUUCACAUGACUCAUAAAUUUCUCUCAUUGACUUUAUCUUCCUUGGAGGGCUUUCAUCAUCCGAAGAACUUUCUGCUGCUGAAUUUGGAGAAUUUGGUUCCAAAUUAUUUUGCUGUGAAGAAUUUGGUGGAGAUACAGGAGCUUCGAAAAAGCUAGAUGCUUGAGAUUGAUCUUUUUCCCACUGCCAAGCUGAUGCCUCAUCAAAUACAACAUCUCUUGAGAUAACAAGCUUAUUUGUUGUAGGAUUCAACAACCGAUACCCUUUAGACUCAUCACUAUAGCCAAUAAACAAAUAUUUUUCACCUUUUUCAUCAAACUUCUCUCUGUUUUGAGCUAGAAUAAGAGCAUAAGCAAUACUCCCAAAAAUCUUCAAGUGAUCAACAGUUGGCUUUCGGUUGUGCCAAGCUUCAAAUGGAGUUUUGUCUCUAACAGCUUUUGUAGGAGACCUGUUGAGGAUGUACACAGCUGUAUGACAUGCUUCUGCCCAUAAGUUGUUAGGAAUGCCUUUGCCUUUUAACAUGCUUCUUGCCAUCUCUACAAUGGUACGGUUCUUCCGUUCUGCAACUCCGUUUUGUUGUGGACUUCGGCUGACAGUAAGUUGUCUUUGAAUUCCAUUAUCCCUGCAAUAAUUCAUGAAUGGAGUGUAGAUAAAUUCACCACCACGAUCAGUUCUCAAGGUCUUCAUUUUGCAUCCACUUUGCCUUUCUGCAAGAGCUUUAAACUGAAGAAAAGUUGAGAAAGCUUCUGAUUUUUCAUUCAAAAAAUAAAUCCACAUCAUCCUUGUAUAGUCAUCAACAAAAAGAAUGAAAUAUCUCCUGUUAUUGAGAGAGAGAGUCCUUGUAGGACCACAAAUAUCAGCAUGCACCAACUCCAACGGAGCUUUGGCUCUCCAUGAAUUUUUAGGAAAUGGAAGUCUAUGCAUUUUUCCAUAUAUACAGCCCUCGCAAACUUUUUCAUAUCUUCCAACAUCAGGUAAGCCAAUCACCAUGUUCUUUUGCUUGAGCAAAUUCAGCCCUUUAUAGUUUAAAUGACCAUAUCUGAGAUGCCAUAAAUUUGACAAAUCUGAAUUUUCAGUUUUGAGAGCAACAUUCUCAUCAAGUGGCAUAACAAGAGGAAAAACUUUGUUCUUUGACAUUUCAACAACGGCCACUGUAUGAUUAUUAGUUUUAUCAAUGAUUUUGCAUUUUUCAUCAUCAAAAUAAAUUGAAAAACCCUUUUGAAUUAGCUGCCCCACACUCAAGAGGUUUUGAGUUAAAUUUGGAACAUAAAGAACGUCAUAAAUGAGCUUUUUGUUACCUCCCUUUGUAUGGACAGCAAUAGUGCCUUUUCCCACAGCUUUCUGCAUCUUUCCAUCUCCAAGCUUCACUUGCGAAUUAAAACUUUGGUCAAGGUUGAUGAAAAUGUCACGUUCUCCAGUCAUGUGGUUGCUACAACCGCUAUCCAAGUACCACAAAUUAUAUGAUUCACGUUCAGCACCUUUACUUGAAUAAAACAAGUAAUCUCCAUCACAUUCUUUUGUAAAAUUUGCCUCAUUUUUGCCUUUCUUAUUUUGAUACCAGCAAUCCCUUUGAGAAUGGUUAGGAAUGCGACACCUUGUGCAUUUAUAACGACAAUCUUUUGAUUCAUGAUUAGACCGAUUACAAAUGAUGCACUGAGAAUCUGAAUUUUGCUGUGAAUUCCCUCUGUCAUUUUUCCACUUGUUGCGGUUGUCGUUCUGUUCUCUUUGCCCUAUGCCACGCUGCUCGUUUCUUUGAGACGAGCCUCCGUUCUUCUGGUCUUUCUUGCUGCUUUUAUUCUGAUCUGAAUUAUUAAUCUUUGACUGAAAAGCUUGCUCUGUAGGCUGACUUGAAGGUCGAUUGAUUCUUUGCUCAUGAGACCGUAAUGAUCCUGACAAAUCUGAAAAAGUCAUCUUGGACAAAUCCUUUGAUUCUUCAAUGGCUGCUGCUACAUGAUCAAACUUUGGAGGAAGACAUCUCAGCACCUUUUCAUUCACCUUCUUGUCUUCAAUGGAGUCCCCACAACCUUUAAUCUGGUUCACAAUCUCAGUAACUCUACUGCAAAAAUCCUGAAUUCCUUCUCUGUCUUUCAUUGAUAAAUUAUCGAACUCUUUCCACAAAGUCUGUAACUUGAUGGUGACUGCCUUUUCAGAACCUUGAAAUUCUUGUUUUAGGAUUUUCCAAGCAUUUUUGGCCUUUUUGACACCAAAUAUUCUGGGGAAAAUUGACUUACUAACACCUUGCUGGAUAUAUCGAAGUGUCGUGGCAUUUCUCUGUAUGUUUUCUUUGUACUGCUGUUGAUGUGCUGGAGUCCAAUCUGAAGAACUUGCAGAUUCUGGUGGUUCAGCAUAUCCAUCUUCAACAACAUCCCAUAAAUUUUGAGAGAGGAAAAAGGUUUCCAUUUGAUUACUCCAAUAUUCAUAAUGUACCCCUUCAAAUAUUGGAACUUGACUGGGAGCAUAUGAGAAUAAUGUGGGUAGGGUAUUUGAUGUCAUUUUGAGGGUGUUUUGGAAAAGCUCUGAUACCAAAUUUGUUGGGUGCAAGCGGAAGUGCAGAAAAAUUUUUAUUUAAGAACAGAGUAUUUUGCUGGAAAUUUCUGAAACUUUAUUGCUUAAUUCAUUUUUUCGUUUCUCUCUUACUUUUCAUACAACCAGAGUUCUAUAUUUAUAUGCAUUAUAGACAACUCUAGAGAUUACAUUAAUCAUGCUUUACAUUUCCAAAGCCACAUUGCAAACAUCAAUUCUACCCUUUACUUUACGUUGAAAAACAAACCAAAUAACCCUUCAAACUUCUUGCUCAAUUUACUAGAUUACUAAUUAUAUCUCAACAUAUUAUUCCGUUUCUUCUAAGCUACGCAUACUUGCACAUCAGAAUAAAGUGAUAUACAAUGGUUGUGUGCAGACACAAACGCAUGAUCAACAGGAAAAAUCAUCUGAACAUUUGUAUUACUGAUUUGGCAUAUAAGAUUCUCAUAAUAGUUCAAAAUACAAAUAAAUGAAUAUAUAUAUAUUCCCCACCGGAAUCACCCCCUGGAUCCUCACUCAAGGUGUCUUCCGAGCCAGAAGAUCCCUCCUCACCACUAUUUCCGCUCGUGGAGGUUGUUUGGGGGGACAUCCUCCUAGCGCUAGUCCCAACACUAGACCUAAUGGGUUCUAAGGGGAUCCCGGGGUCAAAAGCAGGAUCGGUGAGCAGACUAGACAAGAAACCUAAUUCGUCGUCAUCAAUCUCAACGAUUUUCUCUUUACCCUUCGACAUUCCCUAAACUAUAAUCAGAACACCACCACCAACUACAACCCCAAGCAAAGCACAGAGAAAAGAAAUUAUCUACAACUAACCAAGACCGAGAAAAUAGAAGAAAUACCUGAAGCAGGGAUUCGAUCAGAGAGAGAUAGGGAUGAAAGCUUUAAUGCCGAGGUUCAUUCGCCGGAGAGACAAGAAGGGAGAAAAUGACGAGUUCGUGUUUGAGGAUUUUGGGUUUUCUUACUGAGAAGCAAACUCUUGGGCUGCCAGCAUUUAAUGACACAUAUUCCGAGAAUCUUGCAACCGUAGGUUUGAAAUUCAAAUGGAGGGGUGGAUUUCUGCCACAUCACUUCAUCUGCAAUUAAAUGCGACACGACUCUUGGCAGUCUUUUCCAGUCCCACGCGAGCAAGAACCGAUUGAGUUUCUACUGCUGGUCCAUUACAUUACCCAACACCAGAAACUGGGGGACUGGUGUUUGAGGGAAAUACUUCGACGAGACCAGACGUGAUGAGCAGAUAUUUGAUGGCAGAGUUCUGCAAACAGGUGUGUCUUGUAAGAGCCAGGUAGCAGGGGAACAGGAGUAGGAAUAUUCUGCUCGUCCACGAAUAUGCCAUUCACGAGGUCAAACUCCUGUUAGAGGCAUAAGGCCAUUCCUGCUAGAGGUCGAGAAGCGAGGAGACCCGGUCAACGACAGUUGGCAAGACGUGCAUUCCUAUCCGAGAAUCAAGGCACAAAGUCCAUCUCCAUUCGCCCACAAUGGCGAUAAUGGGGCAUCCAUAUCCCGGGGGGGGGAGAAUAAGGGGCGUGGACUACGGAAGAUCGGGAUUCAGAGGAAGCUUAUAAAAAGGUAGCCAACGAAGGUAAAAGGGUUAGAAUUUUUGAGAUUGCAACUAAGAAAAGAGAGCUCUAAGAACUGAAACUAAAGAGAAGCCAUAAGAUUCGUGGCAAACAUUCCCAGAACCUUCAUAUCUGACUUGAGCGUCGGAGGAUUUACGCCGGGAAAACGACCGGCGCACCCUGACCUGCUUUUGUGUUCGCAUGAAUUUUUGGGGAAGAAACCUUACGAGGAGAGAUCCUGGUCAUGGUAGAGUUGGUCGAGCAGAGGUCCUGGUCUUGGUAGAGAAGGCAACCAGAAUCUCGCAUCAACAAUUAUUUUACUUGAAAUUAUGUACAAUUGCAUUUCAUUCAUUUCUCUCUCUCUUUUUCUUUUUUCCCCCCAUAUAUUUUUUAUGUAUAAUUGCGUUUCAUUUAAUAUUGAUCAUACUGUAGGUAACCAUGUGAUUGUAGAUGGGGAUUUCAAGUUUGUUGAAUAUUCAUGUAAGUGAAGUAACCGUCACAAUACUAGUGAAAUUGGGAGCUUUAUUCAUGAGUUUGUGGUUUUGAAAAGUACCACAGUUCAGCUGAUGAAGGCUUCUUUUUGGGAUUCUUCUUUUCCUAGGCUGCAAUUAGGAUAUGUACAUGAUAGACAAUCUUUUGUUGGUUUGGCAUAUCUUCGCUGAUUUUGUCUUUUAUUCCCCAAUUUUAUAAUUACACACCAUGAAUGUUGGGUGAUUGCAUAGAAAAUUUGUGUUAUAACAAAAACAUUGUGAAGGAGUUUCUGUGCUAAUAGUUAGUGGCUUCUGUUUUAUUGGCAUUGAUUGGGUAGAUUACGUGUUACAGUGAUUCAAUUUGUGUUCCAAACUUUGCUUUAAUUUUCUGUUUUCCCCAACUAUUUAUGUCAAAUUUAAAUCCAGAAGCAUGUACUGAUUUUUUCUUUUUGUAUUAAUUUGUGAAGUUUAUUUGGAAUGGAAGUAACUGGGUCGGGUCUAAUGGAUUAAAUUAUGACAUUGAGGGGAAGGCACUAAAAGGGUUUGCUUGACACAUUUGGUUCUGUGUCUGCAAGAAAUAGCUUUUGCUUAUUGCAAUGCAGGGGGAAAUCCCGAUUUGGCUGGUGAAUUUCUCUGCAACAAACGGGCAAACACCUUGACUUCUUCUGUCCAUACUUCUGCUGGGGAGGCAAGGGGUAAAGAGUCUUCAAAAUCAUCAAAUAGUAACAUCUCUGAGAAUUCAUUUUAUGGAAAUGGAAAAUCUAGAGCUUCUAAUACAAAAUGGUAUCUGGUAUCAGGACGUACCGUUUCAAGUUUUCUUGGUAAAGAUUAUGUUAAACCUGCACAGCCAGCUAAUGGCACUUUUCUGGCAUCAAAGCCAUUGAAGUUGGAUCCAAGGGAGUUUCGCAUUUCUGCACUUUCAGAGAAGAAACUAAACCGAAACAAUCAAAGGAUGACCAUUUGCAGAAGGAUAUGGAAGAUUUUCUGUUUAAAUUGCUAGGAGAAGGGUUCCAGCUGUACAGGGAUGUGAUUCAGAUGGUUCAUGGUAACGUCUUAAAUAUAUUGAUGCCAAUUUAAUACAUAUUGUCCUUUUCAAUGUUCUUUCUUUCUUUCUCCUCUUUUUAUUCUUCUUCUUCUUCUUUUUUCUUUUCAUGUGCAUCUGAUCACUAAUUUGGUAUUAUUCUUAACUUGCAGAUAGUUGUGGAUAUGAUAUGCAAAAAGGUAAGGACUAUAUCUUCUUGAUGGAGGCCUCUGAUUUUUUAAAUCGCAUUUUCCUUUGUGAUUGAUAUAUCAUACCAAAGUCAAGUCUUAAAUACUGCUGUCAUAUGUUAAGGUUCAACUUCCAUUUUGAUUAACGUCGAUUUGCUACUGCUUCCAAAAGUGAGAAUGAGAUACUUUGGUUAAUUUCAGUAGUUGAACCCAAUAGAGUACUUUAUUUAGAUCUUCAUGGUUCAAAGGCCUGAAAAAACUUGCCGGUGUUUGCAAAAUGACAUUCUGUGCUUUUAUUUAGACUUAUUAUUAAAGACAACAUUUUGUUUCAGCCAAAAAUGUUUGUUUCGAUUAAAGACUGAUUUUAUAUUUCUAUUUUGUAACUUGAAAUAAUUGGUCUGCCUGUUUCUGUUGCUUGAUAACAUGAAUUUUUCCUUCUGAAGUUAAUUUGAUCAAUAAAGUAAUUCUUCGGAGAGGAUAUGCCCAUUCUAUAGUCAUUUUCUUAGCUAACAUGUUUUUUCUUCACUCUUCAGAGCAUGUCUAAACUAAUUGAUCGCUCAGCGGAGACUUUGGGUGAGAAGACAAAAUUUCUUGGUAAAUCCUCUGAAAAGGUAUGCAUAAUUCCCGAGUAUUAAAUAAUCAUUGGUCAUAAUUUUUGUACACGACUCUUUUUUUGGAGAUCGUUAAAAGUGGUUGAUGAUCUAUUUUGUAAUAUCAUAGAGGGAUCAUGAAUUCCUUUUCUUUUCUGUGGCUAGGCAACACUUUCGAGCCAAGCUAAGGAAAUCUAUUUUAGGUAAUGUGAAAACCAGUUGUAGGAUGUAAUAGUUUAUUAUGCCCUGCCAAUAACUUUUUGUAUAAUUGUCAGUUUAAUGAAUACAAGAGGAACUCUGUUGGCAAGUUCAUCCAUGAUAGAUGCUAAAAUUAUUUAUGCAUACCAGUUGCCUUAACUAAUUUUUCUCAACACUGGUAUUGAACAGGAAAAUGAAUAUGCAAUUUGUAUAUUGUGCCAUUGUGGAGAAUUUGGAUAUUCUUAUUUAAGUAACAAGGAGAGUAUUUGCCUCAUCUUUAAACAAUGAAUCUUUGAGAAAUGAGGAGUGGGUGAUUGGCAGUGUCUUCAUGUAAAUGUUCAUUUAUUUGUAUUUUGAACUAUUAUGAGAAUCUUUGUAUGCCAAAUUAGUAAUACAAAUGUUCAGAUGAUUUUUCCUGUUGAUCAUGCGUGUGUAUCUGCACACAACCAUUGUGUACCACUUUAUUCUGAUGCGCAAAUAUCUGUAGUUUAGAAGAAAAGAAAUAAUAAUCAUAUAUUAUUGCUUGGUUCAUGAUUAUUAAACGAUUAUGGCUUUAGAAAAUCCACAAAUCCUUUGUGUUCAUAUAUGAAUGUGCGAAGUUCGCUAUAUCUUAGAUUACCUUCUUCCAAGAUAACAAGUUCAUAUAUUUUUUAAUCCUUUUUCAUCACAGUUGAAUUUCAAGUGUAAGUUUUGUUAUUAAUAGCUGGUUUCCUGUUAUUAUGAUUUCAUAAACAGUAAGAGGAUAUGUGCUCUACUUUUGGAGGGCCUCCACAUGAAAGAAAAUUGCAACAAUUGAAUUCUUCCGGAGGGUAUGGUAUUUAAUUUAUUUUCUCAGCUUGUUGUAAGACUAAUAUAUUUCCUUCAGUACGCACGGCAUGGUGGGAAGGGUUUUUAUUGAAACAGUUAUGAUAUUUCUUAGACUUUGUUUUGGAAGGGGGUGGAGGGAUUUCUCAUCCAUAUAUGGUUACUUGAUUAGCUUUUGACUGUAUUGUCUCCGUCGUGCAAAGGAAAAUCCAAAUACUAACGAAGGGGAAUUGCUUAGGCACCCAAAGGACAGAAAUGAAUUACGGAAGGAAGUUUUUGCUGCUUUAUUUAGUGCUGCUGAGAAAUCUGAUGGAUUUCCUGAAAUUACGGUGAAGACGGAGUGGAGGUCCAACGCAUUAGGAAAGGUGGUGAGUGAACCGCCGGAGGAAUUAGUACCAGAACACAAGGCUAAUGUGGUGCACUGGCAGCAAGAUGACCAGACCUGUAUGUGCUCUUAUAUUAACUAUAUUGGCUGGAUUUGUGAGUGUGUACAUUUUUGUGUGUAUACUCACUUUUGGAUUUAUGCAUAUUAACGUGUGUAGGAUUCUCGAUUUCUGCCACUUACUGGAGAACUAGUGGAAAGCUUUAUACUGAUAUAUGUGCUAUAUAACUAAUGGAAACUACAAUAUGAAUAUUUUCUCUCACCUGGAGAACAGUGUAACUGAUAUAAUUUGUGGCUCUGGAAUACUGAAGAUUCUGCAAUAACUAAUGGAAAAUAUGAUAUGAAUAUUUUUUCUCACCUGGAGAACUUUGUAACAGAUACAUUUUGUGCUGGAAUGUCUAAAGAAUGCUUCAGUUUAGAUCAAAUAUCUUUUAGUUAGAAAAGAUAAAAUUCUCUGAAUCUGAAAGACUGAAACAUUUUGCAUAUUUCGUGAAAGGCAAGUAUCUGUAGAUACUAGCUCAUGCAUUGAGGUAAUAUCAAUGUUAAAGAAAAACAGCAAUAAUUUAUUAUACAGAAUUAGGUUCACUUGCUUUAAAUGCUGGUCUGAUCAACCAUAUCAACCUGUAAUGGUCCUGCAGAAAUAUAUAUACGGGGAGAAACUAGCUAAUUUUCCUUUCACUUAUGGGUUUGGUCUUUUUUUUCCCCUAUUUUUCAGCUUUCCUUCUCCUGAAGUAUGUUAACAAUUGCAGAUAAUGACGAAGAGGACCGCUUCCAGGCUCUUUGUAGAGCUGUGAUGGAAUAUAGGGGCACAAUGAAAGAAUAUUGUAAGGCUGUAUGUACUUUCUCUCAUGUCAUUUAUGUUUUCUCACACAUUUUGUAUAUGCCCUGAACAUGCAGCUUUGUAUGUGUCAAUUGCCUUUUACGUUUUAAAAGCCAUAAAGUAAGAAUACAGUUCCUUGUCAGGCUAUUGAUGCGUUCGCUCAGAAGGGUCAUGUUCAAGCAGGAAAACUUCUAGAACAGGUAAGGUUUCCAUCUACAGCCAUCCAUUGACAGCAGAUAUAUUUUCAUUAAGCAGACACUGUUAGCAUUCAAGAUGCUGGCAGAUUCACUUGAUUCUUAUUAGUUUGUUUAGUGGCAAACCAUAUAACCUGUAUUUCAAAGCCAAGUUGUGCUAUUGAUUAUGUUAACUUUAUUGUUAACAUAAAGUGAUAUGGAGGACAUAAUCAAUGUAGGAAAAUUAGGUGAAGAGAUGAUGUCAAAUCUUGAACCUCUUACAAAGCUCCAAGUUCUUUACUUGAAGAAGCUGCCAAAUUUGAAGAGCGUCUACUGGAAGGCAUUUCCAUUCCCAGAUGUAUGCAGAAUUUUUGUAUUAAUGCCCAGUUCUUAAGAAGCUGCCACUGGAUUUUCAAGGGGCGGGCCAAGGUAAAAUUCUUAUCAAGGGAAAGGAAGAUUGGUGGAAAGAACUUCAAUGGGAGGAUCAAGCAACUCAGAAUGCAUUGCUUCCAUUUUUCAAAUCAACUGACAAGUGAUUGAAGGGGGCAUCAUCAACAUCAUCAACUGGGAUGGAGAGAUUAUGGAGCAGAUCAGCAGGGUUUGUAUAUGAUCUUUGGUGGUUGCUUUCUUUUGUGAUUUUUUUUUUCUCAUUUUUUUCCCUUCCUGUCAUUUUAUCAUUUCUUUGUCUCGUUUUCUAUUGCUGAUGUUAGUGUAUGCUUACUGUUGCUUGACAAAGUUUGCUUGCUUCUUGUUUAUUAAUUUUUUUAUGGUCACAAAAUAUUACUUGUUCUAUUUGAGAGUGAUGUGAAUCAAUUUUCAAUUAUAUAUUUUAUGGUCAAUGUGAAUUCAAUUUCAUUUGUCUCCUGCAAUUAUUUAAAAAAUGCAGAGUCAUAAUAUGGAAAAGUCGACCGGCAAAAACUUUGUGAAAGCUUCGGAGUGAAACAGGGAAUUCACUUACUAACAGGGAAUUCACUUACUACUAAGGACAAUUGGUGGCGAGCUAUUCCAUUCAUUUUAUGUCCAUACAUCUAUUUAAUUAUUAAAGAUAAGUGGUCCAUUUGUAAAUUUCAGAUUGUGUCUCUCUGAAAAUAACAAUAUUUAAAAUGUCUCUUAAAUUAUUAUAAAUUUUAAUUCACUCUCGAUUUAAAAUGGAACAUGCUGAUGAAAUUUUUUUUCUUCUUAAUAAAAUUGAAAUAAAUUGUGUUUGCAGUAGUUUGAAAUAUUUUAAAGAUUAUUAUUUUAUAAGGGAGUAAUAUGAAAUGAAAUUUACUUUUCAUGCGUGAAAUGUUGAAAAAGGACACAGCAAGUGUCCCUGCUUUUAUUUUAUUUCAAAGUGGAGUCAUCUCACAUACUUUAACUCUAUCGUUACAAUUUUUCAGGUUACAUUUUUAUUUAUUUAUUUAUUUUCUUUUUUACACAUGCAUGUGGGUUACUUUUCCGUAAGCUCCUUAAUAUAUAUAUUUAACACAAAUCAUGGAAGAGAUGGGAGUAUAUCAAGAUGAUCAAAGCAUGAAACAAAAAUAUUUAAGAAGUAAAACACUGAAAAUAGAGAAGAGAUGCAAGCAAAAGAUAUUCCAAAGAAAAGCAAUCUAUCUCCUUUCGAAGAAUGUUAUGGAAGAGUUGAACCCAGCGAAGAAUGUUAUGGAAGAGCAAAUUAAUGAUAUUUUUGAUAGAGUCUAUUUGAUUAUGUAGCCUGAAUAGAUGUCUUGUUGAAAGAUAUCUCAGUGCAUUAGUUCAUCCUUGACUGUCAAUGUGUUUUUAAUGGUUUUUCCAAAUUUUUAUUAUUAUAGAUUGAUUGUAAAUUUGAUAUGAAUUUAAUGUUGAAAUGUUUUCUCUUUAGUGGAAUGAAUUUAAAAGUGCAAAAGCUUAUUGCACACAGAGAAAUAAACAUAUAUGCUUUAUAACUUUAGCAAUCGAUUCUUUUACAGCUGGAAACAGAGAUGAUGAUUAUCAUAGGGGUGAAGAAAAGGACAAAAAAUGUUAAUGGUUAACGAAAUUUCUAUGCAAAUUGAUUUUAGCAGGAAAAAAGUGAGCUAAAUGAUCUUAAUGUUCCACAAGAAAAAGCAAGAUCUUAAUGUUCCACAAAAGCGUUAUUUAUUUUUUUUUGGUGAGCCACGUGGAGCUCAAUUAUCAUUGUCUUUACUUUAAAAACGUUAUUUUAUUUUCUUUUAUUACAAAUUAAUGCUAACAAGAAAAAGCAAGAUAUAAUAUUCCACAAAAGCAAAUCGUAAUAUUCCACAGAGGAGUAAGAUCCACAAAAGCAAACAACUAGCUGGAUUCUUUUAUUGAACUACAAAUUAAAACAACAAAUUAAAGUUCAAAUAUUUAAAUAGUAGUGCGUUAGACGAUUAGGCUCUUUUAUUAAAGGGAAGUAUAAAGUAGUCCAGAAUCGAACAUCUCUAUUGUCUAGUCUUUUUUUUUUUUUUUAAUUCUUCUUUUAUUAUUUUUCAGAAUAGGUUUUGGUGAUUACUAUUGGGUUAUUAUUGAGAGUUAUUGUUAUCUUCCGGGGCAGUUUCUGUUAAUCGAAAUCGUUAAUUAAAAUUUUAGAACUCUUAUUGGAAGAAUGUUUUUCCGUUAUUUUUUUAUAUUCUAAUUUCAAUUGUAAGAAGUAGUCAUUUUAGAAUUUGGGUCUUGAAUCGAAUUUCAAUGCAUGAAUUAAUAUUUAAAAAAAAAAUUACUACACGCAGUUUAGGUUACAAACUAUUUUUUGCAAAGUUGAUUAUGAAAUUGGAAAAAUUAAGUAAUUUAUAAUGUUUGCAAAGGAAGAGACUAACAUACUUCCAAUUACACUAUAUCUCUAUUAUCAUAAUGUUAAGAUUAAACUAACUUAAAAUAAAUUUUAUUUGAAAAGUUAUAUCAAACGCAGUCUAAUUUUAUUAACUUGAAGAGAUAAUAGUUAUAGAAAUUAUUGUUCUAACUUAAUUAGUACAAGUGGUAUAAAGGUUAAGUGUGCACUAAAUUUGUUUAAAUUUUUUCCAGAAUAACUAACAGAGGUCAUUACUAGAAUUAUAAUUACUAGUCUAUUAGAUAGAAAAAAUUAUUUAUAUUGUUUUAUAUUUAUUAAAAAAUUUUAAAGUCAAUCUUUUUAAUUAUUAUUUAAAGGAUAUUAUAAUUAAAAAAAAUUUAAUGUCUUUAUUAAAAAUUUAAAAAUUUAAAAAUUUAAAAAUUUACAUGACCGCUCUAUAAAUAUUGAAAGUGUAACUGUCAUUUUCUCAUAUAUAUAUAUAUAUAUAUAUAUAUAUAUAUAUAUAAACCACGGUGGUGAAGCUUUAUUUAAUAUUAAUGAUUUAAAUAACAAUAUCUCAAUUAAAAAUGUAGAGAGAAGAAAUUUCGGUGGGUAUAUUAGUCUUUUACAAUUAUCAUGAUUAACCCUUCCUCUUGUAACGUUGGUCAGAAAAGUUUUAAAAUGCCUUGAUUUCUUUUACUUUUAACGUUAGCGGCCUUCCUUAUAUUUUAUUACAAAUUAGUCCUAACAAGAAAAAGCGAGAUCAUAUUCCAAAAAAGCAAAAGUGACAAAAAAACCAGCUGUAUUCUUUUAUUAAACUACAAUUUAAAAUGAUUUUAAAGUGGAUUCUUUUGAAUACAGGUGGGGUAGUCGAAUAGUCUUUUUCAAAUUCUUGUUUUAUUAUUUUUCAAAACUAGUUUUUGGUAAUUACAAUCGGGUCAUUCAUUAGUCAUUAUUCAGAGUUAUUGUUAUCUUCGGGGGCAGUGGGUAAAAGGCUAAAUGAUAAUUACUAAGUGUUUUUCCUUCAAAAGUUAGUGGCUCGUGUUUUGCAAGUGUGUACGUGCGAUGCUCUUUGUCUAAAGGCAAUUACAGUGGGUCCCGAAUCGGACGUGCCUAAUAAAUCUUUUAAAAAUUUUUCUAAUAAAUAUUCCUAAAAUUUCUCUUCCACAGGCAAUUACAGCAGCUUCAGUUAAUCAAACUCAAUCAAUUUUCUUUCUUAACAAAAUUCCAAAGAUGUGUGGCUGUUUUCAGAUCACAUGCGAUGGUACUUUUUUCAAUCGUUGCUUAGAUUGCUUUCUUGGAAAAGCAGCAUACAUACGUAACCUCCAAGAUAACCUCGUUGCCUUGGAGACUGAACUAAGGAAACUAAUCGCAGCAAAGAACGAUGUGAUGACGGCGGUUGUCAAUGCUGAACGGCAACAAAUGAGAAGGCUGGAACGAGUGCAAGUGUGGGUUUCGAGUGUGGAUUCUGUUAAAACUGGAGCCGAUGAACUUAUCACAGACGGCUCUGAAGAAAUUGGCAAAUUAUGUGUUGGAGGCUACUGUUCCAAGAACUGCAGGUCAAGCUACAAGUUCGGAAAACAAGUGGCUGAAAAGCUACAACAUGUGAAGAAUUUAAUCGCCGAGGGAGUUUUUGAGGCGGUGGCCACUGAGGUGGUGCCCGAGAGAGCUCCGGAACCUGUAGCAGAUAAAAGACCCAUUGAGCCAACAAUAGUAGGCUUGCAAUCACAGCUUGAAGAAGUUUGGAGAUGUCUUGCAGAAGAAUCAGUGGGAAUCAUUGGCCUAUAUGGUAUGGGCGGUGUUGGUAAAACCACACUAUUGACCCAUAUCAACAAUAAAUUUCUUGAGAGUCCCACAAACUUUGAUUGUGUGAUUUGGGUCGUAGUUUCAAAAGACCUGCGACUUGAAAAAAUUCAAGAAGAUAUUGGGAAGAAGAUAGGUCUAUCUGAUGAUUCAUGGAAGAAUAAAAGUUUUGAAGAGAAAGCUGUGGACAUCUUGCGGAGAUUAGGAGAGAAGAGAUUUGUAUUGUUGUUAGAUGAUAUAUGGGACCGGGUUGAUUUAACAAAGGUGGGCGUUCCACUUCCCGGACCACAAAAUACUACCUCAAAAGUCGUAUUCACAACCCGUUCCAUCGAUGUUUGUGGCAGCAUGAGAGCUAGGCCGGUUAAAGUGGCAUGCCUAUCAGAAAAGCAAGCUUGGGAACUGUUCCACGAAAAUGUUGGGGAAGAAACUCUUGAGAGUGAUCAUGAGAUCGUUGAGCUAGCCCAAACAGUGGCCAAAGAGUGUGGUGGUUUGCCACUCGCACUUAUUACUAUUGGUCGAGCUAUGGCCUACAGAAAGAAAGCGGAGCAGUGGAGACGUGCAAUUGAAGAGUUAAGAAGAUCAGUUUCAGAGUUUGCAGGUUUGGGAAAAGAGGUGUAUCCUUUUUUAAAGUUCAGCUAUGAUAGUUUGCAGUAUGAUACGGUUAGAUCUUGUUUCUUGUAUUGUUGUUUAUAUCCUGAAGAUUAUGGCAUUCUUAAAUGGGACUUGAUUGAUUGUUGGUUUGGCGAGGGAUUUUUUGGGGAAUCUGACAGGUCUGGUGCAGAAAACCGAGGAUAUGGCAUUUUGGACACUCUUGUUCGUGCAUGUUUAUUAGAAGAGGUGGAAGAUGAUAAAGUAAAAAUGCAUGACGUUAUUCGUGAUAUGGCUAUAUGGAUAGCUUGUGAAAUUGAGAAGGAGAAGAGAAACUUUUUGGUUUGUGCAGGUGCUGGAUUAAAAGAGGCACCGGAUGUUAAAGGAUGGGAAAAUGUGAGAAGAUUGUCAUUGAUGCAAAACCAAAUUAAAACUCUGUCAGAGGUUCCUACAUGCCCUCAUCUCCAUACUCUAUUUCUUGACUUUAAUAAGGAGUUGGAGACGAUCGCGGAUGGCUUCUUCCAAUUUAUGCCUUCUCUCAAAGUUUUGAAGAUGUCAAACUGUGGGCAUGUCAAAGUUUUGAAAUUACCUAUUGGGAUGUCAGAGUUGGGUUCAUCACUAGAACUUCUUGAUAUUUCAAAUACCAACAUAACAGAGUUACCAGAAGAGUUGAAGUUGUUGGUAAAUCUGAAAUGUUUGAAUUUGAGGUGGACAAUUUGUUUAAAUAAAAUUCCAUGGCAACUAAUAUCAAAAUUUCAAGGUUACGUGUGUUGAGAAUGUUCGCUACUGGCUUUGCACGUUUUGAUGCAGCAUCAGAAGACAGCGUUUUAUUUGGUGGGGGUGAAGUUUUAGUACAGGAAUUGGUCGGUCUGAAAUAUUUAGAGGUAUUGGAGUUGACCUUGGGAUGUCAUCAUGCUCUCCAAAUUUUUUUGAGCUCAAAUAAGUUAAAAAGUUGUAUUCGAUCUCUUCUCCUCCAAUUGGCCGGAGAUACAAAGUCGAUUAUUGAUGCUACGGCUUUCGCAGAUCUAAACCACCUCAAUGAAUUAUGGAUUGAUAGGGCUAAGGAGUUGGAAGAAUUGAAGAUUGAUUGUAAAGAAAUAGUACAAAAAAGGCGGGAACCUUUUGUUUUCCGCAGCCUUCACCGUGUUACUAUACAUAGCUGCCAGAAGUUGAAAGAUUUGACAUUCCUCGUUUUUGCUCCAGACCUCAAGUCUCUCGAUCUAGACCGUUGCGAUGCUAUGGAAGAAAUAAUCAGCGUCGGAAAAUUUGCUGAGACUCCUGAGAUGAUGGGACAUAUAAGCCCUUUCGAAAAUCUCCAAACUCUUCAUUUAAGAGCGUUUAACAUCUUUUCUCGACGACCUGCACGAUUGCCUUUCACUCAUCUGAAGGAAAUGGAGGUAAGUGGGUGCGAUCAGCUUAAAAAGCUUCCACUCGAUUCCAACAGUGCAAAAGAGCGUAAAUUUGUUAUUCGUGGAAAAGAAGACUGGUGGAACCGACUUCAAUGGGAGGAUGAAGCCACUCAAAUUGCUUUUCGUUCCUGUUUCCAACCUGAGCGGUUAGUCGCAAAAUUUGAUUUCUGGUGAUUGCGUUUGUCUUUUAACUCUUAUAUAUAUUCUUGUCGUUUGUUUUCUUCUCUGUUUUUAACUCUUAUAUUGCGUUUGUCUUUUGAAAAUCUCCAAUUAAAUGUUGAAUUAAUGGAAUUAAUGCUUCAUAAAUUUGCCGGCACUGCCAUCACUUUUUUUUUUUUUAAUACAAAUUGAUACUUUAUUUAUAUCUUCUUAGCGAUAUAAUUUCCUGUCAAUUGACGAACGAGAAGAACAUACGACUUAAACCAAUUCACGCAUAAACUUGCUGUAAAAAGAUAUAAUCUCACUGAAAUGCACACGUCUAGAAUGAAUAGAAUUAAAACAGGGAAAAUAUUUAAGUAUAUUAGCCCUCUUUACCGAAAAUGAAAUGACAAUAAAUUUUUUGAAAGUUUUGAUUUUCUAUGGUCAAUUCCACCUUUUGCAAUUUCUUCUGUUCUAACAAAAACCAAUUUCUUUGUUCAAGUAUUUUCGUUUGGGUAUUAAUAAUUCUCCACCGAAAGAGUGAACUCUUGCUCAAGGGAUCUCUAAUCAAUAGCCGGAAGGGCGCCGAGACCUGAUCGGACCUAGGCCCAAGUUUGGUCUUAAAGCCUGGGCUUGAGCCUGGCAAUUAAAUUAAAACAUUAAUUGAUUUCUUGAUUGAAUUGUCGUGUAAUUGAUUUAUGGGGGAUGACACAUCAACAUGCUUGAAAACACACUAAUCUCAGCAUCAUCGGUUAAUAACUUUUAGAAUUAUGGGUAAUCAAUAGUUAAGAUUAGUUGUCAUUAAUACUAAAUAUUUUUUUACUAUUUUCGUCUCUUCUAGAGGAUCUUCUAGAAAAAUGCAUCCACAACAAAAUUUAAUACUUUACAUAAUAAACAAAGCAUAAAUGUUAAAUUUAAGAAACUGCAUUGUAUUUCAGCUGAAGUUGACUUUAAUAUUUAGGGUAGAAAAAUAAUAAAUCCUUAAUGUGUUUAAUUUCUAUCACUUGUGUCAUUAAAAUUUUCUAGUCACCCUAACCAAUUACAUCUCAACCCACUUUUUUUUGGAUGAUUUUAUUUUUACACUAUUAUUUUCAUCAUUUUUUUUCCUUUUAACACCAACAUUAGUGUAUGUUACGUAACAUAAUUCAUAUUUGGAUAAUUUGAAAUUUGUUUGUGUUUUAUCUCAAAAUAGAGCUUCAAUCAAUUUGUACCUCAUAAAUUCACAAUAUCUAUGAGGGCUAAUAAGACCAAACUCUGGCAUAUUGUCAAAUGUGCUUAUCCUUUUGCUUGACAUGUCAUUUUAAAAUUGUCAUUCAAUGCCAAAAAAUCACAUCAACUGAUGGCCGACUACUUUAAUUUGAAAGCAUGCAUGCGAUCGCCAAUAAUUAUAACUUAAUUGUUAUUUUGAAAUUUUUUUCUUUAUAAUUUUUAAGUUUAAUACUACUACAUGUGCAGCACAUAAGUUGGAAAAUAUAACAUAAAAUUUGAAAAAUGUGUAGCUUUCGUUCCUUUUUUUUCUUAAAAAUGAGGAAAAAGAAUGUAAUUUUGUUUAAAUUACUGUUGUGAUAACAAUUAUUAUUUUAUUGAUUAAUUGGCAGAGAAUGGUUAUGGUUUCGCAUGGUUGUUAAAACAUUGGAAAAUCCACUACAUCAUCCGUUAAUAACUUUCAGAUUUAUGGUUAAUCAAUAGUUGAGAUUUGUUAUCAUUAAUGUUAAAUAUUUUUUUAAUAUUUUUUCUCUCUCCUAGAGGAUCAUCACAGCAAAAAUUUAAUAUUAUAAAUAGUAAACAAAAUAUAAACAGUUAAAUCUAAGAAACUGCAUUGCAUUUCAGCUGAAGCUAACUUUAAUAUUUAAUGGAGAAAAAUAAUUAAGUCCUUAAUGUACUUUAUUUACCCAUACUGAUACGCUCUUAAUUCGUGAAACUGAGCAACAUCAAAAUUAUCACUACUUCGAGCGAGUGUUUGCUCCAGAAGAAAGAACUGGAAGUUGAGAAAUGAGAAAGAAGAAAAGAAGAAGAGUCACAGCGAGGAAUAAAAGUGGUCCAUUCAUUUCAUGCCUUCCCAAAAUGACAAAAUCCCGCAAUAUAUAACAGACAAUCGAAAAUAACCAAUUUGACAACGCAACAGAAAAUGACAAAAAAGAAUCCAAAACAAACGUAGCCAAUCACAAUGCUUUUACAGAUCAUCCUAAACGACGUAGUCUCGUAGCCAAUCUAGAAGUUUCUUGUUUCGUUUGGGCCGUUGAUUCUCUUGCACUGGCUCAUGGUGAAUGUCCUCUUUGGGUUGACUGACUGUGGGUUCUCGGUUGAGCUCUUCCACUUGCGCCCCCUCUAAUGGCUCUAAUUUGAUAUAUAAAUUCGUAUCAUUCCCUCCUGCUUGAAAACACACAUUGUCCUCAAGGUGAAAUGCUGGAUAGAGCUUACAAAAGGCGUCAAAGUUUUCCCAAGACGAAUUCUUCGGUGAACUGACGGUCCAUUGAACUAACACUUGAAGCGUUGGCUUCCCCUGUUGCAAAACUAUUCGGGUUGCACAAAUGGCAGCCGGUAGCAAAAGAGGAUGGUUAUCCACACUCAACUCUGGUAAAGGAUGUGAAAUAGCAGGGUCGUUGCCAUGAUAAUGCUUAAGGACAGAGAUGUGAAAAACCGAGUGGAUUUUGGAAGUAUUGGGUAACUCCAAUUUGUAAGCUACAUACCCCACUCUAGCAAGUACCGUAAAUGGCCCGUAGUAUCACUUGGCCAACUUCUGACAGGCGCGAGAAGCUAUAGUGGUCUGUCGAUAUGGCUGUAAUUUAACCAGCACUUUAUCCCCUACUUCAAAGUGAGCUUCACGGCGAUGGGCAUUAGCUUUCUGAGCCAUUCGAUGUUGUGCUUGCCUCAAAUUAGCUUUUAAAGAUUGGAGAAGAGUAUUACGUUCAAGGAGAAUGUCCUCCAAAGUUUGGAUUGAAGUAGAGCCCUUAGCAUAAUGAGGAAUAGUUGGAGGCAAUCGGCCAAAUAAAGCUUGAUAGGGAGACAUCUUCAAGCCACUGUGGAAAUGAGAAUUAUAACUAAAUUCUGCCCAACUCAGUAAGGAAACCCACUUCCGUGGUUUGUCUUGAGUGAAAGCUCGUAAAUAUUGCUCCAAUCCUCAAUUUACCACUUCCGUUUGACCAUCCGUUUGAGGGUGGUAUGCCGUGCUAUGACGAAGAGUUGUGCCACUUAAGAGGAAUAAUUGUUUUCAAAAAUUGCUCAAGAACACUGGGUCUCGAUCGGAGAUAAUUGAACUUGGAAAACCAUGUAUUUUAAUGACCAUGUCCACAAAGAGUUCAGCUGUCUUGAGGGCAGUAAAUUGACAGGGUAACGGACCAAAAUGGGCAAAUUUUGUAAGACGAUUGACAACAACCAAUAUGACCGAGAAACCUUGUGCUAACGAAAGACCUAUAACGAAAUCCAUUGUGACCUCAUCCCAAACCAUAUUAGGUAUCGGCAAUGGUUGAAGAAGACCAGCAGGGGCUUGAGUGGAAUACUUAGUUUGCUGGCAUAUUAAACACUCUCGGAUAAACGUUUCCACAUCAUGACGCAUCUUGGGCCAAUAGAAUGUUGAAGAUAAUCUGAUUAAGGUUCUAGUGACACCCACAUGACCUGCCAGUGGUGUAGAGUGAAAUUCUUGCAAUAGUACGACUUUUAAAGAGGAGGUAGGACUGAUGUAAUAACGCUGACGGUGGAGAAGAAAUCCGUUUUGAACAGAGAAGUCAACUGACAGUUUGCCUUGUAAAAGUUGCUGGUGAAGUGAUAUUAAAUCAGGUAAUGUGGUAUUCUCAUUAAGUAAUGACUGCAGCAAUUCAAAUGAAGGAUGGCUGUUGAAAGAAAGGCAAGUGGGGGAGAUGUUGAUGUUAUCCUCAGGAGCUGUUUCAUGGACACGGGAUAGAGCAUCAGCGGCGCUAUUGGUACAACAUGGUCUGUACUCAAUUCUGAAUUGGAAACCCAAUAAUUUGCGGAGAUAAACUUGCUGAUCUAGUGUUUGUAUCACUUGUUGAAGGAGUUCUUUGAUACUCUUAUGAUCCGUGCGGAUAACAAAGAAUCGGCCCAACAAAUACUGCCGCCACUUAUACACAGCUUCUACAAUUGCAUGCAACUCCUUGAUGUAAGUGGAAGAAGCCCGCAAUUUGGGACCCAACUUCUUGCUGAAAUAAGCAAUUAAAUGCCCAUGUUGUGUAAGUACAGCUCCUAUGCCUACAUUAGAAGCAUCGGUCUCAAUGACGAAUUCGAAAGUAAAAUUCGGCAACUUAAGGACUGGAGCUUGCACCAUUGCUUGUUUAAGAGCUUCAAAGGCCUCCAUGGCUGUCAAAUUCCAUUGAAAGGCAUCAUUUCGCAGCAAAUCAGUGAGUGGGGCUGCCAAGGAAGCAUAACCACGGAUGAAGCGCCUAUAAUAUCCAGUGAGACCAAGAAAACCCCUCAACUGUUUGAUAGAACGUGGAAUUGGCCAAUUAAGCAUGGCAUCAAUCUUUUGGGGGUCGGCUUGUACUCCCGAGGCUGAAACAAUACGGCUUAGAUACUCAAUAGCGGCUUGGCAAAACAAACAUUUGGAUAAUUUAAUAAAAAAUUGAUGAAGAUGUAAACAAGCUAAUACUUUCUCAAGAUGAAGCAAAUGCUCGGCCAUGGAGGAGCUAUAAACCAAGAUAUCAUAAAAAAAAACGAUCACAAAUUUCCGGAGAUGAGCUGCAAAAAUCUGAUUCAUUGUGGCUUGAAAAGUGGAUGGGGCAUUUGUCAACCCAAACGGCAUGACAAGAAACUCAUAAUGGCCCUCAUGUGUUCAAAAUGUCGUUUUGUAUAUGUCGCGGUUGUGGACACGAAUUUGAUGGUAUCCCGCGCGCAAAUCCAAUUUGCUAAAAAUGGUGGCGCCCCCAAGUUCAUCAAACAACUCAUCGAUUGUCGGUAUAGGAAAUUUGUCUUUGAUGGUUACGGCAUUUAAUGCACGAUAGUCAACACAAAACCGAUAGGUGCCAUCUUUUUUCUUGACCAAGAGAACCGGGGAGGAAAAAGGGCUUUAGUUCGGUCGGAUUAUGCCCUACUCUGACAUUUCCCUGAUCAGUUUUUCCAUUUCAGAUUUCUGGAAGUGUGGGUAGCGGUAUGGACGAACAUUGACGGGGGCUGUGUUGGGUAAUAAAUGGAUUUUGUGGUCAAUAGUUCUGUGCGGUGGUAGGCUAGAAGGUUGGAGAAAUAGGUGUUUGUAUUGCUGUAAAAGGUUGAGAAAUUGAGCAGGAAGGGAAAAAGGAAAUUCAAGUGAGGAAGUGUCUGUGAUGGAAAAUGAAGGCAAAGCAUCGAUAGCGGGCACUGGUUGUAAGGCACAAAGGCUGGUCACGGUAUCACUUUGAACCAAUACCUGCAAUUGAUUAUAAGUGAUCAAAUUAUUAGAAGACAAAUCACCAUGAAGCAUCACUGGUUGCUCAUUUAAAGAAAACUCCAUAGGACACUUUGCCCAAUUUCUGUAGCCAUUGAAUGCCAAGGACCACAUAUGUGCCCUCAAUUGGCAAAAUGAAGAGGUCUACCAUAAAAGCCGUGCCUUGCAUUGUUAAGUUCACUUGAGGACAGAACUGUUUACACACCAGGAAGUCACCGUUGCCAAUAUACACUCGGAAAUUGGUAGUUGGAUGAAUGGCUAACCCCAAUCGUUCCGCUAACGCCGGUUUUAUGAAAUUGUGAGUGUUGCCACUAUCAAUCAGCACUUGAAAGGUGUGCGAAUCAAUUUCUCCAAUUAAACGAAGAGAGCGAGGAUUGGCCUGCCCUGCUAGAGCAUUUAAGCUAGAGAUGUCACCAGUAAUACCAGCAUCUACCAAUUCUGAUGGUUCCUCGUUAUUUUUGGGUUCCAAUUCUUCAUCAUCCGUGCCCAUGAGAAGUAGAAAUUUACUGCGACAGAGAUGAUUGUUGCUGUAUUUUUUGUCACAAUUGUAACAUAAACCCUUCUCGCGUUUGUCGCAAAGUUCAGCCGAAGACAAACGGCGAAUUGGUAAUGUUGGUGUCGAUAAUAAUGCAGGUAAAGUGUUUGAUUUAUUGGUAUUGUGGGUUUGUGAGGGAAGAGUUGAAGAUGAUACGGGGGUGAUGGCUGUGGUAACAGUUGCAAGUGAUGAGGAUGGAUAAAUGGGUUUGGGUUGUGUUUGGAAACCAUGUGAAAGGGGAUAUGGUUGCUGCCAUUUAGGCCAUGAGCGUGAGCUCUGUUUCACUUCGUCAUAUUUGGCCUCAAAAGCACGAGCUAAAGUUUCCAUUAGUGAAGACGGUCUAGAGAAAAGCAAUUCCCGUCGAAUGUUGGGUUUCAGACCAGUGAUGAAAAAACUAAUCAAAAGAAGUUCAGAAAUUCCAGUGACCUUGUUCAUUAAAUCUUCAAAAGCUGACUGGAAAUCUGCAACCGUGGUAGUUUGACUCAAUUUGGACAAAUCACCUUGGGGAUCUUCACACAAAGAAGCACCAAAACGAUAGCGCAAGUUAGCUAAAAAUUCUUGCCAAGUAGUGAGCAAGUGAUUGUUCUUUAUCCAUUGAUACCACGCUGCAGCGCGACCCUCCAUAUGAAAAGAGACAAUCCGUAGUCGGAGGAUCUCAGGUGUGUCAUGAAAGUCAAAAAAUUCUUCUAUUCGAAAAAUCCAUCCAUUUGGGUCAGACCCAUCGAAUUUGGGCACAUCCAUUUUCAUGGAACAAAGUACUGGAGAAACUUUAGAACCAGUAAGAACGCCAUCAUAUUUAGAAGAUGAAGGGUGUGAAGGGUUGGAGGAACCAACUGGUUUGUUGGAAGACCCAUGAAUUUAUGUACGUAACUCCUCAAAACGAGAGUCAACUGAUGUCAUGAAUUGUUGGAUUGUUUGAUGGAUGGACAGUUGCUACCCAUCAAGUUUGGCGUCAAAAGUUGCUUGAAGGGUCUGUAAAGCAUAAAGAAUUUCAGAAUUUGCCAUGAUCAAUGAAAGCACCAGUGAUACGCUCUUAAUUCGUGAAACUGAGCAAUAUCAAAAUUAUCACUACUUCGAGCGAGUGUUUGCUCCAGAGGAAAGAACUGGAAGUUGAGAAAUGAAAAAGAAGAAAAGAAGAAGAGUCACAGAGAGGAAGAAAAGUGGUCCAUUCAUUUCUUGCCUUCCCAAAAUGACAAAAUCCCGCAAUAUAUAACAGACAAUAAAAAAUAACCAAUUUGACAACGCAACAGAAAAUGACAAAAAAGAAUCCAAAACAAACGCAGCCAAUCACAAUGCUUUUACAGAUCAUCCUAAACGACGUAGUCUCGUAGCCAGUCUGGAAGUUUCUUGUUUCGUUUGGGCCGUUGAUUCUCUUGCACUGGCUCAUGGUGAAUGUCCUCCUUGGGUUGACUGACUGUGGGUUCUUGGUUGAGCUCUUCCACUUGCGCCCCCUCUGAUGGCUCUAAUUUGAUAUAUAAAUUCGUAUCACAUACAUGCGGUUAAUUUUUUAAGAUAAAGGGGAAGGAUGAUGCUCAAAAAUAUAAAUUAUAGAAUUAAUUGAACUCUCAAAUAAGUUUAAAGUUCAUUAUUUUUAAUUACAUGUUUAUAAUUUAUUUUUAUUUCGUAUUAAUCUAUAGAUCUAAAUCCACUUUGGAUUCAUAUACACAUAUAGACAUAAUGUGUAUGUUAAUCUAUAGGUCUAAAUUCACUUUAGGUCUAUAUAGGUAUUUUGACAAAUGUACUCCAAUCAUGCAUAUUGGCAAGUUCAAAUUCAAUUUGGAAUAUGGUCAUGGUACGUUCUUGUUCUUCCCUCUUUACGAGUGCAUUCCCCCCAACCUCAAGCUCCCUCUCUCGUCUUCAAUGUCACUGCUUAUAUCCUUAUGUUGUUCUAGUUUGAAACAGUGGCUUCCACUAUUUCAGGGCCCCCAAAAAUCCAGAAACAUACUAUUCAUCACGAUGACAAAAUUUUGGGCAGGCAGGUGCUUCCUGACUUUCACACGGUAAUUCUCAAAUUCUGAUUUCACCAUAUUUUAAUUACUGAUUAUGCUCUCCAUUAUAAUAGAAGUCGCCGCCACACUAGUGAUUCCAAACUUUAUCUUUUUUCCUUUUUUAAAUUAAUGCAAGUAGCCGCUGUCCUUUUUAUUAAUUAAUUAAUUCGGCCGCCCACAUUUCUUUUUCUAAUGUCUUCUACUGUCGAGUUUAUUUUAUUUUCCCUUUAUUCUUAAAAUAUACUUAUAAUAAUAAAAUAUAAAAAUAAAAAUAAAAAUUAACAUAUCAAAAUAUAAUUUAACAGAAAAUUAAGAUGAAAAAUAAAAAAAAAUAAAUUCUGAACAUAUCAAUCAAUAAAUGAAAAAUAAUAAUUUUUAUUUUUAUUAAAUAUAUUUUUUUCAGUAUUAAUCAAUUAUCUGAAUAACUAAAAUCAUUUAAAAAUAAAUAAACAAAUUAUUCUUUAUAAAAAAAAAAAACUUUUUAUAACACUCACUAUGCUGGUUGUAGGGUAGACGCUUUGGGGACUGAAGUUGGUAACUUCUACAAGUAGUCUUAAGUUGAUAACUUCUACAAGUAGUCUUAAGUUGACUGGCAAAUGUUCUCAGUAUUAUAUUGGUGUGUCGAUAUUAUCUCUAACUGCCUUAUAGAUAAAAAAAUAAUCUAAAUUUAAAAUUUAACAUAAAAUAAAAUAAUUGGUAGAAAAACAAUUAUGGUUCAUUUACUUAUCAGUAAUCAGAAUAGACUGAAAUCGAAAUGAGUUGUAUUACCGUUGAUGUGUUUAUGUUGUCCUCGAAUCGGAAUGAAUUAUUUUAAGUUACUAAAAUAUCCUUGGUUUGUUAUUCUAAUUAUUAUUAUUUAAUAUUUAUUAUAAUAUUUGUCAUAUCAUUAAAAAGAAAUAAUAAUGAUGAUAAUAUUAUCAUUAUUGUUUGUUACAUUAUUAUUAUUCAAAAAAAUUAUUGUUAAUAACAAUAAUUACUUUAUUUCAAUACUAAUAAUGAUAAAAUUAAUAAUAACAAACAACAAUAAUUAUUUAUUAUGCCAAAAAUAACAAUAAUAAUAAUCAUCAUCAUUUUUUUUCCCAAAGAAGCAUUAUCAUCAUUUCAAAAAAAAUAUCAUCAUUAUCAUCAUCAUUUUUGUAGUGGCUGCCUAUCGGCUGUUGCUUUCAUGUGAGAUUGACUUGCGACGCUUCAACGGCUAUUAUUUCUGGCAAUGUCAGGUGUUACUGUUUCAAUUUAGGAAGAAGCUGUUUCGUUGUGCUAACGAUGGGAGAUGUUGUGGCUGCGAUUCGGGGAGCUACUAGUUUAUUGCACUAAUGACGGCAGGUGCUGCUGCUUGAUGCGAGGUCCAUGGCCAGUUGUCAGCAGUUCGACUUUGGUAUGGGUGCUGCUGGUUCGAUUUUAGGUGUUGUCCAAUUUCAUUUUCAGGAUUUUAAUUUUAUUUUUCUUUUAUAUUUUCAUUAAUUAAUCAGGACAAAGUUGGAUUUUAGAAUUUGGAAUGAAGGUAAUUUUGUUAAUCAUGGAAAUGAGAUUCUGAUUGUCGAGAAUGAGCUUACACAAACAACUACAAAUUAAGUGAAAACAAAACGCUUUUUCUCUUUGUGUGAUUAAAACAUGAUAUGUACCAUAAAUAAAUAGGUAAAAAAUAAAUUAAUACAAUCCAAAACAGUAAACUAAUUACAAGAGGCACAAAUUUUUAUGUGAAAUACCAAAAAUAGAAAAAACCACAGCAUCUUAGUAUGAGAUAAUCUUCUACUAUAUUAAUGAGAUUAUAGCACAAAUUCUUCCUUAUAUAACACUAGAGGUUAACAACAUCAAGAAUUUCAAUAAUCUUGACUUACAAUACAGCCUAAUAUUUGUCUCUCUAAUAAGUAGAUAUCUAAAAUAACAGUCUCUAAUAAAUAAGUAUCUCAAAUAACAGUCUCUAAUAAGUAUCUCAAAUAAUAAUUUCUAAUAAGUAUGUAUCUCAAAUAAUAGUUAACAAGAGGAUAAAACAAAAAUUAAGAUUAGUAGGAUUGUAUAAGGCGAUGCUAUCAACUUAUCUUCUAAAUUUGAGAAAAAUAGUUAAAUUCACUUUUUCGAUUGUGACCAAAGAUGGAAACCUUUGCCCCAAAACCAAAGGAAUCACCAUUUCUCUCUCUCUCUCUCUCUCUCUCUCUCUCUCUCUCUCUCUCUCUAUCUCUCUCUCUCUCUCUCUCUUCUUCUACUUUUCUUAAUGUUAGCCGCCACUCGCUUUUAUUCUUUAUAGCAUUUAAAAAGCUACUUUUAAUGGUAAAUUUCAUUUAAGUCCAAAACUUAGUGAUAAUUGUACACCAAACAAUUCUUUUUGGACUAUGAGCUUUUGGGCCUCCAAAUGAGAUGAAUACAACAAAUCUCCCCCUUUAGAUCAUGUGGGGGGCACCACAAGCCUGCUCUCUGCAUAUAGUUUUUCAACUUCUCCUUGAAUAAUGACUUUGUCAUCAUACAUAACCCAUUCUCUGUUGUGUAAAUUUUCUCAAGCUGUAGCUGUUGCUUCUCAAGCACGUCUCGUAUCUAAUGAUAUCUCACAUCAAUAUGCUUAGAUUUCGAAUGGUUUAUCAAAUUCUUUGAACGGCACUCUGACUGUCGCAGUACAUAACAUAGCUGUCUCGUUUUACACCCAGCUCUUAUAGGAAAUUCAUUAUCCAUAAUAUUUUUUUGCAACCUUCAAUAAUUGUUAUAUCAUUUGCUUUAGUGGUAGAAAACGUAACUUAUUACUAAAGUUUAGAUUGCAAUGAGACUUCUCCCCCUGCAAAAGUGAGCAAACAUCCUAGAAGGAAUUUUUCGGAAUCAACAUCUUCUGCCAUAUCUACACACUUGUAACACAGGUUUGUCACCACUAAAAUAUAAACAUGCUCUGGAAAUGCCUCUAAGAUAUCUGAGAAUUUUUCAUUGUUGUCCAAUGCUCUUUUAUAAUAAAUACAAACAUAAUGAAUUUAUAAAACAUUUAGAGUAUUUUGAAUAUUAUAUAAAAUAAUUUUAAUAUAAUGCAUGAGAUAUAUUUUAUUAAUUUAAAAUGCUAUUUAAUCUAAAGAUUUAUUUAAGAUAAAUUAAUAAUUAAAUUUUUUUAAUUAUUUCAAAUAUUAAAAAUUUGUAAUAUUAUUAGUCUAUUAGAUAGAUUAAAUUAUUUAUUUUAUUUUGUAUUUAUUAAAAAAUUUUAAAGUCAAUAUUUUUAAUUACUAUUCGAAGGAUAUAAUGAUUAAAAAAAUCUUAAUAUUUUUUAUUAAAAAUUUAAAAAUUUACAUGACCAUUUCUAUAAAUAUUUAGGGUAUAUAUGAGCCACGGUGGAGAAGAUUUAUUUAAUAUUAUUGAUUUAAAUAAUAUCUAAUUAAAAAUAUACUGAGAAAAAAUUUCGGUGGGUAUUUUAGUCUUUUCAGCAAUCACAUGAUUAGCCUUUGGGCUUUGGCCUUGAAACGUCGGUCAGAAAAGUUUUAAACUGCUUAAUUGUUUUUCACUUUUAACGUUAGUGGCUGCUUAUAUUUUAGGAAAAUGAGAUUCUCACCACAGUGAGAACCACACUGAGCACAGAACGGUGCGUUUUGUGCUCAGUAUAAAUUCUAACUGUAGCGGAAAUAUCGCAACACAAACGCGCCAUUCCAAACCCACGCGCGUUCUCCCUCACGCCAGCAAAUCUCACCACGCUUCCUCCUCACUGUAAGCGCCCCCCCUCCCCGGGGGCGGUCGGCUGCGUCACGCUCCCUCACGGCGCCUCACUCUCUCGGCUCUCUUAGAAAAUUGAAUUGCGGCUUCCGCCGUGGGGUUCUCUCCUCAACUGCCGUUGUCUCGUCUCUGACAGCUGCCUUAAUCAAAUUCUGAAGGUAGUUUGCUUCAAUUCAUUACAUUAAUUUCAAAUUUGGUUUGUGUGGGAUUAUGAGUUUGUGAAGAUUUAGUUCUGUUUCAUGGUAAACUAUUUUUUGCUCAGUGUGUUGAGAAUAUCAGCACGGUUUAAAAUUCUUUUUAGAUUCUGUCGUAAAGUUUUCUUUGUAUUGGGCAAGUCAGUUACUUUAGUUUUGUGUCUGAAAACAAAAACACUUAGCUUAGUGAGUUUUAAGAGAUUUUGCUAUUUUGUUCAACGAAGCUUAAAAAGGGGAAGCUUUUAUGGCGUCUGUGAGCCGAGGCAAUUUGGAUCGGGUGCUUUUUCAGUUCAUUUGUUUGUUUCUUAUUUGGGUUCUUUAUUGUUAGAUGUUCUUUUGAGAUUCUGGCAUCUGGCAUCUGGCUACUUGCUUUUGUGGAGUUUUUUUAUUAUUUGAAUUCUGUGAAUUCUUUGUUUUCUUUCCCAAAUGAUUCCACUCUAUAAAAUAUAUAUUGUGCUUGGCUAGAAUUUUCUUUUAGAUAAUUGCAUCCUGUACAUUGGCUUAACCUGUCAAGAAUGAGAAUGAUGGAAGAUGCCUAUCUUGGAAAGAAUAUAUUGAGUUACAUAGUACCGGUUCCAAAUGAAUAAAUUGGAACUUGCCUAAAACAGGCACCAAUCCACCAUGACACCAAGCCUUUUUAAAAUUUUUUUUUUUUUAAGUUUAAAGAAACUUAUGUUGCUUCUUUAGAUCUGUUUUAGCUUAUGAUGAAUUUUGCUAAUGGUAAAAUCCCUCCCCUUCAAAGUUGGGGGAGGGGAAGCAUCUAUAUGCAUAUGUGUACAUUAUGGAGCUCGAACUACAUGUCGCAGUAAUACAUUAUUCUCUUUGCUUUGCAGGUUUUGAUCAACAUGAGUGAUUGGGAUGUAGGUCUGUGCUUGAGAGGCCGGAGUGAUGACCAGAAUUCUGUCAACCAGACCAAAGACAAUCAACUGAUGAAGUGUUGUUGUUCUCUAUAUUGAUUGUUGGAAAUUAUGUGUUAUUUCCAGAUUUUUAGAAAAUUAUGAUUGCUGGAAAUAAUUAUAUAUGUACAAUCAUUAUGUCCUCCAGCACAAGUGAAUUUCCAAACCCACAACUGAAAGCUUGCGAAAAAUUUGUAGAAAAUUUGUACAUCAAAUCCACAAGCUAAGUGUUGUAUCAGAAUAUGAAUGACAAUAAAACAAAAAUCUGUGUUCUUCAUUCUUAAAAUACUAAUACAAUACAAGUACAUUCUUAUUCUGAGAAAUAACUACCUAUUAACUCCAUAUUCAUUAUCUUGUUGAAAGAGUAGCUGCUGAAAAUGUCCAUGUCGCUGAGCUUGUAUGUGCUAUUAAAAAAAAAUUAAACAUCUUGUUGUCAUCCGAAAAAAUAAAGAAGGCAAGAUGAACAAAUAAAAAACUUAUCACUACUUACGGUGCAAGAAUUUUAUGUAGAUAUUGAAUAAACAUUAUCCUCAAUUAUUUGUCACAAUAAUUUAUAUUCAAUUCAUGGUGUGUUGCAGCAAGCUUCCAUUGUUUAACUAAAUGACAGCUGAAUCUUUACAACUAAUUAUCUUUACAAUCAAAUUUGGAAUUAAUUAAGCAAAUUACCGCUAGAAAUCGACGAGUGAAGCUAAGAGAGUGAGGCUGCAAGUCGAAUUUUUGAGACAGCCGAGAGAGUGAGGCGCUGUGAGAGAUGCAAUGGACGGGCGAGAGAGAGACGAAGCCGAUGGUGAUUGCUGCAUUGGUAGGAUUGAGGGAGAGAGCGAAAGAGCCAGAGCGUGCGUGCUUGUUCUGCCAGAGAGCGCGUAUGUUUUUUCUCAAUGCGCGUGUUGCGUAAUUAUCCAUCUACAGUGACCAUUUUAUAGUUAUCUUGAAACGCACCGUUCGGUGCUAUAUGUGGGGCUGAAUGUUGUGAGCAUAUCGGUGCUGUAUAUUUUAUUAAAAAUUAAUGCUAACAAGAAAAAACCCCUCAAUGAAUGAGGGUGAGAUUGCUAAAAAUUACGACAGGUGAUAUUUUAUUAUUAUUAUUAUUAUUGGGGGAGAAAUCCUCACCAAAGUGAGGAGAUUUUAUCAAAAUCAAAAUAAAAAUAUAACAAGAACUGAAAGUUGGGCAGCCUAAAAGCUAGAUAAACUAAAAUUCAGGCGCCUAAAAACAACCUUAUGCAAAAGAGAAGCAACAUGAGACCGAUCAAGUAAAAGAAUCCACCGCAACACCUAAAUUGGCCAAAUUAUCUGUUGGUAUUACAAGUUUCUUGUUAUAAAAGUGUAGAAUGAAGAAGGUGACGUAGUUUUAAGUUACAGCUGCAUGCCCGAUCGCAAUAUCAAAUAAUGAUUAAAUAUCAAAUAAUACUUAAAAUAGUUGCCUAGACCCGCCACAAUUUAUAUUAACUCUUAAAUUUAUAAAUAAUUAAAUUUUUAAAAGUUCGGAUUUAUAUUAAAAAAUCUUCAUAUAAAUAAAUAAUAUAUGCACUUUUACAACACAGUCUUUAAAUUUAAAUUUUUCUAGAAAAAUCUUCUGUAUAUCUUUUCUAUUAAAAAAUUUCCAUAUAAAUAAAUAAUAUACCUAAUUUAAUUGGACCCAGCGCAACGCAUAUGCAUAGAACACAUUCCGAAAAGCCAUGAUAUUCGGAAAUUGACGAAUGAAAAGUGAGGAGGCAGCAGUCAAUGCUAUUUCGGCUUGGCCCAAAAUUGAUUUAUCAGUUUGACGUGUGCCAGGAAUGAAGAACUGGAAUAUCACCAUCAAGCAAGCAACCUGCGGAGCAAUACCAUAGAAUGCACAAUCCGGCUUUGCAAGGUGACACUGGAGGCUUUUUGAAAAGUGCUUCACGCUCACUUGACAGAUUGAGCAUCCCCUCUGGAUAUUGCCCUCUCUGAUCGAAUCUGAGCACUCAAAUUUCGGUCCUCAGAUGGAGCUACAGCUUUCUCUCCAAUAACCAACAAUUUUCUAAACUCAGCACCUAGUGUGAUCAGAGUUGUUGAUAUUUGUAAAUGGAGAUCCCCGUAUUUGCAAAUGGAGACAUUUACCAAAUCACCAACAUGCUUCAUCCAGUCUACGAAAUUCUGCAGCUGAUUCAAAUCCGGAACCUGAACAAGAGUCGGAGGUAAAUCUUGAGCCAUAUCUAAAGCAGUCUGAAGUUCAAGUACUUGAGCCCUUGACAAUGGUUUUGAAAUUGGAACAUCUUGGAUUACUGCAGACUUGUGCCCCUUGGUUUCAAAGGUAAGGAAAGGCAUUGCUUGAGUACAAUUUGGAGGCAGCUUCUUCACCAAUUUUAUUUGGAGGCGAUUGGCAGCGGAUCCAGCUGCACCAAUUUCAGAGCAAAUACUGACACUACUUCGAACAGCACACUGAAGAAGUGAUAUGUCUACGGCAAAGGCAAUGCAGUCCUCAUUUUGGCUUGAGAUGCAGUAAUCAUCGAAGAGAGUUUCCUUGUGAAACUGGGCAACACAUUGAAUCCCUUCGCCACUGAGAAGGUUGCGGAGGAAGUAAGCUUUCUCUCUAGUGAGGAAGAGGUGGCAUACCUUCCCCAUGUCUAGGGCAGGUAGGAAUCUUUUUUCUAAGAGAUUUACUUCAUUCUCUGUGAGAAAUGCUUUGAACUUCAUCCCUCUGUCUCUAUCCUCACUUAUCAGUAAAAUAGUUGAAAGUGCUACAAGGAGAGAAAAGAAGAGUAUUAAGAUAUAUAUAGACAAGAAAAACAUUAGAUGUCGAUCUUACAAGCUAAUACUUCAAACAGUAUCCUAGAAAGCUAAAAACUGCAAAAUGGCUUGACAUUUGAAAAGAACACAUGCUUUUCCUCCUUAACUUGAGAAAAUGUUUAAUAUAGUGCACCUUACAGAAACAUUUAAGCAAUUAGAACUUUGCACAAAAAUAUUCAAGAAGACUAAACAAAUCAGAUGCAGUGUAUUUCUCCAAGCACAAAUGGCAUUGCAUUUUUUCCUCAACUGUAAUAUUUAUUGAUGAAAAUCAGUACAGGUCCCUCAUUUGUUAUGGAAAGCUUUCUUGUAGUCUGACUGGUUAAUUCACGGAUCUAUAAUUAUCUUGCAAAGUUACAGGCAUUUCUUUCGAUUUAAAGUCUUUGCAUCACCACCUCAUCACACACCUAGCCAAUAUUCCGUCUACUUCUACAACAAAAAGUUUUAAGUAAACGAUCCUAAUGCAUGCAGCCAAAUAAAAUGCAGUAAGAAUAUUCAACUUAAAACUCUGAAAGCCAUCUUGGUGAAUUGCCUCCUUAGGGGAAGUUCCAUGAUUUACUAUACUUGACAGGACUGAGCAAAAGCUUACAUACAACAGAUUUUGAAAAUGAUGAUGCCAAUAGAUACUCAUACAAUCCAUUGAAACUCCUAAGGUCCAUUGUUCACAGAGGUUUACAGAGUUUUGGUUAUCAAAUAGCUCAGACCUUAAUCCCAAACAAAAAACGAGUGAAAAUUAGAUCACCAGCAGCAAAUUGUAAAUUCUAACUUAACUCUUCAUCUCCUUUGUAAACAGGAGACAAAAUGGAGACACGCAAAAUGAAUAAGGAGAACAUUUGAACUCAAAUGAAAUGAGGGCACGAAAGCAAACAAAUGGCAUGCGCAAACAAACCAAGCCUCAAUCAAAAACUAAUUAACCAUUAAAAAACAAAACUGGUCAGCUUCUGGUGUUCUCAAAUUGUAUAACAAGAGAUCGACACAUCGAAUCAGAAGAACUCAAUUCAAAUUUGUCUCAAAAAUCAAAAUUAGAAGAUUUCACAUUUCGAGAGGAACAAGCGACAGGUCAGAUGCAAAAUUUUCAGCCAUAACAUGCCACAAUUAACGGUUUAUUUCCAUGGAUUUAGAGAGCUGACUGACCUUUUGGCUUUUGGAAUUGAGAAGAUCGCGCGCCAAAAUGGAAGAGGGAAAGCGAAAGUGCGGGUUUUAAUAGGGUAUUGGAUUAGCAAAUUUUAUUAGUUUGCGAGGGUAAAAUAGGAAAGUGAUAUCACUAUUAACCUUUUUUUUAAUAAGAAAAAAGAAUAAUAAAGAAUAUUUUAUUGUCAUUUGCAGCAUUUAUUUUUUUUAAAUGCUAUUAGAAAAAUACGACAACAAAGAAAUGCUCUUUUUUUUUUUUUUUUUUUUCUCGAAGGUAAAAUCAAUUAUUUAGCUCCUUAUAUGUAAUCAAACUACAUUUCUUACUUUAAGUCAUAUCCAACGGACCAACAAAGUAAUUAUUUUUUUUUUCAUUCAUUUUUGCAGAAAAUUAAUAACUUAAAAAUAUUGAAAGCUAUUGUAAAAUUUUUUAUUAUCAACCUCAUAGUUUUAUUUUUUGGGAAGAAUUGAAUUUUUUUUUUUAAUUUCCAAGAAUUUCAUUCUCUAGUUUUUCCAUUAAUAUUACUUAUCUUGAUACCCAUCUUAAUUAAAAUCUGUAGUUUUAUUCAAGAGUCAUGCUAUUCAUUCACUCACAGACCAAAGGCUUUCCGCAGCAAUAUUAUUAUUUAAAUUACAACAAAGGGGAAAUCAAAUACGUCAUACAGAAGCUUAAAGCUGAAUCUACAAAAUCUAGAGCUCUCAACUACAUAAAUUACACUUGAUGAUCCUCUACAAGAUGAAGCUUGUUCAAUAUCUCAUCCAAAGCUUGUAAAGUAACAUUAUAACGAUCUUGAGAUUGCCUGCCUUCCUCGACGACCUGCACGAUGCGUUUGUACAAAUCAUCAUACCUGUGCACCGGAUUUUUAAUAUCAAUGCCACUGCAGCUGUGAUCAAGAACAUAAGAGCGUUUAACAUCUUUUCUCCAUCAAGAAAGAAUGUAGUGAGAUGGGAUCUCCUGCAUGCCACUCUGGUUUAGAACACAAAGAAUGUGUCUGCAUAAAUAUCCUCUGAAAUUGAACAACCCACAAACACAAAGCACCUCCAAGUCGGAGGCAUUGUACAAAACAUCGAAAAUAGUUAUGUUUUACAAUCUAUUAGACAUAUUUUAUUAAAUUAAUAUAAAUUUUCUAUAAAAUAAGAAUAUAAUAUUAAAAUAAAUUCACAAAAAAUUAAAGAAUUUUGAAUGUAAAAUAAUUUUAAUAGAUUAAUACGUGAGUUUUUUUAUUAAUAUAAAAAUUAUUUAACUUUAAGAUUUUUUAAAAUCUUUACAAUAAGUAUGACUAUAUUAUUUACAUUUAAAAAUAUUUAAAUAUUAUUAACCUACAAUUAUAUUUGCAUUUGUUAGAAUUUUUUAAGUCAAAUAUUUUGCACUUCUAUAUUAUUAGAAUUAUUGCACACAAAGAAAGAAACAUAUACCUUUAGAAAUUGUUUUCUUUUAAAAUAGAGAUGAUGAUUAGUAUAAGGAUGAAAAAAAUGAUAAAGAAUAUUAAUGAUUAACGAAAUCUCUAUACAAAUUGAUUUUAGUAGGAAAAGAGUGAGAUGAAUGAUUUCUUUUACGGUUAGAAACAUAGAUGAUGAUUAUUAUAACGAAGAAAAAAAGAUAAAGAAUAUUAAUUAUUAAUGGAAUCUCUAUGCAAAUUGAUUUUAGUAGGAAAAAAAAUGAGUUAAAUGAUUUAGAGUGCGUUUGGAAUUGAGAUUGGGCAGCCAUAGAUUUUAAGUUACAAUACUGAAGUGUUUGAUAAAUACUAGCUGCUGCAGAUUGAAAGUUAUAUUGAUAUGAUUUUUCACAUGUAUCAUAGAAAAUAUAUUACAUCUUUAAUAAUUUUUUUAAAAUUUAUAUUUGCUAUAUAUUAUUAAUUUUUUUUUAUAGUUAUAACUUUUUUUCCACAGCAGUUGUAGCUUAAAAGUCACAGCAUCUCAAUCUCAAACAAAUCCUUAGACAUUCAUAGUGUGUUUAUUUUUUGGAUUGGUGAAUCAAAAUUAUUGACAACGCUAACUUCAUCUUCAUUGUUCGCAAUCCAACAGCAGCAGCAAUUGUCACCAAUAAUGAUAUCUCCAAUGAUGAUGACAAUUAUUAUUAUUAUUAUUAUUAUUAUUAAUUUAUUAAUUAAUAUAUUAAUGUUAAUAAUAUUAUUAUUAAGAUUAACAAUAAUUAGUAGUAAUACAAUUUUUUGAAUAAAAAUAAUCACAAUAAUUAAAAUACAAAUUAAUAAUUAUGACAAUAGUUAAUUAAUGUCUUUUUAGUAAUUUGUAAUAAUCUAACUCAUUUUGAUUCUGAUUAUUACAGCUUAAGUAAACAAAUUAUUAUGAUUCCUAUUUUCCUUUCCUAUUUUAACUCACUUCGAUUCCAAUCUAUUCCAAUUUCUAUCUAAUAAAUGCACCAUUAGUGCUAAAGUAAUAUUUCAUACAUAGAAAAAUAAAAACUACACCUAAGGUUAAGGGAAAGGACUUCAAAACUCUCUUUUGAUCAUAAUACAUUUUGUCCUAAUUAACUUAAAGAUUUUGAAUCUAAUAUUUUAUAAUAAAUAAAAAUAUAUUCCUAAAAUAAAUAUAAUAUCAAUAUUUAAAAUAUGUUUUAAUAUUUUACAAUCUAUCAUACACAUUUUAUUAUAUUAAAGUAGAUUUUAUAAUAAAUACAAACGUACUAUUAAAAUUAAUAUAUAAAAAAUUUAGAAAAUUUAGAAUAUUAUAUAAAAUAAUUUUAAUAUAAUGCGUGAGAUAUAUUUUAUUAAUUUAAAAUUUUAUUUUACCUAAAAAUAUGAUAAAUUAAUAAUUACAUAUUUAAAGUUAUUUCAAAUAUUAAAAAAAUUUAAUAUUAUUAGUUUUUUAGAUAGAUUAAAUUAUUUUUAUAAGAGAUAGAUUAAAUUAUUUUAAAAUACCUUAAUUGUUUUUACUUUUAACGUUACCGGCCUUUCUUUUAUUUUAUUGUAAAUUAAUGCUAACAAGAAAAAGCUAGAUCAUAUUCCACAAAAGCAAAAGUGACAAACACAAUCAGCUGGAAUCUUUUAUAAAACUACAAAUUAAAAUGGUUUUUUUUUUUUUUUGAUAAAUUACAUAUAAAAGUGGAUUCUUUUGAAUAUAAGUGGGGUAGGCUCUUUUAUUUUUUUUUAAUACUGUAUAACAAGAUUGUAGACUCCUUGAUUAAGCACAAGUAUAAAGUAGUCGAGACGAUACUUUAUGCUAGGUGUCCAUUGAAUAUUAGAUCUUCAUUUCUUUGGCCAUUUAAUUUUUUCGAGAAAUUUUUCUUACGAUCCCGGCUAAGCUUGAAGAAAAGACAACUCAACGGUUUUUUUAAAACAAGUUUCCGUUUUGGUUGGUGAAAUGAAAACGAAAUAAAGCACUUCCAUCCAAAAAUCAUUCUUCUGGAGAAAGGGAUGACAGAUUAAAGAAAAGGGGUGUACUGAAAGGAGAAAAAAGGUUCUUGCAUGAGAGCUGGACACGUUAAAAGAAGUUGAACAAAUGUCUCAAAAAGAAGCUAUUUCGCUUUCAUACUAAAGCCUAUUUGUAAUAGCAUCAGCAAUGCUCCACUAUCCACAUUCUUGUGCGGAUAUCAUUGCAAUCUACUAAUGGUAUAUAAACAUGCAUGUUGUCCCAUGAUGAUUAAGUUAACACACACUUGGAGGUACUUAAAUUAUGCCAUAAAGAGAUAUAGUUAUUACGCAUACAAAUGUUAUUCAAUGGUUAAAAUGUAUGAUAAAGAAAUCGCUUGAAUUUUUUAUUUGCCGUUACGUAAUUUUUUUAUUGAUUCCGAGUUUGAAUCUUAAAAGAAAUAAAGGGUUAGAAAAUUAAUUUGAACUUUGUCCACUCUUUAACUUAAUGAGUAUAAAAACAGAAAAUGCAGGUAAUUUAAUUUUGACAUCUAACAUUUAAGAGAUAGAGCUUGAAAGAGUCCAAUAUUAAAUUAUAAAAUAAUUGAAAUAAAGUUUGCCCCAUAAGAAAAAUUGAACAAAAAAUCUUAAGUAUGAUAUGAUGCUAGAGAAAUUAUUUAUCUCAAAACUUUUAUUAGGUAAUUAAGUCCUAAGAAUAUGUAAUUACACAUGUAACAAAAAUUAGAGAUGAGGGUCUUUUAUUAAACUACAAAUUGUAUAGUCUUUUUAAAAUUGUUAUAAAUUGGUGGCCCCUACAAUCCUCAAUAAUUGUGCCGAUAUUCACAAGUUGGUGGCCCCUACAAUUAUCAACUGUGCAAGUGCUCAUUCACAAUCUUCCAGGUCAUGCUCUUAAUAAUUGUUUUUUUUUUCUGCAUUCCCUUUCAUGCUCUUAAUAAUUGAAGAGCAUACUUUUCAAAUAUGGAGCCGCAGCUAAUGUCGCUAAUUUAAUUUGGGAUUAAAUUAGGGGACCAUUAUGUUGCAGUGUGCACUAAUUUUUGUGUUUAUCUAAACUCCUUAAAUUUAAGACAUAUUACGGCAUAAAUAAGAAUAUAACAAUAACAAAAGAGUUAAAAAGUGUAGAGAAGAUCUUGCAGAAAUAUAAAUAAUAUCUAUUUUAAAAUAAUAUCAAUAUUUAAAAUAAUUUUUAAUAUUUUAUGAUCCAUUAGAUAUAUUUUAUUAUAUUAAAGUAAAUUUUAUAAUAAAUAAAACAUACUAAAUUUAGAGUAUUUUAAGUAUUAUAUAAAAUAAUUUUAAUAAAAUAUGUGAGAUAUUCAUAUUUUAUUAAUUUAAAAUACCAUUUAACCUAAAGAUUUAUUUAUGAUAAAUUAAUAAUUAUAUUUUUGAAAUUACUUCAAAUAUUAAAAAAAUUAAUAUUACUAAUCUAUUAGAUAGAUUAAAUUAUAUAUAUUAUUUUCUAUUUAUUAAAAAAUUUUAAAAUUAUUUUUAAUUACUAUUCAAAAAAUAUAAUGAUAAAAAAAAAUCUUAACAUCUUUAUUAAAAAUUUAAAAAUUUUCAUGAUCAAUUCUCUAAAUAUUUAGGGUAUAUGUGAACCACGGUGGAGAAGCUUUAUUUAAUAUUAUUGAUUUAAAUAAUAUGUGACAAAACAACUAGGUGGACUACAAAUUAAAGUGGAUUCUUUUGAAUACAAGUGGGACAGACGAUUAGGCUCUUUUUAAUUUUUAUUAAAGGCAAGUAAAAAGUAGUCGAAUAGUCUUUUUCAAAUUCUUGUUUUAUUGUUUUUCAAAACUAACAAGAAAAAGCGAGAUCAUAUUCCACCCCAAAAGCAAAAGUGACAAAACAACCAGCUGUAUUCUUUUAUUAAACUACAAAUUAAAAUGGAUUCUUUUGAAUACAAGUAGGACAGACGAUUAGGCUCUUUUUAUUAAACGCAAGUAAAAAGUAGUCGAAUAGUCUUUUUCAAAUUCUUGUUUUAUUAUUUUUCAAAAUUAGUUUUUGGUAAUUACUGUUUUUCCUUCAAAAGUUAGCGGUUCAUGUUUGCAAGUGUGAAUGUGCGAUGCUCUUUUCUUAAAGGCAAUUACAGUGGGGCCCGAAUGCCUAAAUCUUUUUAAAAUUUUUGCCGUAUAACGAACAGAGGUCAUUACUAAAAUUUCUCUUCCACAGCCUACAGCAGCUUCAGUUUAUCAAACUCAAUCAAUUUUCUUUCUUAACAAAAUUCCAAAGAUGUGUAGCAUUUUUCAGAUCGCAUGCGAUGGUGCUCUUUUCAAUCGUUGCUUGGAUUGCUUUCUUGGAAAAGCAGCAUACCUUCGUAACCUCCCAGAUAAUCUUGUAGACUUGGAGACUGAACUGGGAAGACUAAUCGCAGCAAAGAACGAUGUGAUGAUGAGGGUUGUCAAUGCUGAACGGCAACAAAUGAGAAGGCUGGGCCAAGUGGAAUGGUGGGUUUCGAGGGUGGAUGCUGUUAAAACUGGAGCCGAUGAACUUAUCACAGACGGCUCUGAAGAAAUUGGCGAAUUAUGUGUUGGAGGCUACUGUUCCAAGAACUGCAGGUCAAGCUACAAGUUCGGAAAACAAGUGGCUAAAAAGCUACAAGAUGUGAAGGCUUUAAUCGCCGAGGGAGUUUUUGAGGCGGUGGCUACUGAGGUGGUGCCCGAGAGAGCUCCGGAACCUGUAGCAGAUGAAAGACCCAUUGAGCGAACAGUAGUAGGCUUGCAAUCACAACUUGAACAAGUCUGGAGAUGUCUUGUAGAAGAAUCAGUGGGAAUCAUUGGCCUAUAUGGUAUGGGCGGUGUUGGUAAAACCACACUGUUGACCCAUAUCAACAAUAAAUUUCUUGAGAGUCCCACCAACUUUGAUUGUGUGAUUUGGGUCGUAGUUUCAAAAGACCUGCGACUUGAAAAAAUUCAAGACGAUAUUGGGAAGAAGAUAGGUCUGUCUGAUGAUUCAUGGAAGAAUAAAAGUUUUGAGGAGAAAGCUGUAGACAUCCUGCGGAGUUUAGGAGAGAAGAGAUUUGUAUUGUUGUUAGAUGAUUUAUGGGAGCGGGUUGAUUUAACAAAAGUGGGCGUUCCACUUCCCGGACCACAAAAUACUACCUCAAAAGUCGUAUUCGCAACCCGUUUCAUCGAUGUUUGUGGUAGCAUGGAAGCUGACAGGAAGUUCCUAGUGGCGUGCUUAUCAGAAAAGGAUGCUUGGGAACUGUUUCGAGAAAAAGUUGGGGAAGAAACUCUUCAGAGUCAUCAUGAUAUCGUUGAGCUAGCCCAAAUUGUGGCCAAAGAGUGUGGUGGUUUGCCACUCGCACUUAUUACUAUUGGUCGAGCUAUGGCCUGCAAAAGGACAGCCGAGGAGUGGAUACACGCAGUUGAAGUGCUAAGAAGAUCAGCUUUUGAGUUUGCAGGUUUGGGAAAAGAGGUGUAUCCUCUUUUAAAGUUUAGCUAUGAUAGUUUGCAGAAUGAGACGAUUAGAUCUUGUUUCUUAUAUUGUUGUUUAUAUCCCGAAGAUUAUGGAAUUCUUAAAUGGGACUUGAUUGAUUGUUGGAUUGGUGAGGGAUUCUUAGAGGAAUCUGACAGGUUUAGUGCAGAAAACCAAGGUUACUACAUUGUGGGCACUCUUAUUCAUGCGUGUUUACUAGAAGGGAUAGAAGAUGAUAGAGUAAAAAUGCAUGACGUUGUUCGUGAUAUGGCUCUAUGGAUAGCUUGUGAAAUUGAGGAGAGGAGACACUUUUUGGUUUGUGCAGGCGCUGGAUUAGAACAGGCACCGGCUGUUAGAGAAUCGGAAAAUGUGACAAGAUUGUCAUUGAUGCAAAACCAAAUUAAAAUUCUGUCGGAGGUUCCCACAUGCCCUGAUCUCCUCACUUUAUUUCUUGACUUUAAUGAGGAGUUGGAGAUGAUCGCGGAUGGCUUCUUCCAAUUUAUGCCUUCUCUCAAAGUUUUGAAGAUUUCAAACUGCGGGAAUUUUACUUUUCAAUUACCUUUGGGGAUGUCAAAGUUGGGUUCACUAGAACUUUUUGAUAUUUCACGCACCGAAAUACAAGAGUUACCAGAAGAGUUAAAGUUGUUGGUAAAUCUGAAAUGUUUGAAUUUGAGGUGGACAAGCAAGUUAAUUAGAAUUCCACGGCAACUAAUAUCAAAUUCUUCAGGGUUACGUGUGUUGAGAAUGUUCGCUACUGGCUAUGAAUGUUUUCAUGAAGCACCAGAAGACAGCGUUUUAUUUGGUGGGGGUGAAGUUUUAGUACAGGAAUUGCUCGGUUUGAAAUAUUUAGAGGUAUUGGAGUUGACCUUGGGAAGUUAUCAGGCUCUCCAAAUCUUUUUGAGCUCAAAUAAGUUAAAAAGUUGUAUUCGAUCUCUUUUCCUCCAGUUGGCCGGAGAUACAAAGUCGAUUAUUGAUGCUGCGGCUUUCGCAGAUCUAAACCACCUCAAUGAAUUAUAUAUUUAUGAAGGUAUUGAGUUGGAAGAAUUGAAGAUUGAUUAUACAGAGAUAGUACGAAAAAGGCGGGAACCUUUUGUUUUCCGCAGCCUUCACCGUGUUACCAUAUUUAGUUGCGGUAAAUUGAAAGAUGUGACAUUCCUCGUUUUUGCUCCAAACCUCAAGUCUCUUGAGCUAUUGCAAUGCGAUGCUAUGGAAGAAAUAAUCAGCGUCGGAGAAAUUGCUGAGACUCCUGAGAUGAUGGGACACAUAAGCCCUUUUGAAAAUCUCCAAAGUCUUCAUUUAUCGUAUUUACCAAUUUUGAGGAGCAUCUACUGGAAGCCAUUGCCUUUCACUCAUCUCAAAAAAAUGGAGGUACGUAGAUGCGAUCAGCUUAGAAGGCUUCCGCUCGAUUCCAACAGUGCAACAGAGCGUAAUGUUGUUAUUCGUGGAUACACACUCUGGUGGAACCGACUUCAAUGGGAGGAUGAAGCCACUCAAAUUGCUUUUCGUUCCUGUUUCCAACCUCGUUCCUGAGCAGUGGUCGCAAAAUUUGAUUUCUGGUGAGUGCGUUUGUCUUUUAAAAAGAAGAAUUUAAAAGAAAUUUAUUCUUGUCGUUUUCUUCACUGUUUUUAUUUGAUUUCUGGUUAGUUUCUUUCUCUCUCUCUCUCUCUUUGUCUUCUGCAAAUCACAAUUAAAUGUUGAAUUAAUGGAAUUGAUGCUCUGGUUUUUUACUUUUUGUUGUCAAAUUUUGCCCUGUUCUAUCUUCUUAGCGAUUUAAUUUCCUGUCAAAAGACGAGCGAGAAGAACAUAUAUAUGACUUAAACCAAUUGAUACUUUAUUUAUGUGCAUUGUAUGUAAUAAAUAUUAAGUAUACUUUAUUUUUGCCCUGUUCUCUGUUUUUAUUUCAGUCUCUCUCUCUCUUUCCUGUCUUCUGCAAAAUAUAAUCAAUUAUUUUCAAAAUAUCAUUGAUGAUUUUUCUGCUCUAAUGCUAUGUAAAUAGUAUGUUAAGUAAAACAUAAUCAAUUAUUUGUGUUUUAUCUCUAAUUAGAACAUCAAUCAGUUCAGUACCUCACAAAUAAUUCGCAAUAUCUACAAAAUACUAUAAUGGCUACAAAACAAAUCCUGCUUGCAAAUUGUCAAGGAUACCUAUCCGUUCGCUUGACAAGUCAUUUGAAUAAAUAUUGUUCACAUUCCUUACUCUAUCAAUUAUCCAAAGCACCAUCAAUGGUCCUCAACUUUAGUUUGAAUAGUAUACAUGCCAUCACCAUUACCAAGAAUCAAGCAUGGAAGAGUCAUUCUAUAGAGUUAAUCGAAGCAAGGAAUGAUGUAUCAGAAAAUAUUUGGUGGAGAAUUCAGCACAAACAUAUUUUGGAUGAUCAGAAUCAAUAAAACCUGGUGGUUGCGCCAUAUAAACAUCUUCGGAAAGCUGACCUUGAAGAAAGGCGUUAUUGAUAUCCAAUUGACGAAGAGGCCAGCCAUGACUAACAUCAAUACUAAGAACAAGCCGUACUGUGGUGGACUUAACAACUGGACUGAAAGUGUCAUAAUAGUCCACACCAGGCCAUUGAUUGAACCCUUUGGCAACAAGAUGAGCUUUAAACCUGUCAACAGAACCGUUGGAAUGUCUUUUAAUACAAAAAUCCAUUUGCAGCCAACAAUAUUGGAAGGGAUGGGAGGUGGAACAAGCUUCCAUGUCCCGUUACGAACAAGAGCAUCAUACUCUUCUGACAUAGCUGGACGCCAGUGAAGAUUUUUGAUAGCUUGCGUCACAGUUGUAGGUUCACAAUCAGAAGAAGGGCUAAAAUGAGCACGGAGGUUAAGUUUUUGUAACGGCUUGUGAAUCUUAUUUUUAGCUCGGGUAGUCAUAUCAUGAUGACUUGUGGGGCAAUGAUCUAGUGGAGUUUAGGAAGAUGAUUGAACAGGAAGUGAAGAAGUGCUUUGUGUAGAGGUAGAAGUAGGUUGGGAGGAUUGCUGCGGAGAUGUUACCGGUAGAGAAGAAGGAGCAGUACACGGUGGCAACUCCAGAGGGCCCACAAUAGAUGGAGUAGGUGCCGACAAUGGAGUACUAGGAAAUGAAACAGGAAGAAUUGGUGGAACACUUGCGUAAUUAGGAGUGGUAGAUGAGCUUGUAAUGAUUUGUAUGGAAAAACAAACUCUACAAAUUUAACGUGACGUGAAAUAAAAAUUCAACCCGAUUGCAUAUUUAAGAACAUCUCAAAUGAAUUGCUUACUGCUAUCAUCAUCAUUAUUGUCUAUAUAAUAAUGGAUCUUUAUUAUAUAUAUGUUUCCACUAAAAUAUAUUUAAUUAUUCUUUAUUUUUCUAUUGUUGCGUGUAAGAUUUAUUUGAGUUCUAAGUUAUAUCAAUACAAAUGUUAUCUUAUCCAUAAAAAGUUAGAUCCAACAAUUAUGAAAAUUACUAUAGAGUUGCUUUCAAUUAUUUUUUUAAAAUACCAGGAGUAAAUAAUAAUUAGUUCAAAUGGUGGAGACUAAAAUGCGUUCACCUUUAUUUUUUAUCUGUUAUUUACUUUUGUCAUUACAUUAAUGCACAUGCUAUACAUUUGAGACAUUCCAUUAAUUGCCAAUUAUGUAUGUGAGAUAGUAAUUUAAAUUAAAAAAUAAAAGUGAAAGUUAAUCCUAUGCAAUGUGAAUAAAUUUCUUUCCUUUUUCCUUUACUCUUUUUAUUUGACAAUAAAGUUUCCAUCUAUCAUCUAUCAUCUAUGUACACAAAAUUUCUGCAACAAGUACAAAACAUAAAAAUAUAUGAAUAUUAAGGGAAACACGCAGAAGUUCAUCAUUUCAAUGUUCAGUAUUACCAAUUUUGGCAUUAAGCUUGUACGAAUAUAUUCUACUUCGAAAGCAAAAUAUUAGACUCGUGAUUUUAAUUCAUUCAUUAUCUCUCAUUUUAAUCCCAAAAUAUUCAAGAGUAUCCAAGUUACCAUAAGACUUCAGAGGCUCGAGCCUUAGCCAGAGAUGGUUAAUUGAUAGACUAUGUGCCUGGGUCGAGCACUGGAAGCCUGCAAUGCAGACUGAUUGAUUUAUCAGUUUAACGUGUGCCAGGAAUGAAGAACUGGAAUAUCACCGUCAAGCAAGCACCCUGUGGAGCAAUACCAAAGAAUGCACAAUCUGGCUUUGCUAGGUGACCCUGGAGGCUUUUUGAAAAGUGCUUCAUGCUCACUUGCACAGAUUGAGCAUCCCCUCUGGAUAUUGCCCUCUCUGAUCGAGUCUGAGCACUCAAAUUUCGGUCCUCAGAUGGAGCUACAGCUUUCUCUCCAAUAACCAACAAUUUUCUAAACUCAGCACCUAGUGUGAUCAGAGUUGUUGAUAUUUGCAAAUGGAGAUCCCCAUAUUUGCAAAUGGAGACAUUUAACAAAUCACCAACAUGCUUCAUCCGGUCCACGAAAUUCUGCAACUGAUUCAAAUCUGGAACCUGAACCAGAGUCGGAGGUAUAUCUUGAGCCAUAUCUAAAGCAGUUUGAAGUUCAAGACCUUGAGCCCUUGACAAUGGUUUUGAAAUUGGAACAUCUUGGAUUACUGCAGACUUGUACCCCUUGGUUUCAAAGGUAAGGAAAGGCAUUGCUUGAGUACAAUUUGGAGGCAGCUUCUUCACCAAUUUUAUUUGGAGGCAAUUGGCAGCGGAUCCAGCUGCACCAAUUUCAGAGCAACUACUGACACUACUUCGAACAGCACACUGACGAAGUGAUAUGUCUACGGCAAAGGCAAUGCAGUCCUCAUUUUGGCUUGAGAUGCAGUAAUCAUCGAAGAGAGUUUCCUUGUGAAACUGGGCAACACAUUGAAUCCCUUCGCCACUGAGAAGGUUGUGGAGGAAGUAAGCUGUCUCUCUAGUGAGGAAGAGGUGGCAUACCUUCCCCAUUUUGUCUAGGGCAGGUAGGAAUCUUUUUUCUAAGAGAUUUACUUCAUUCUCUGUGAGAAAUGCUUUGAACUUCAUCCCUCUGUCUCUAUCCUCACUUAUCAGGAAAUAAGUUGAAAGCACUAUGAAGAGAGAGAGAGAGAGAGAGAGAAUUAAGAUAUAUAGACAAGAAAAUAAUUAGACGUUGAUCUUACAAACUAAUACUUCAAGCAGUAUCCUAGAAAGCUAAAAACUGCAAGAUGGCUUGAAAUUUGAAAAGAGCACAUGGUUUUCCUCCUUAACUUGAGAAAAUGUUUAAUAUAGUGCACCUUACAGAAGCAUUUAAGCAAUUAGAACUUUGCACAAAAACAUCAAGAAGACUAAACAAAUCAGAUGCAGUGUAUUUGUCCAAGCACAAAUUGCAUUUUGUCCUCAACUUUAAUAUUUAUUGAUGAGAAUCAAUACAGGUCCCUCAUUUGUUAUAGAAAGCUUUCUUGUAGUCUCACCAGUUAAUUCACAGGUCUAUAAUCAUCUUGCAAAGUUAAGGGCAUUUCUUUCGAUCUAAAGUCUUUGCAUCACCACCUCAUCACACGCCAAGCCAAUAUUCCAUUUACCUCUACAACAAAAAGUUUUUAAGUAAAUAAUCCUAAUGCACGCAGCCGAAUAAAAUGCAGUAAGAAUAUUCAACUUAAAAAUCUGAAAGCCAACUUGGUGAAUUGCCUCCUUAGGUGAAGUUCCAUGCUUUACUAUAGUUGACAGAACUCAGCAAAAGCUUCCAUACAACAGAUUUUGAAAAUGAUGAUGCCAAUAGAUACUCAUUCAAUCCAUUGAAACUCCAAAGGUUCAUUGUUCAUAGAAGUUUACAGAGUUUUGGUCAUCAAAUAGCUCAGACCUAAUCCCAAACAAAAAACGAGUGAAAAUUAGAUCACGAGCAGCUAAUUGUAAAUUCUAACUUAACUCUUCAUCUCCUUUGUAAACAAGAAACAAAAUGGAGACACGCAAAAUGAAUAUGGAGAAAAUUUGAACUCAAAUGAAAUGAGGGCACGAAAGCAAACAAAUGGCAUGCACAAAAAAACCAAGCCUCGAUAAAAAACUAAUUAACCAUUAAGAAAAAAAUUGGUCAGAGAAUGAACUCCAAAUUCAGGAGUCAAGCAAGAAGCUUUCAUUAUUUCAGAAGCUCCUGUACAAAUUAAUAAGUUAUGCUCUUUGGAAGCAAACCUAAAUUCCAAGAGAAACAGAACCCAAAAAAUUUGCAAUUAUACGCAAAGGAAGUGAAGCACAGGAUUCUAUCACACAUAGGAAUUGUAUAACAAGAGAUCGAUAUAUCGAAUUAGAAAACUCAAUUCGAAUUUGUGUCAAAAAUCAAAAUUAGAAGAUUUCACAUUUCGAGAGGAACAAGCAACAGAUGAAGUUCAAAAUUUCAGCCAUAACAUGCUAAAAAUGCUACACUUAACGGUUCAUUUUCAUGGAUUUUCUCGGGAAACAAACAGAAAAUUACGGUUUAGAGAGUUGACUGACCUUUUGGCUUUUGAAAUUGACCAGAUCGCGCGCCAAAUUGGAAGAGGGAAAGUGAAAGCGCGAGUUUUAAUAUGGGUAUUAGAUAAGGAAAUUUUAUUAGGUUGCGAGGGUAAAAAAGGAAAGAGAUAUCAUUAUUUUAUUAUCGAUAAUUAUUAAAUUUUUUUCCAAAAAAAAGAACAAGCAAGGAUUUUUUAUUGUCAUCACUAAGUUAAAAAAAAUUGUUUCAAAAUUACUUGAGUCAUAUCCAAUGGACCAACAAAGUAAUCGUUUUUAUUUUUAUUGAUUUUUGCAGGAAAUUAAUAACUUAAAAAUACUGAAAGCUACUGUAAAAAUUUUUAUUAUCAACCUCAUAAUUUUUUUUUUUUGGGGAAGAGAAUUCAAACUUUUUUUUUAUGAAUAUCGCUGUUUCGUUUGAGUUGGAUGUGAAUUCAAAUCCAAAUAUUCUUUGUUUUUCAAUUUUGAACUCAAUUUCUUUUUCUCAAGAAUGUUAUGCAGAAAUAAUUUUUACUAAAUCUUUUUUGAUGAAUUGUUUAAAUUAAACAAUUGGAAUAAGAAUUGUAACGAUUUAUCAUAAGCGUGCUAAUAUGAUAACUUGUUUUACGAAGGAUUAAUUAAUCAAUUAAUAUUAAAUUAUAUAUUAGUCAAUUAGAUAUGUGUUACAUUUAUCAUGUUUUGUAGGUGAUAGUACAUCAUUUCUAAAAGAAUAUAGUACGUUAAAAUAUUAUUUUAAUGAAGAAAAUUUUAUUAUUUUAUUAUUAGGUGACACAAUAAUAAAUGGAUUUCUGUAAGAAUUGAGAUUCUUGAUAUAAUUAUUACAUAAGGAGAAGUUUAGUUGGUUCAAUUUUGACGUGAUAAGAAGACAACACAGCACAGAAAACCCAAAUUGCCACUUCCACUAAUAAAAGAUACCUGUUUGAAAAGUAAUUAUAAACUAUCUUCUUUGUGUUAUUUCUCAAAACUUUUGUGGCACAAAUGUUAUUUCCAUUGACAACAGUACGAAAUACCACCCCUUUCACUUGAGCAGGAGCAAAGCAAAGGUAUGAUGAGCUAUCUCUGUAUAAUUGAAACGCCAUUACUAAACGAUUCUUGAUGAUGGGAGCCACCGUGCCAGCUUUGUCGCUGAUUUGCAUGAUUUAUUAGUUGUCCAGAUGGCGGAUUUUGUACUGUUACCUUCGUUUCAUUCUUCAGAGCCAUGUACUGUUCUAGGAUACCAGAGAAACCAAGGUGGCAUUGAAGUUGCCCUGGUGGUUAGUUUUCCGAUCAUUUUUUUAUUCAAUUAUUUAUGUUUUUAGAAAAAUGUAGGAAAUAUGUAGAAAUGUUGACAGCUAUGAUUUUGAAACUUUUGCCUAAAAUUGUUAUCAUUACUUGUUGUUUCUUAUUUAAAGAGAAAUUCUAGAAACAUGAAAUGAUUAUUCUACGCUUGUUUUAAUAUUGUGCUAUGAAGAUUACGAAGGUUUGAUUAUAUGUCACUAUCAAUUGCCUUAAUCGUUUGUCGUAAAUCAAUUAAGCAUUUUGAUGCGAAUGAUUCCCUAUUAAAAAAUUCAAGUCAGAGCUGAAUUGCAAAGUAGUUAGUCGUGCUUGCAAUUCAAAUUAAGUAUUGUAUUUUCUCCCUGAUUUGGUUGAUUCAACUAUGUGCAUUUGCUUAUGAACGUUGCAGUAUAGAAAUCGAAAUAUCUUGUCUUUUGCUAAGCCCAGAAGCAAAUUCUUUGUAUUCUACUCAUCAGUUUUCUUCAUUCUCUUUGUUGAAAUUUUAUCUAAACAGCGGUUUCUUCGAAUUUAUGCCUUCGCUUACUCUUUUAAAUUUUAUCCAAACAACGGUUUUGAAAUUGUUUUCACUACAAUACCUUAGUCUUUCAGAUGCUCCCGUCACUGAGUUGCCAGAAGAGCUAAAAGCCUUGGUAAAUCUUAAGUGUUUGAACCGGAGUACACAAAUUAUCUCUCUACAUUUCCAAAGCAAUUGAUUUGUUACUUUUCGAUGCUACAUGUUCCGCGAAUAUUCAGUUGUGGUUAUCUUGUUCAGAUACCAGAAAAUAGCGUUAUAUUUAGUGGUAAUGAAUUCUUGGUUUGGGAGUUGCUUAGUUUAAAACGUUUAAAUGUAUUAAGCAUCAUCUUGAAAAGUUUUUCUGCUGUCCAAAAACUUAUGAGCUUCCAAAAGUUUCAAAGCUGUACACAAUGCAUGGAGCUUGUAGACUGUGAUGAUCCAAAGUCAUUUGCCGUGGCAGAGUUGAAGCAUCUUGAAAAACUAGGUUUUUCAAGUUGUGGAAAUUUGGAAGAGUUAAAGUUCUGCUGUGUCGAAGUUGCAAAGGCUCGAGAAUGUUUUCGUUUGAACAGCCCUCACUGAGUUAAGAUGAAGGCUUGUCAUAAAUUGUGGGAAGCGACAGGUUAUUCAAAUAGAAAAAUUUAUGGAGAUGGAUGUUAAUCUUAAGGUUAUUCAAUUAGAAAAAUUUGAAUAAAAUUUAUGGUAAGUGCUUUUCCAUUUAUUGCAUAUUUAUAUCUAAUUUUUAUUUUCCUUUAUUGUUAAAUUUUGGUCUCUAUUUGUUGUUGUAUGGUGGCAUUCUUGUACAAUUAUUAGCUUUUCAUUUCUCUUCUCACAUUAACUGCCCUUCUGAUCAUGUAGGAUUUGCUGAUGCAAAGAGUCAUAAUUUGGGAUACAAAUGUAAGAAUUAGACAGAUGACAUGUUGUUUUGAAGCUCUCAAAGAAGGACUAAUUAUGUCAUUGAAAGCCUCCAAUUUUGUGAUUGGUUUCUUUUUAUUUUAUUUGUUGUUUUCUCUAUUUUCAGAUCACUUAAUUGUUAGUUGUUGUAAUGUAAUGUUUUAGUAUAGCAAAUUAUAUUCGGCCAAGACAGUGAUAGGAGGGCACAUUGUGCAUGCACACUAGUGGAUUUGGCAUGCCAAAUCCAAUUAGGAUGGAUAACACUUUAUAAGCAUUAGGCUUCUCUCAUACCUGAGUAAUAUAGAAUAUGUUUAUAAGUUGUGAAUCACCCUUUACAAGUGUUAGGCUUCUGCUAUACUCAGUGAUGUGAAAUAUAUUUAUAAGCACUAAACUUCUCCCAUACACUUUAUGUUAAUAAUAAUAAUAAUAAUAAUAAUAAUAAUAAUAAAAUAAUAAUAAAUAAACCCAUUUUAACAGACUCUUUUUUCUUUUUCUAUAUGAACAAAUGCAUUCUUCAAAGCAACUGUGGGGAGAAGAAGUGAGUAGAGAAGAACUGAGCCCCUGUCAUUCCCCUAAAACCUCACCAAAACCUCUCUUGUAAGCUUCUCGGAUUUUCUUUCUAUAUUUCUUAGGAACUCAUUUUUUAUUGAAUCACUUAUUUUGCAUGCUGCAUUUUUUGGUUGUCGUAUUUGUGUAUUAUCUUAUCUGGAAUGCUGUUAUGAUUGAUGGAACAAGUAAUCGAUUUUUGGUCUAAUGGAAGUUGAUUUAUUUAUUUAUUGUUGUUUUUAUUUGAAAUUAUGUACAAUUGUAUUUCAUUCAUUUCUCUCUCUUUUGCUUUUUUCCCCCCAUAUAUUUGUUAUGUAUAAUUGCGUUUCAUUUAAUAUUGAUCAUACUGUAGGUAACCAUGUGAUUGUAGAUGGGGAUUUCGAGUUUGUUGAAUAUUCAUGUAAGUGAAGUAACCGUCACAAUACUAGUGAAAUUGGGAGCUUUAUUCAUGAGUUUGUGGUUUUGAAAAGUACCACAGUUCAACUGGUGAAGGCUCCGUUUUGGGAUUCUUCUUUUUCUAGGCUGCAAUUAGGAUAUGUACAUGAUAGACAAUCUUUUGUUGGUUUAGCAUAUCUUCGCUGAUUUUGUCUUUUAUUCCCCAAUUUUAUAAUUACACACCAUGAAUGUUGGGUGAUUGUAUAGAAAAUUUGUGUUAUAACAAAAACAUUGUGAAGGAGUUUCCGUGCUAAUAGUUAGUGGCUUCUGUUUUAUUGGCAUUGAUUGGGUAGAUUACGUGUUACAGUGAUUCAAUUUGUGUUCCAAACUUUGCUUUAAUUUUCUGUUUUCCCCAACUAUUUAUGUCAAAUUUAAAUCCAGAAGCAUGUGCUGAUUUUUUCUUUUUGUAUUAAUCUGUGAAGUUUAUUUGGAAUGGAAGUAACUGGGUCGGGUCUAAUGGAUUAAAUUAUGACAUUGAGGGGAAGGCACUAAAAGGGUUUGCUUGACACAUUUGGUUCUGUGUUUACUCUGCAAGAAAUAACUUUUGCUUAUUGCAAUGCAGGGGGAAAUCCCGAUUUGGCUGGUGAAUUUCUCUGCAACAAACAGGCAAACACCUCAACAUCUUCUGUCCAUACUUCUGCUGGGGAGGCAAGGGGUAAAGAGUCUUCAAAAUCAUCAAAUAGUUACAUCUCUGAGAAUUCAUUUUAUGGAAAUGGAAAAUCUAGAGUUUCUAAUACAAAAUGGCAUCUGGUAUCAGGACGUACCGUUUCAAGUUUUCUUGGUAAAGAUUAUGUUAAACCUGCACAGCCAGCUAAUGGCACUUUUCUGGCAUCAAAGCCAUUGAAGUUGGAUCCAAGGGAGUUUCGCAUUUCUGCACUUUCAGAGAAGAAACUAAACCGACAAUCAAAGGAUGACCAUUUGCAGAAGGAUAUGGAAGAUUUUCUUUUUAAAUUGCUAGGAGAAGGGUUCCAGCUGUACAGGGAUGUGAUUCAGGAGGUUCAUGGUAACGUCUUAAAUAUAUUGAUGCCAAUUUAAUACAUAUUGUCCUUUUCAAUGUUCUUUCUUUCUUUCUCCUCUUUUUAUUAUUCUUCUUCUUCUUUUUUCUUUUCAUGUGCAUGUGAUCACUAAUUUGGUAUUAUUCUUGACUUGCAGAUAGUUGUGGAUAUGAAAUGCAAAAGGUAAGGGCUAUAUCUUCUUGAUGGAGGCCUCUGAUUUUUUAAAUCGCAUUUUCCUUUGUGAUUGAUAUAUCAUACCAAAGUCAAGUCUUAAAUACUGCUGUCAUAUGUUAAGGUUCAACUUCCAUUUUGAUUAACGUCGAUUUGCUACUGCUUCCAAAAGUGAGAAUGAGAUACUUUGGUUAAUUUCAGUAGUUGAACUCAAUGGAGUACUUUAUUUAGAUCUUCAUGGUUCAAAGGCCUGAAAAAACUUGCCGGUAUUUGCAAAAUGACAUCUGUGCUUUUAUUUAGACUUAUUAUUAAAGACAACAUUUUAUUUCAGCCAAAAAUGUUUGUUUCAAUUAAAGACUUGAACCAUUUUCAUUUAACCUGAUUGUGAUGCUUUACAUUAUGCAUGUUCCUCUCAAUCAAUAAAAGUUGAGGUCAUGAUUUUAUAUUUCUAUUUUGUAACUUGAAAUAAUUGGUCUGCCUGUUUCUGUUGCUUGAUAACAUGAAUUUUUCCUUCUGAAGUUAAUUUGAUCAAUAAAGUAAUUCUUCGGAGAGGAUAUGCCCAUUCUAUAGUCAUUUUCUUAGCUAACAUGUUUUUUCUUCACUCUUCAAAGCAUGUCUAAACUAAUUGAUCGCUCAGCGGAGACUUUGGGUGAGAAGACAAAAUUUCUUGGUAAAUCCUCUGAAAAGGUAUGCAUAAUUCCCGAGUAUUAAAUAAUCAUUGGUCAUAAUUUUUGUACACGACUCUUGUUUUGGAGAUCGUUAAAAGUGGUUGAUGAUCUAUUUUGUAAUAUCAUAGAGGGAUCAUGAAUUCCUUUUCUUUUCUGUGGCUAGGCAACACUUUCGAGCCAAGCUAAGGAAAUCUAUUUUAGGUAAUGUGAAAACUAGUUGUAGGAUGUAAUAGUUUAUUAUGCCCUGACAAUAACUUUUUGUAUAAUUGUCAGUUUAAUGAAUACAAGAGGAACUCUGUUGGCAAGUUCAUCCAUGAUAGAUGCUAAAAUUAUUUAUGCAUACCAGUUGCCUUAACUAAUUUUUCUCAACACUGGUAUUGAACAGGAAAAUGAAUAUGCAAUUUGUAUAUUGUGCCAUUGUGGAGAAUUUGGAUAUUCUUAUUUAAGUAACAAGGAGAGUAUUUGCCUCAUCUUUAAACAAUGAAUCUUUGAGAAAUGAGGAGUGGGUGAUUGACAGUGUCUUCAUGUAAAUGUUCAUUUAUUUGUAUUUUGAACUAUUAUGAGAAUCUUUGUAUGCCAAAUUAGUAAUACAAAUGUUCAGAUGAUUUUUCCUGUUGAUCAUGCGUGUGUAUCUGCACACAACCAUUGUGUACCACUUUAUUCUGAUGCACAAAUAUCUGUAGUUUAGAAGAAAAGAAAUAAUAAUCAUAUAUUAUUGCUUGGUUCAUGAUUAUUAAAUGAUUAUGGCUUUAGAAAAUCCACAAAUCCUUUGUGUUCAUAUAUGAAUGUGCGAAGUUCGCUAUAUCUUAGAUUACCUUCUUCCAAGAUAACAAGUUCAUAUAUUUUUUUUAAUCCUUUUUCAUCACAGUUGAAUUUCAAGUGUAAGUUUUGUUAUUAAUAGCUGGUUUCCUGUUAUUAUGAUUUCAUAAACAAUGAGAGGAUAUGUGCUCUACUUUUGGAUGGCCUCCACAUAAAAGAAAAUUGCAACAAUUGAAUUCUUCUGGAGGGUAUGGUAUUUAAUUUAUUUUCUCAGCUUGUUGUAAGACUAAUAUAUUUCCUUCAGUACGCACGGCAUGGUGGGAAGGGUUUUUAUUGAAAGAAUUAUGAUAUUUCUUAGACUUUGUUUUGGAAGGGGGUGGAGGGAUUUCUCAUCCAUGUAUGGUUACUUGAUUAGCUUUUGACUGUACUGUCUCCGUCGUGCAAAGGAAAAUCCAAAUACUAACGAAGGGGAAUUGCUUAGGCACCCAAAGGACAGAAAUGAAUUACGGAAGGAGGUUUUUGCUGCUUUAUUUAGUGCUGCUGAGAAAUCUGAUGAAUUUCCUGAAAUUACGGUGAAGACGGAGUGGAGGUCCAACGCAUUAGGAAAGGUGGUGAGUGAACCGCCAGAGGAAUUAGUACCAGAAUACAAGGCUAAUGUGGUGCACUGGCAGCAAGAUGACCAGACCUGUAUGUGCUCUUAUAUUAACUAUAUUGGCUGGAUUUGUGAGUGUGUUCAUUUUUGUGUGUAUACUCACUUUUGUAUUUAUGCAUAUUCACGUGUGUAGGAUUCUCGAUUUCUGCCACUUACUGGAGAACUAGUGGAAAGCUUUAUACUGAUAUAUGUGCUAUAUAACUAAUGGAAACUACAAUAUGAAUAUUUUCUCUCACCUGGAGAGCAGUGUAACUAAUAUAAUUUGUGGCUCUGGAAUACUGAAGAUUCUGCAAUAACUAAUGGAAAAUAUGAUAUGAAUAUUUUUUCUCACCUGGAGAACUUUGUAACAGAUACAUUUUGUGCUGGAAUGUCUAAAGAAUGCUUCAGUUUAUAUCAAAUAUCUUUUAGUUAGAAAAGAUAAAAUUCUCUGAAUCUGAAAGACUGAAACAUUUUGCAUAUUUCGUGAAAGGCAAGUAUCUGUAGAUACUAGCUCAUGCAUUGAGGUAAUAUCAAUGUUAAAGAAAAACAGCAAUAAUUUAUUAUACAGAAUUAGGUUCACUUGCUUUAAAUGCUGGUCUGAUCAACCAUAUCAACCUGUAAUGGUCCUGCAGAAAUAUAUAUACGGGGAGAAACUAGCUAAUUUUCCUUUCACUUAUGGGUUUGGUCUUUUUUUCCCCAAUUUUUCAGCUUUCCUUCUCCUGAAGUAUGUUAAUAAUUGCAGAUAAUGGCGAAGAGGACUGCUUCCAGGCUACCGGCAAAAACUUUGUGAAAGCUUUGGAGUUAAACAGGGAAUUCACUUACUGCUAAGGACAAUUGGUGGCGAGCUAUUUCAUUCAUUUUAUGUCCAUACAUCUAUUUAAUUAUUAAAGAUAAUGUACGCAUUUGUAAAUUUCAGAUUGUGUGUCUCUGAAAAUAACAAUAUUUAAAAUGUCUCUUAAAUUAUUAUAAAUUUUAAUUUACUCUCGAUUUAAAAUGGAACAUGUUGGUGAAAUAUUUUUUCUUCUUAAUAAAAUUGAAAUAAAUUAUGUUAGCAGUAGUUUGAAAUAUUUUAAAGAUGAUUAUUUUAUAAGGGAGUAAUAUGAAAUGAAAUUUACUUUUCAUGCGUGAAAUGUUGAAAAAGGACAAAGCAAGUGUCCCUGCUUUUAUUUUAUUUCAAAGUGGAGUCAUCUCACAUACUUUAGCUCUAUCAUUAGGAGCCGGCUAAGUUACGUUAAACGUAAUUUACGCCAGGCACAGCAAUAAUGACAAGUCCCAUGACUAGUAUUGUUGCUGUGUCUGACGUAAGUUACGUUUAACGUAACUUAGCCAAAGCCCUAUCAUUAAUAUAUAUUUAAAUUUAACACAUGCAUGUGGGUUACUUUUCCGUAAGUUCCUUAAUAUAUAUUUAACACAAAUCAUGGAAGAGAUGGGAGUAUAUCAAGAUGAUCAAAGCAUGAAACAAAAAUAUUUAAGAAGUAAAACACUGAAAAUGGAGAAGAGAUGCAAGCAAAAGAUAUUCUAAAGAAAAGCAAUCUAUCCCCUUUCGAGGGCAAACUUAUCAGGUUUAAGAAAAGUACAUGCUUUGGAUUGGUAGUUGCAGCCUUGCAGGAUAAUUGUUUUUGCCACUAUAUUAGUUGGAGGAGUUGAACCCAGUGAAGAAUGUUAUGGAAGAGCAAAUGAUAUUUCUGAUAGACUCUAUUUGAUUAUGUAGCCUGAAUAGAUGUCUUGUUGAAAGAUAUAUCAGUGCAUUAGUUCAUCCUUGUCUGUCAAUGUGUUUUUAAUGGUUUUUCCAAUUGUUUUUUUUUUUUUUGAAACUGAUUAAGCAUCAGGUUACUGCAUUACACAGAUAUAUAUACAACUGCUAUGACAGCAGGUCAUUACACUGAUAUUUACAAUCAGAUAUAUAUACAUGGGACUUAUAUUAUUACAUUUUUAUUCUAUGAAGUACAUGCCCAUCCCAAAUACCCCUCACGGAGGAGGGAUGUCUCUACUCCACUCGCAUUUCGCAAGGGAGAAAGACGUUUAUAGAAAUCUCCACACAAUUAUGUUUAAUUGGAGGAGGUUGAGUCCGUGGGGACUCGAACCAUUGCCCUCAAAGUCAUGCUUAACUUUGAGGGCAAUGGUCCACCACUGGGCUACAAGCCCAAGUGGCGGUUUUUCCAAUUGUUUAUUGCUAUAGAUUGAUUGUAAAUUGAUGUGAACUUAAUGUUGAAAUAUUUUCUCUUUAGUGGAAUGAAAGUUAAACAUUCAAGAUUAGAUUAUUCAAGGUCCACAUAGUAUGUGUUCCGUUGUGUUGUCUGUAAUUUUGCAUUUAAAUAAAUUUGAGUGCUGCCGUUUCGCUCCCACAAUCUCUCGCCUUUUUUUAAUUUUAAAAAUUAAAAUAUUAAUAAAAAACAAUAAAGAAAAUCGAAUCCUUUAUGUCAUUCCAUCUUUACAACUCUCUCUCACAAACUCCAUCUAACAGACUUCUCUCUUACUAUCUCGGUCGAACAAGACCAGUGACAAUGAUGACACGACCGCCGACGAUGAGAUGGUCAUCGCUAAAGAAUCGGGCCGUGUAUUUUACAAUUUCUUGGUUUGUGACAACAAUGGAAAACUCCUGAAAAUUUUGAAUUUGUAGUCGAGCAAAGGAAGAAGCAAGUUAUCUUCAAAGCAUUUUCCAGUAAUAGCUGAUGAAAUUUAAUACUUCAAGCUGGCCCUUUGCUGUCACAACUAGAUGCAUUUGCACUGUCAUUACAAUUUAUGGAAAUUAAAGUAAUUAAUGGUUCUAAUUAAUAGCUUCCCAAAAAACCAAUCUGCCCUUGUGAGAACCAAAGCAUUAAUUUCUUGUAAGAGCUGCAGAAGGCCAGAGAAUUUCAGAUCGUGAAAAGGAGUGUGUGAGUGAGAGAGAGAUCGUGAAAUAGUGAGAGACAAUGAGAGAGAGAGCCGCUCGACUGAGAUGGUGAGAGAGUUGCAAAAAUGGAGUAAGGAGCAGAUAAGAUUAUGUUUUCUUUAUUAUUUUUUAUUAAUAUUUUAAUUUUUUUAAUUAAAAAAGGGCGAGAGAUUUUGGGAGUGAAACGGCAGCAUGUUCCAAUAAAUUUUUACCAAAGUUUCUCUCGUGUUUCUCUCACCUUUCUAGAUACCAAGCAUUUUCCAAUAAAUUUUUACUAAAAACUUAGCAAGCCCUUGAAACUUUGGUCAAAAUUAUUGUUAUUAUUACUUUUAGAGGAAAAACUUUUAUUAAAACCUCAUUAACACAAUUCUUAAUUAAAAUUAUAAGUUUGUGUUGGUGUAAGGAUUUGCAGGAGCAAUUACUGCCUAGCCAAGUGUCAAAAGCACAAAAUAAAUCAAGAGAAAGUAGACAUGAAUUAGGAUCCAAUGAAAUUUAAAUCCCGGAGAAAAGAAAUAAUCAUGCAGAUUAUCAAGAUUUCAAUAAGGGAUAUUGAUAUCCUAUUUUGAUUAAUAAUAUCCUUUUACUGUGUUAACUCAAAAAAUAUGUAUAUUCUAAUAUUUUACAAUAAAUAGAAAUCUAAUAUUAAAAUAAAUGUGAUAUAUAUAUAUAUAUAUUAAAUAAUUUAAAUAUAAAAAAUAUUUUAAUGUUUUACAAUCUACUACACAUAUUUUAUUAAGUUAAUAUAAUUUUUCAAAUAAAUAGGGACAUAAUAUUAAAAUAAAUUUAUAAAAAUUUAAAUUAUUUUGAAUUUAAAAUAAUUUUAAUAUUAUUAAUAUGUUAGAUAUGUUUGAUUAAUUAUAAAAAUUAUUUACGCAAAUUUUUUUAAUAUUUUCAGUAGAUAUAAAUAUAUUACUUACAUUUUGAUUAUUUAACUAUUAUUAUUCUACAAUUAUUUAUAUAAUGUUUGCACUUAUUAGAAUAUAUUUAAAGUCAAAUCUUUUGCACUUCUACCUAGCUAGAAUUAUUGGACGCAGAGAAAUAAGCAUAUAUGCUUUAUAACUUUAGAAAUCGAAUUAUCUAUACAAAUUGAUUUUAGCUGGAAAAAAAGUGAGCUGAAUGAUAUAGGCGAUUAGUGUGGUAAUAUUUCAUAGAGUUAGACUAUUGAAUUUGGCACCCCUCCAAUCUUCUCAUGAUUACCUUUUUGAGUUAUUAAUACACUUCUAAUUUUUCGUUUAAUUUUUUUUAUUGUUAUACUCAAAGUAGUAUUGUGAUAUUUUAUAUUUCUUUUGCAAUCUUAUUAUUAUUUUACACAAAAUUAAAAAGUUUUCUAGGUGAUGAACUUUUGAGUUUUGAACAUUAAUCAUUGGCUUAAAUUUCAUAUAUUUUACAUUAUAAUUUGAAAUUAAGUACGAAAAUAUUUAAUAAAUUAUGAAAAGAUUAACAGAUUAUUCUAAAUUGAUACAACUUAUUUUAGUUAAAUAAAAAGUAACAGGUAAAAAAAAAAAGGAUUGGUUAUGAAAUUUGUUGGAAAAAAAUCUGUGUGUGUUUAAUUUUUAUUUGUCCUUAAUUGUAAUUUAUUUGAAGUGAGGUUUUAUAAGGAUAAUGAAGGGGUGCCAUAGUUUCACUCUAUUUCAUAUGGAGAGAGAAGUAAAAGGUACACCUGAGGUUAAUGGAAAGGACUUCGAAAGUUUCUUUUGAUUAUAAUACUGUUUGUUCUAAUUAACUUAAAAAAUUUUACUUUAAUAUUUUAUAAUAAAUUAAAUUUUAAUCUUAAAAUAAGUAUAAUCAUAUAUUUUAAAAUAAUCUUAAAAUAAAUACAAUCAUAUAUUUUAAAAUAAUCUUAAAAUAAAUACAAUCAUAUAUUUUAAAAUAAUCUUAAAAUAAAUACAAUCAUAUAUUUUAAAAUAAUCUUUAUAUUUAAAAUUUAUUUAUUUGUACAUAUUUUAUAAUAAAUAUAACACAUACUAUUAAAAUAAUAUAUAAAAAAUUAAAGUAUUUUGAAUAUUAUAUAAAAUAACUUUAAGAUUCUUAAUAUGUAAGAUAUAUUUUAUUAAUUUAAAAUUCUAUUUAAAAUUUUAUUAAUUUAAAAUUCUAUUUAACCCAAAGAUUUAUUUAAGAUAAAUUAAUAAUCAUAUUUUUUAAAUCAUUUCAAAUAUUAAAAAAUAUUUUGAUAUUACUAGUCUAUUAAAUAGAUUAAAUAUUUUUAUUAUUUUGUACUAAUCAAAAGUUACAGCUCGAAUGAUAUUAUGAGAACAGAAUUUUUAUGUCUUUAUUAAAAAUUUGGGUUUGUAUAAUUAUUUUUUCAAAUGUUAGGGGCAUAGCUGUCUUUUUACUUUUAUAUAUGUGAACCGCGGUGGUGAAAAAGUGUGAUUUAAUAUUAGUUAUUUAAAUAAUAUCUGAAUUAAAGAUGUACAGAGAAGAAAUUUCGGUGGGCAUUUUAGUCUUUUAACGAUUAUCAUGAUUAGGGAUUAGGUCCUGCUCUUGAAACGUUGGUCAGAAAAGUUCUAAAAUGCGUACAUUAUCUUUACUUUAAAAAAGUUAUUUUAUUUUAUUACAAAUUAAUGCCGACAAGAAAAAGCAAGAUCUUAAANNNNNNNNNNNNNNNNNNNNNNNNNNNNNNNNNNNNNNNNNNNNNNNNNNNNNNNNNNNNNNNNNNNNNNNNNNNNNNNNNNNNNNNNNNNNNNNNNNNNAUAAAGAUGAAGAAAAGGGCAAAAAAAUAUUAAUGAUUAACGAAAUCUCUAUCCAAAUUGAUUUUAGCAGGAAAAAAGUGAGCUAAAUGAUGUAGACGAUUAGUGGUAAUAUUUCAUAGAGUUAGACUAUUGGCACCCUUCCAAUCUUCUCACGAAUCCUCUUUUUGAGUUAUAUUUAUUUUAUUUUUAAAAUAUCUUUUUUCUCUUUUACUACACUUCUAAUUUUUCAUUUAAUUUUUUUAUUGUUAAACUCAAAGUAGUAUUGUGAUAUUUUUAAUUUCUUUUGCAAUCUUAUUAUUACUCUGCAUAUAAAUUAAAAAGUUUUUUAGGUGAUGAAUUUUUGAAUGUUAAUCAUUAGCUUAAAUUUCACAUAUUUUACAUUACAAUUUGAAAUUUAAUAUGAAAAUAUUUAAUCAAUAAGAAUUAUGAAAAGAUUAAUAAAUUAUUCUAAAUUUAUACAACUUAUUUUAGUUAGAUCAGAAGUAGCAGGUUAACAAAAGAAAGGAUUGGUUAUGAAAUUUGUUGGAAAAAAAUCUAUGUGUGUUUAAUUUUUAUUCGUUGUUAACUCUAAUUAAGUAGGUUAAAUAUUUUUGUUAUUUUUUACUUAUCAAAAAAUUUAAGAUCAAUAUUUUUAGUUACCAUUCGAAGGAUAUUAUGACAAAAACAGAAUUUUCACUUCUUUGUUAAAAAUUUGGGGGUUUGUGUAACUAUUUUUUCAAAUGUUAGGGGCAUAUCUGUCUUUUUACUCUAUAUAUAUGAACCAUGGUGGUGAAAAAGCGUGAUUUAAUGUUAUUUAUUUAAAUAAUAUCUCAAUUAAAAAUGUAAGGAGAAGAAAUUUCGGUGGGCAUUUUAGUCUUUUAACGAUUAUCAUGGUUAGGCCCUGGUCUUGAAACGUUGGUCAGAAAAGUUCUAAAAUGCGUUCAUUUGUCUUUACGCCAACAAUAAAAAGCAAGAUCUUAGUGUCCCACAAAAGCAAAUCGUAAUAUUCCGCAAUGGAGUUAGAUCCGCAAAAGCAAACAAAUUCUUUUAUUAAACUACAAAUUAAAGUGGAAUCAUUUACUAAACAACAAAUUAAAUUUGAAAUAUUUAAAUAGUCGUGCGUUAGACGAUUAGAGACUCUUAUUAAAGGCAAGUACAAAGUAGUGAAGAAUCGAAUAUUUCUAUUGUCUAGUCUUUUUUUAAAAAAAAUUUUCUUUUAUUAUUUUUCAGAAUAUGUUUUGGUGAUUACUAUUGGGUUAUUAUUCAGAGUUAUUGUUAUCUUCCGGGGCAGUUUCUGUUCAUCGAAUUCGUUAAUAAAAUUUUAAAACUCUUAUUGAAAGAAUGUUUUUCCGUUAUCUUUUUUAUAAUCUAAUUUUAAGUGUAAGAAGUAGUCAUUUUAGAAUUUGGGUCUUGAAUCGAAUUUCAAUGCAUGAAUUAAUAUUUAAAAAAAAUUUACUACAUGCAGUUUAGGUUACAAACUAUUUUUUGCAAAGUUGACUAUGAAAUUGGAGAAAUUAAGUAAUUUAUAAUGUUUGCAAAGAAAGAGACCAACAUACUUCCAAUUACACUAUAUCUCAAUUAUCAUAAUGUUAAGAUUAAACUAACUUAAAAUAAAAUUUAUUUAAAAAGUUUAUCAAACGCAGUCUAAUUUUAUUAACUUGAAGAGAUAAUAGUUAUAGAAAUUAUUAUUCUAACUUAAUUAGUAAAAGUGGUAUAAAGGUUAAGUGUGCACUAAAUCUAUUUAAAUUUUUUUCCAGUAUAACUAACAGAGGUCAUUACUAGAAUUAUAUUACUAGUCUAUUAGAUAGAAAAAAUUAUUUAUAUUGUUUUAUAUUUAUUAAAAAAAUUUAAAGUCAAUCUUUUUAAUUACUAUUUAAAGGAUAUUAUAAUUAAAAAAAUUUUAAUGUCUUCAUUAAAAAUUUAAAAUUUUAUAUGACCGUUAUCUAAAUAUUUAAAGUGUAACUGUCAUUUUCUCAUAUAUAUAUAUAAUUUCAUCAACCCCUUAUACUUUAUGUUAUUUAUAUUUUAUUCAUGAAUAUUAUAAAUUUUUUGAAAUAUAAAAUUUCGUUUAACCCUUUAUACUCAAUUUUAUUUUAUUAAAACCCUAGAGUAUGAAUUCGUCCCUAUAAUAUUAAAUUCUCAAAAUAACUUCCAUUUAAUUAAAAAAUAUAAUUAUUAUUAAAUGAAUUAUAAUUAUUAUUAUUAUGUUAUUAUAAUCAUAAAAAGCGAGAUCAUAUUCCACAAAAGCAUAAGUGACAAAACAACCAACUGGAUUCUUUUAUUAAUCAACAAAUUGUAUAGUCUUUUUCAAAUUGUUAUAAAUUGGUGGCCCCUACAAUCCUCAAUAAUUGUACCGAAAUUCACAAGUUGGUGGGCCCUACAAUUCUGUUCCGAUAAUUUAACUGUGCAAGUGCUCAUUCACAAUCUUCCAGGUCAUGCUCUUAACAAUUGUUUUUUCUUUUCUGCACGCCCUUUCAUGCUCUUAAUAAUUGAAGAGCAUACUUUUCAAAUGUGAAGCCGCAUCUAAUGUCGCUAAUUUAAUUUGGGAUUAAAUUACGGGACUAUUAUAUUGCAGUGUGCACUAAUUUUUAUGUUUAUCUAAACUCUUCAAAUUUAAAACAUAUUAUGGCAUAAAUAAGAAUGUAACAAUAACAAAAGAGUAAGAAAGUGUAGAGAAAAUCUUGCAGAAAUAUAAAUAAUAUUUAUUUUUAAAAUAAUAUUAAUAUUUAAAAUAAUUUUUAAUAUUUUAUGGUCCAUUAGAUAUAUUUUAUUAUAUUAAAAUAAAUUUUAUAAUAAAUAAAAACAUACUAUUAAAAUGAAUAUAUAUAGAAAAUUUAGAGUAUUUUAAGUAUUAUAUAAAAUAAUUUUAAUAAAAUAUGUGAGAUAUUCAUAUUUUAUUAAUUUAAGAUACCAUUUAACCUAAAGAUUUAUUUAUGAUAAAUUAAUAAUUAUAUUUUUGAAAUUACUUCAAAUAUUAAAAAAAUUAAUAUUACUAAUAUAUUAGAUAGAUUAAAUUAUAUAUAUUAUUUUUACUUAUUAAAAAAAUUUUAAAAUUAUUUUUAAUUACUAUUCAAAAAACGUAUUCAAAAAACAUAAUGAUAAAAAAAUCUUAACAUCUUUAUUAAAAAAUUAAAAACUUAUAUGAUAAAUUCUCUAAAUAUUUACGGUAUAUGUGAACCACGGUGGAUAAGCUUUAUUUAAUAUUAUUGAUUUAAAUAAUAUGUCAAUUAAAAAUGUACAGAGAAGAAAUUUCGGUGGGUAUUUUAGUCUUUUAAGCAAUUAUCAUGAUCAGAUCAGCCUUUAGCCUUCAAACGUCGGUCAGAAAAGUUUUAAAAUUAAUGCUAAAUUGUUUUUCACUUUUAACGUUGGUGGCCUUGAAAUUGCUUGUAUUUUAUUAAAAAUUAAUGCUAACAAGAAAAAGCUAGGUCAUAUUCCACAAAAUCAAAAGUGACAAAACAACCAGCUGGUUUCUUUUACUAAACUACAAAUUAAAAUAAAUUUUUUCGAUAAAUUACAAAUUAAAGUGGAUUCUUUUGAAUACAAAUGGGACAGACGAUUAGGCUCUUUUUAUUAGAGGCAAGUAAAAACUAGUCAAGAAUCGAACAGUCUUUUUCCAAUUCUUGUUUUAUUAUUUUUCAAAACUAGUUUUUGGUAAUUACAACCGGGUCAUUAAUCAUUAUUCAGAGUUAUCUUCCGGGGCAGUUUCUGUUCAUCGAAUUCGUUAAUAAAAUGUUAAAACUCUUAUUGAAAGAAUGUUUUUCCGUUAUCUUUUUUAUAAUCUAAUUUUAAGUGUAAGAAGUAGUCAUUUUAGAAUUUGGGUCUUGAAUCGAAUUUCAAUGCAUGAAUUAAUAUUUAAAAAAAAUUUACUACAUGCAGUUUAGGUUACAAACUAUUUUUUGCAAAGUUGACUAUGAAAUUGGAGAAAUUAAGUAAUUUAUAAUGUUUGCAAAGAAAGAGACCAACAUACUUCCAAUUACACUAUAUCUCAAUUAUCAUAAUGUUAAGAUUAAACUAACUUAAAAUAAAAUUUAUUUAAAAAGUUUAUCAAACGCAGUCUAAUUUUAUUAACUUGAAGAGAUAAUAGUUAUAGAAAUUAUUAUUCUAACUUAAUUAGUAAAAGUGGUAUAAAGGUUAAGUGUGCACUAAAUCUAUUUAAAUUUUUUUCCAGUAUAACUAACAGAGGUCAUUACUAGAAUUAUAUUACUAGUCUAUUAGAUAGAAAAAAUUAUUUAUAUUGUUUUAUAUUUAUUAAAAAAAUUUAAAGUCAAUCUUUUUAAUUACUAUUAAAGGAUAUUAUAAUUAAAAAAANNNNNNNNNNNNNNNNNNNNNNNNNNNNNNNNNNNNNNNNNNNNNNNNNNNNNNNNNNNNNNNNNNNNNNNNNNNNNNNNNNNNNNNNNNNNNNNNNNNNNNNNNNNNNNNNNNNNNNNNNNNNNNNNNNNNNNNNNNNNNNNNNNNNNNNNNNNNNNNNNNNNNNNNNNNNNNNNNNNNNNNNNNNNNNNNNNNNNNNNNNNNNNNNNNNNNNNNNNNNNNNNNNNNNNNNNNNNNNNNNNNNNNNNNNNNNNNNNNNNNNNNNNNNNNNNNNNNNNNNNNNNNNNNNNNNNNNNNNNNNNNNNNNNNNNNNNNNNNNNNNNNNNNNNNNNNNNNNNNNNNNNNNNNNNNNNNNNNNNNNNNNNNNNNNNNNNNNNNNNNNNNNNNNNNNNNNNNNNNNNNNNNNNNNNNNNNNNNNNNNNNNNNNNNNNNNNNNNNNNNNNNNNNNAUUGUGGGCACUCUUGUUCGUGCAUGUUUGCUAGAAGAGAUGGAAGAUGAUAAAGUAAAAAUGCAUGACGUUGUUCGUGAUAUGGCUUUAUGGAUAGCUUGUGAAAUUGAGAAGGAGAAGAGAAACUUUUUGGUUUGUGCAGGUGCUCGAUUAGAAGAGGCACCGGGUGUUAAAGAAUGGGAAAAUGUGAGAAGAUUGUCAUUGAUGCAAAACCAAAUUGAAACUGUGUCAGAGAUUCCCGCAUGCCCUCAUCUCCAUACUCUAUUUCUUGCCUCUAAUAGGAAUUUCAGGAUGAUCACGGAUGGCUUCUUUCAAUUUAUGCCUUCUCUCAAAGUUUUGAAGAUGUCACGCUGUGGGCAAUUCGAAGGUUUUCAAUUACCUGUUGGGAUGUCAGAGUUGGGUUCAUCACUAGAACUUCUUGAUAUUUCACAUACCACCAUAAGAGAGUUACCCGAAGAGUUAAAGUUGCUGGUAAAUCUGAAAUGUUUGAAUUUGAGGUGGACAGGUGCGUUAAUUAGAAUUCCACGGGGACUAAUAUCAAAAUUUUCAAGGUUACGUGUGUUGAGAAUGUUGGGUACUGGCGGGUUCAUUUUUUAUGAAGCACCAGAAGACAGCGUUUUAUUUGGUGGGGGUGAAGUUUUGAUACAGGAAUUGCUCGGUUUGAAAUAUUUAGAGGUAUUGGAGUUGACCUUGGGAAGUUAUCAUGCUCUCCAAAUUCUUUUGAGCUCAAAUAAGUUAAAAAGUUGUAUUCGAUCUCUUUACCUCUAUUUGACCGGAGAUAAAAAGUCGAUUAUUGAUGCUACGGCUUUCACAGACCUAAACCACCUCAAUGAAUUAUGGAUUGAUAAUGGAAUUGAGUUGGAAGAAUUGAAGAUUGAUUAUACGGAGAUAGUACGAAAAAGGCGGGAACCUUUUGUUUUCCACAGCCUUCACCUUGUUACGAUAUAUAGUUGCCAUAAAUUGAAAGAUUCGACAUUCCUCGCUUUUGCUCCAAACCUCAAGUCUCUUUCGCUAUUCAAAUGCCGUGCUAUGGAAGAAAUAAUCAGCGUCGGAAAAAUUGCUGAGAAUCCUGAGAUGAUGGGACAUAUAAGCCCUUUUGAAAAUCUCAAAAGUCUUGAUCUAUCAUAUUUGCCGGAGUUGAAGAGCAUUUUCUGGAAGCCAUUGCCUUUCACUCAUCUCAAAGAAAUGGGGGUAAGAGCAUGUGAUCAGCUUAGAAAGCUUCCACUCGAUUCCAACAGUGCAAAAGAGCGUAAAUUUGUAAUUCGUGGAGAAGAAGACUGGUGGAACCGACUUCAAUGGGAGGAUGAAGCCACUCAAAUUGCUUUUCGUUCCUGUUUCCAACCUGAUUCCUGAGCGGUGGUCGCAAAAUUUGAUUUCUGGUGAGUGCGUUUGUCUUUUAAAAGAAGAAUUUAAAAGAAAUUUAUUCUUGACGUUUUCUUCACUGUUUUUAUUUCAGUCUCUCUCUCUCUCUUUUUGUCUUCUGCUAAUCACAAUUAAAUGUUGAAUUAAUGGAAUUAAUGCUUCAUAAAUUUGCCGGCACUGCCAUUACUUUUUUUUUUUUUAAUACAAAUUGAUACUUUAUUUAUAUCUUCUUAGCGAUUUAAUUUCCUGUCAAUUGACGAACGAGAAGAACAUAUGACUUGAACCAAUGCUCGCAUAAACUUGCUGUAAAAAGAUAUAAUCUCACUGAAAUGCACACGCCUAGAAUGAAUAGAAUUAAAACAGGGAAAAUAUUAAGUAUAUUAGCCCUCUUUACCGAAAAUCAAAUGACAAUAAAUUUUUUGAAGUUUUGAUUUUCUAUGGUCAAUUCCACCUUUUGCAAUUUCUUCUGUUCUAACAAAAACCAAUUUCUUUGUUCAAGUAUUUUCGUUUGGGUAUUAAUAAUUCUCCACCGAAAGAGUGAACUCUUGCUCAAGGGAUCUCUAAUCAAUAGCCGGAAGGGCGCCGAGACCUGAUCGGACCUAGGCCCAAGUUUGGUCUUAAAGCCUGGGCUUGAGCCUGGCAAUUAAAUUAAAACAGUAAUUGAUUUCUUGAAUGAAUUGUCGUGUAAUUGAUUUAUGGGGGAUGACACAUCAACAUACUUGAAAAUACACUAAUCUCAGCAUCAUCCGUUAAUAACUUUUAGAUUUAUGGGCAAUCAAUAGUUAAAUUAGUUGUCAUUAAUACUAAAUAAUUUUUACUUUUUUUGUCUCUUCUAGAGGAUCUUCUAGAAAAAUGCAUCCACAAUUAAAUUUAAUACUUUACAUAAUAAAGAAAGCAUAAAUGUUAAAUUUAAGAAACUGCAUUGUAUUUCAGCUGAAGUUGACUUUAAUAUUUAGGGUAGAAAAAAAUUAAAUCCUUAAUGUGUUUAAUUUCUAUCACUUGUGUCAUUAAAAUUUUCUAGUCACCCUAACCAAUUACAUCUCAACCCACUUUUUUUUGGAUGAUUUUAUUUUUACACUAUUAUUUUCAACAUUUUUUUUUCCUUUUAACACCAACAUUAGUGUAUGUUACGUAACAUAAUCCAUAUUUGGAUAAUUUGAAAUUUGUUUGUGUUUUAUCUCAAAAUAGAGCUUCAAUCAAUUUGUACCUCAUAAAUUCACAAUAUCUGGCAUAUUGUCAAAUGUGCUUAUCCUUUUGCUUGACAUGUCAUUUUAAAAUUGUCAUUCAAUGUCAAAAAAUCACAUCAACUAAUGGCCGACUACUUUAAUUUGAAAGCAUGCGUGCGAUCGCCAAUAAUUAUAACUUAAUUGUUAUAUUGAAAUUUUUUUCUUUAUAAUUUAAGUUUAAUACUGCUACAUGUGUGGCACAUAAGUUGGAAAAUAUAACAUAAAAUUUGAAAAAUGUGUAGUUUUCGUUCCUUUUUUUUCUAAAAAAAUGGGAAAAAAGAAUGUAAUUUUGUUUAAAUUACUGUUGUCAUAACAAUUAUUAUUUUAUUGAUUAAUUGGCAGAGAAUCGUAAUGGUUUCGCAUGGUUGUUAAAACAUUGGAAAGUCCACUACAUCAUCGGUUAAUAACUUUCAGAUUUAUGGUUAAUUAAUAGCUGAGAUUUAUUAUCAUUAAUGCUAAAUAUUUUUUCUCUCUCCUGGAGGAUCAUCCACAGGCAGGUGCUUCCUGACGAUGACAAAAUUUUGGGCAGGCAGGUGCUUCCUGACUUUCACACGGUAAUUCUCAAAUUCUGAUUUCACCAUAUUUUAAUUACUGAUUAGCAUAUAUUCAAGUGCUCUCCAUUAUAAUGGAAGCCGCCGCCUCACUCGUAAUUCCAAACUUUAUCUUUUUUUCCUUUUUUAAAUUAAUGCAAGUAGCCGCUGUCCUUUCUAUUAAUUAAUUAAUUCGGCCGCCCACAUUUCUUUUCCUAAUGUCUUCUACUGUCGAGUUUAUUUUAUUUUCUCUUUAUUAUUAAAAUAUACUUAUAAUAAUAAAAAAAUAAAAAUUAACAUAUCAAAAUAUAAUUUAACAGAAAAUUAAGAUAAAAAAUUAAAAAUAAAUAAAUUAUGAGCAUAUCAAUCAAUAAAUGAAAAAUAAUAAUUUUUAUUUUUAUUAAAUAUAAAUUUUUCAGUAUUAAUCAAUUAUCUGAAUAAAUAAAAUCAUUUAAAAAUAAAUAAAUAAAUUAUUCUUAAAAAAAAAAAAAAAACUUUUUAUAACACUCACUAUGCUGGUUGUAGGGUUGACGCUUUGGGUACUGAAGCUAGUAACUUCUACAAGUAGUCUUAAGUUGACUGGCAACAACUAUAUUGGCAUUUAGAAAUAAUGUACUGCAACCAUAUUGGCAUGUUCAAAUGUUCUUAUUAUUGUAUUGGUGUGUCAAUAUUAUCUCUAACGGUUUUAUAAAUAAAAAAAUAAUCUAAAUUUAUAAUUUAACAUAAAAUAAAAUAAUUGGUAGAAAAACAAUUAUGGUUCAUUUACUUAUCAGUAAUCAGAAUAGACUGAAAUCGAAAUGAGUUGUAUUACUGUUGAUGUGUUUAUGUUGUACUCGAAUCGAAAUGAAUUAUUUUAAAUUACUAAAAUAUCCUUGGUCUGUUAUUCUAAUUAUUAUUAUUAUUUAAUAUUUAUUAUAAUAUUUUUCAUAUCAUUAAAAAAAAAUAAUAAUGAUGAUAAUAUUCUCAUUAUUGUUUGUUACAUUAUUAUUAUUCAAAAAAAUUAUUGUUAAUAACAAUAAUUACUUUAUUUCAAUAAUAAUAAUGAUAAAAUUAAUAAUAAUAAACAUGACAACAACAAUAAUUAUUUAUUAUGCCAAAAAAUAACAAUAAUAAUAAGAAUAAUAAUCAUCAUCAUUUUUUUGCCAAAGAAGCAUUAUCAUCAUCAUUUCAAAAAAAAAAUCAUCAUCAUCAUCAUCAUUUUUGUAGUGGCUACCUAUCGGCUGCUGCUUUCAUGUGAGAUUGACUUGCGACGCUUCAACGGCUAUUAUUUCUGACAAUGUCAGGUGUUGCUAUUUCAAUUUAGGAAGAAGUUGUUUCGGUGUGCUAGCGAUGGGAGAUGUUGUGGCUGCGAUUCGGGGAGCUACUAGUUUAUUGCACUAAUAACGGCAGGUGCUGUUGCUUGAUGCGAGGUCCAUGGCCAGUUGUCAGCAGUUCGACUUUGGUAUGGGUGCUGCUGGUUCGAUUUUAGGUGUUGUCCAAUUUCAUUUUCAGGAUUUUAAUUUUAUUUUUCUUUUAUAUUUUCAUUAAUUAAUCAGGGUAAAAUUGGAUUUUAGAAUUUAGAAUGAAGGUAAUUUUGUUAAUAAUGGAAAUGAGAUUCUGAUUGUCGAGAAUGAGCUUACACAAACAACUAUAAAUUAAGUGAAAACAAAACACUUUUUCUCUUUGUGUGAUUAAAACAUGAUAUGUACCAUAAAUAAAUAAGUAAAAAAUAAAUCAACACAAUCUAAAACAGUAAACAAAUUACAAGAGGCACAGAUUUUUAUGUGAAACACCGAAAAUGGAAAAAACCACAGCAUCUUAGUUUGAUAUAAUCUUCUACUAUAUUAAUGGGAUUAUAGCACAAAUUCUUUCCUAUAUAACACUAGAGAUUAACAACAUCAAGAAUCUCAAUAAUCUUGACUUACAAUACAGCCUAAUAUUUGUCUCUCUAAUAAGUAGAUAUCUAAAAUAACAGUCUCUAAUAAGUAUGUAUCUAAAAUAAUAGUCAACAAGAGGAUAAAACAAAAAUUAAGAUUAGUAGGAUGUGUAUAAGGUGAUGCUAUCAAUUUAUCUUCUAAAUUUGAGAAAAAUAGUUAAAUUCACUUUUUCGAUUGUCCGACCAAAAAUGGAAACCCUUGCCCCAAAACCAAAGGAAUCACCAUUAUGUUUUUCUCUCUCUCUCUCUCUAUCUCGUUCUUUUCUUCUUCUUUUCUUAAUGUUAGCCAUCACUUGCUUUUAUUCUUUAUAGCAUUCAAAAAGCUACUUUUAAUGGUAAAUUUCAUUUAAGUCUGCAACUUAGUGAUAAUUGCACACCAAACAAUCCUUACAUAGUGUUUUGGGCCCUCAAAUGAGAUGAAUACAACAAAUCUCCCCCUUUAAAUCAUGUGGGGGGCACCGCAAGCCCGCUAUUUGCAUAUAGCUUUUCAGCUUCUCCUUGAAUAAUGACUUUGUCAUCAUACAUAAUCCAUUCUUCGUUGUGUAAAUCUUCUCAAGCUGUAACUGUUCCUUCUCAAGCUGUAAUUAUUCCUUCUCAAGCACGUCUCGUAUCUAAUGAUACCUUACAUCAAUAUGCUUAGAUUUCGAAUAGUAUAACAGCACUCUGACUAUCGUAGUACAUAACAUAGCUGUCUUGUUUUACACCCAGCUCUUGUAGGAAAUUCUUCGUCCACAAUAUUUUUUUGCAACCUUCAAUAAUUGUAAUAUCAUUUGCUUUAGUGGUAGAAAAGGCAACUUAUUACUAAAGUUUAGAUUGCGAUGAGACUGUUCCCCCUGCAAAAGUGAGCAAACAUCCUAGUAGGAAUUUUUCGGAAUCAACAGCUCCUGCCAUAUCUACACACUUGUAACACAGGUUUGUCACCACCAAAAUAUAAACAUGCUCUGGAAAUGCAUCUAAGAUAUCUGAGAAUUUUUCACUGUUGUCCAGUGCUCUUUACCGAGGUUGAAGAGAAACCACUGACUACACUAACUGUAUAGGCAAUAUUUGGUCUUGUACAAAUUAUGGCGUACAAUAAACUGCCAACUGCUGAAGCAUAAGGAACUCCUCUCAUGGAGAAAUGGGUUUUACUCUUGAGAUUUUUGGGACCAUGAAGAAUAAAGAUGUAAUUUCUUAUACUGCCAUUGUUUCGGGAUAUAUAAAUAGAGAACAAGUCGAUAUAGCUCGACAGUGUUUUGAUCAGAUGCCAGAACGAGAUUAUGUCUUAUGGACUACCAUGAUUGAUGGGUACCUUCGAGUGAAUAGGUUCAGAGAGGCUUUGACACUUUUUCAGGAGAUACAAACUUCAAAUAUAAUGGGAGACGAGUUUACCAUUGUUAGCAUUCUUACAGCUCGUGCGAAUCUGGGGGCACUAGAACUGGGAGAAUGGAUAAAGACUUAUAUUGACAAAAACAAAGUCAAGAAUGAUAUAUUUGCGGGGAAUGCUUUGAUAGACAUGUACUGUAAAUGUACUGUAAAUGCGGAGAUGUUGAGAAAGCUCAAAAGGUAUUCAGGAAGAUGCUUUGAAAGGUCAAAUUCACAUGGACGACCAUGAUUGUUGGCCUUGCCAUCAGUGGAAAUGGUGAUAAAGCUCUUGAUAUGUUUUCCCAAAUGCUCAGGGCUUCGAUCAAACCAGAUGAGGUAGCUUAUGUUGGUGUUCUGUCUGCCCGUACUCACAAUGGUAACGAAACUUUUGUGAUAAAUAGUUGCAACUUAAGGUGAGAACUGGAGGAAGGGAAAUAGAUUGAAGUUGUUCAAUCAUCAGUAGUUGCUACUUGGUUUUAAGUUGUUCAAUCAUCGGUCGUCUCUAUUUGGUUUUCUCCAAUAUCUCAUCUUCAAUUUUGACUCAGAUUGUAUCUUACCACUAGUAAUUACAUAGACUUGCUGCCAAAGGUAAGAAUGGGAAUAAAUUAAAUAGAUUAUGUCGAAAACGAAAUAAAUUUACUAUUGUUCUGUUCAUUCUAUUUGUUUCCUACAAAAUAUUUCUCCUGCCUAAAAUUUUUUGAAUCAGUAAGUUUUUACCUUAUGGAUGAAUUGUGUUGAGAGUAAUUCCAUUUCUCAGUCUCUUUAUGUUUCAAUGAAGACGUAAAACUUGUGUUCUAGUGCACCAACGUUUAUGCUUCUUACAAUUUGACUUUAAUUUACUUUGUAAAAUUUUUGUCAAAAAGUACUAAAAAGUAGUGCACCAAACACCAACUUUAUUACAGAGAGGACUUUAGUUAAAUUUUAAGAAAACACUCAAAAGAAAGAGUUGUAAAUUAUUAUAAAAAUAUUUCACAUAAAUAAAAGCCAUCCCAUGCUGCAAAGAUCUUGCUAUAAUCACCAAAAACUAUCGGGAGCUUUUAGGGUUUCCAUAAAAAUGCCAUUUCGUUCCAUGUAUAUGAUUCUAUAGUCUCACUGGCAAGUAAACCACAGCCCAACAGCACUGACUGUCCAUGAUGAUUCACCCCAAUGAACGAAACCAGCGUUGCAUCAUAUCUUUCUGUCAAGCAUGUAAUAUCAAUUGAUUUGAGCUAUUAACAUCAUUUCCAAAUACUCCAUUGGCAUCUACAUUACCAUUUCCCUCGGCAUCAAUGAUAAGAGUUCGAAACAGUCUAAUCUUUUGAACUUCUUCAGCACCAUCUAAGAGCAAUGUUCUUUUGGUUCCAAUACCCAUGUGCUUAUGAUAUUUGUAAAAUAAUUAUUUGUAAAAUAAUUAGUUCAAUUUUGACAUAAUACGGAAUAAACACAACCUGCCAAUCUAAGUUACUAUCUUUUCCCGUCAUCAGGUACCUGUUUGAAAAAUAAUUAUAUACAAUUUUAUUUGCGUCGUCCCUCUAAAAAUUUGGGACUCAAAUGUUAUUUCUAAUUGCUAAAAGUACGAAAUUGCCCCCUUUCUCUUCAGCUAAAGGAGUGCAAAGUCAUCUGUAUAAUUGAAUCUGCAUCAUCAGUUUCUAUUGCUGGCUGGUGUUACUGCAUGCUUACAGUUGCUUGACAAAGUGAGCCAGUUUUUUGUUUAUUAAUUUUUUUUCUUGUCGAGACAGUCACAAAGUAUUACUUGUUCUAUUUGAGAAUGAUGUGAAUCAAUUUUUCAAUUAUGCAUUCUGUGGUAAUUAUUGUGAAUUUAGUUUCAUUUGUCUUGUCUCCUGCAAAUUUUGAAGAAAAUGCAGACAUACAAAUUUACAAUAUGUAUUUGCGUUAGUAUAAAAACAAUUGUUAGAUGAUUAAAGCGAUUUAUUUUUUUUUUUACAGCAUUUGAUUGUAUUAGUUAAAAUCAUUUUUUAAGGAUAAAAAUAAAUAGAAAAUUAUUCUCAUGUAGUGUGGAAAUCUUUUCUAAUUUCUUGUUGACUUGUACAUUUAUUUCAGAAUUUCCAUUCAUUAAUUCUACUGUUUUAAUCUUUGACUUAGCUACCGUAGUUGACUUUUUAUAUCAAAGGCUUAAACAGCAUGCAUUUUUGAAUUGACUGAGAAUAAUUUGGUGGACAAAUUACUAGUAAAGGACUUCAAAUGGUUGAAUUGACUGUGGGUUUUUCAUGCCCAAGUCACUCGUCACGUCGUUUCAUCGAAACAAAGUGCCCGGUGCAAAUGGUGUGAUGUAAAACACCUUUUUAAAUUGUCAUUUUUUUUCCUUUGCUUUUGCUUUAAUUUUCUAAAUGCUCAACGCCAUAAAUCCAUGUAUUCUUAAUUUUCGUUUGCUGUAUUGAUUCCCAACCCUCUAUGUCACAAGGUUUUGAAUGCCAGUAAUUAAGUUAAAUUAAACAUAUUUUAAGUCCUACUUUAAAUUAUUGAAAAAUGUAUUAUGGUUGAACUGAAUUUUAACUAAAAAAUAUAUACAAAAUAAAAGAUUAAUCAUAUCUUUUUAUGAGGAAGGUCAGUCAUCAUUCUGACCACAGACACUUAAAAUUAAUUGAGUGGAAUAUUGCAAAAUAUAUAUAAACCAUGCCAAAACUAGAUGUUUGAGUAAUGAAAACGAGAAUUCAUAUGACUCAGAAAUAUGGUCGCUUUCCUUUUUCUGAAAGGCAAAAAAAAAGGGGGAACCAAAAAGGACCAAAAUGAACAAAAAUGGAAGGCGAAGGUAAGCAGACAUGUUAUAUGUUUUACCUAAGAUGCCAAAUGCAACUCCCCAUUGAUGGUGAUCGAACAUUAUGGCCAUUUUCUUAGUAAACAAAAAAUGAAUUUUGAACACUCAACAACGAAACUUGAGCAGAAGAUCAAGCAAGGGCCUCGAUCUCAAAGAAGAUACUAUGAAACCCUACUUAAUGGUUAAAUAACUUUCAUUCAGCUUUGGACCCUAUUUCGUGAUACGGAAAGACAAACCUUUCUUGGCCGGCAGUGUCCCAGAUCUGGGCUUUGAUGAUCUAGAGGUUGAUGGUGACAGUUCUGGUUUGGAACUCGACGCCAAUGGUUUAUUUCGAUUCAAAGCAAAACUCAUUCUUGGUGAAUCUCGAAAGAAUCUGAGACUUGCCCACGGCCGAGUCACCGAUCACCACUACCUUGAAUACAUAGUCUAUUUUGUCAGGAAUCAUAUUCUCUCGUUGUUGAUGACGAUGAUCGGUGCCAUCACCACUCAUUUCUUCGUUCAUUCAUUCUAUGUCCAUUGAUCUUUUUGAAUUAUUGAAGACAAGUGGCUCACCGCUUUUAGUAUUGGUAAAAUUCAGAUAAUCUCUAUUCCGAAAUAAUAAUAUUAAAAAUAUCUCUUAAAUCAUUAUAAACUUCAAAUCUAUUUUAAUUUUAUUUAAAAGAUAAAAGAAAAAUAAGUUAUGUUGGUGAUUUUUUAUUAUCUUUUUAAUAAAAAUAGAAUAAAUUGAUGUUUAUAAUUAUUUAAAGUAUUUUAAAGAUUGCUAUUUUAUGAGAGAAUAAUAUUUCAUUUUUUUUUUCGUGUGAAAGACCGAAAAAGGACAAAGCAAGUUUCCCUAAUUUUUAUUUUAUGUGAAAUUGGUCAUCUCAUAUACUUUACCCUUCAACACUCUAAUUUUUUUGGUUAUAAUUUUAUUAUUUUUUCUCUUUUACACAUGCAUGUGAAUUACUUUUCUUUAAGCUCCUGAAUAUUUAAGACAAAUCAUGGAAGAGAUGAGAGUAUAACAAGAUGAUCAAAAUAUGUAACAAAAAAAUUUUAGAAGUGAAAAAUAUGUUAGAGUCGAAGUAAAACUCUGAGGUGAUGUUUGAUUUGAAGAAAAUGGAGGAGAGAAAAAGAGUGGAAUGGAGAGGAAAAGAGAGAAAAGGAGAGGAGAGGAGAGGAGAGUGAACUUUUUUUCUAAUGUUUGGUUUGUCACAUAAAUAUACAAAGAAAGGAAAUCUCCAAUUUUUUAUUUAGACAAUUUUAACCUUAAUAAGUAUUAAGCUUUCAAUAUUUAUCAUGUGUAUAAUUUAAAAAAAGUAAAUGGUAGAAAGCGGUUUCUGAUUCCGGCCACAUCGCCGGCAAUGGAAGGUACUUAUCAGAACAUCAAGAACCGGCCAUCAUUCCCUAGCCAUCACUGCUGUAGGAACACUGCUAAAAAGCUGCCGAUUGAACCGCGAAAAGUCGUGGAAAUCGUUGCCUCAAAUCGGUGAGUUUCGCCUUUUUCUGGUCAUGCCGUCGCCUUGGCUUUGUCCAUCAACGCUGCCACUUCCAUUUCAACCAUCCAUAGCCACUAUUAACCGCCAAAUCGCCGCCGAUCAGCGGGAUCUGUGGAAGUUAAAAAGUUUCUAAAAUUUUUUAAUUGGAUUUGAACAACAUACAACCAUUUUUUGAUCUCAAUAACGACAUAGUAAUGUUGAUCGUUGGUCGGCAAGUCGAAUGGUAGUGGCGGUGAGUAACACGCGCCAAUGACAUCGGCGGCGGCGGCGGCACUAUCCGGCUACUGUUAAAAUUAAUAUUUUAUAUUUGUAGAUUAAAUAAAUUUAUUUUAUUAAACUUUUUAAAUCAUUAUUUAAAUUUAAUUAAUUUAAAAUUAUCUAUGAUGUUGAAUUGAUAAAAUAAAUUUAUAAAUAAUAAUUAUGUGAUUACAUUAAAUAAGUUAAAAAGUUGAAGGGUUAUUUUUGGAAGAUUUAGUUUCCAACACAAAGGGAAUUUGAAUUCUUCACUUCUUAGUGUGGAAUUCAAAUUCUAUAUUGUAAUGGAUAUUAAAUUCCAAUAGAAAUUAAAUUCUUAUAAGUUAUGUCAAACCAAACAACGGAAAUAAAAAAAAAGAAUUUAAAUUACUUUCCUUUCCUCCACCCUCUCCUUCCAACCAAAUACAUCCUGAAAAUAGAGAUAUUGAUUAAUUUAGAAGAGAUGCAAGCAAAAGAUAUUCCACAAAAAAAAAAAAGCAAUAUGUCCCUUUGGAGGGCAAACUUGUCAGUUUUAAAAAAGUACAUGCUUUGGAUUGAUAGUUGUAGGAUAUUUGUUUUGUCACUAUGUGUUAGUUGGAGAAGUCAAGCCUUGUGAAGAAUGUUAUGAAAGAGCAAAGGAUAUUCCUGAUAGCUGAUAGAGCUCUAUUUGAUUAUGUAUCCAAUGAAUGGAUGUGUUGUUGGAAGAUAUUUGAGUGCAUUAGUUCAUAUGUGUCUAUCAAUGUGAUUUUAAUGAUUUUUCCACUUGUUUGUUGUAAAAGAUUAUUGUAAAUUGAAAUGAACUUGAUGUUGUAAUAUUUUCUCCUUAGUAGAAUUUCACCUAGUAUGUAUUUAGUUGUGUUGUCUAUAAUUUUGCAUUCGAAUAAGUUUCACCUAAAAUAUUAGCAUGAGUAGUGGCCCUUGAAACUUUGGUCAAAAUUAUUGUUAUUAUUUCCGACUAGAUGUAAAUUUUUUAUUAAAUCUCGCUAACACAAUUCUUAAUUAAAAGUAUAGGUUAGUGUUGGUGCAAGACUUGCCACACCAAAUUCUGCCUAACUGUCAAAAGUGCAAAAUAAAUGAAGAGAAAGCACAAAUACACGACUUGAAUAAGGAUACAACGAAACUUAAAUUCAAGAGAAAAUGAUAGCUAUAUCUCAAGAUUUGAAAAAACGGUCAUGUAGAUUUUUAAGAUUUCAAUAAGCGACUGAGAUUCAAAUAAUAUCCUUUAAUUCUAUUAACAAAAAACAAAGACUCAAAUAUUUUAUGAUAAAUAAAAAUAUAAUAUUAAAAUAUAUGUGAUAAUAUACACAUUUUAAAUACUUUCAAUCCAAAAAAAUAGUUAUGUUUUACAAUCUAUUAGACAUAUUUUAUUAAAUUAAUAUAAAUUUUCUAUAAAAUAAGAAUAUAAUAUUAAAAUAAAUUCACAAAAAUUUAAAGAAUUUUGAAUGUAAAAUAAUUUUAAUAUAUCAAUACGUGAGUUUUUUUAUUAAUAUAAAAUUUAUUUAACUUUAAGAUUUUUUAAAAUCUUUACAAUAAGUAUAACUAUAUUAUUUACAUUUAAAAAUAUUUAAAUAUUAUUAACCUACAAUUAUAUUUGCAUUUGUUAGAAAUUUUUUAAGUCAAAUAUUUUGCACUUCUAUAUUAUUAGAAUUAUUGCACAAAAAGAAAGAAACAUACACCUUUAGAAAUUGUUUUCUUUUAAAAUAGAGAUGAUGAUUAGUAUAAGGAUGAAAAAAAGGAUAAAGAAUAUUAAUGAUUAACGAAAUCUCUAUACAAAUUGAUUUUAGUAGGAAAAGAGUGAGAUGAAUGAUUUCUUUUACAGUUAGAAACAUAGAUGAUGAUUAUUAUAACGAAGAAAAAAAGAUAAAGAAUAUUAAUUAUUAAUGGAAUCUCUAUACAAAUUGAUUUUAGUAGGAAAAAAAUGAUUAAAUGAUUUAGAGUGCGUUUGGAAUUGAGAUUGGGCAGCCAUAGAUUUUAAGUUACAACACUGAAGUGUUUAGUAAAUACUAGUUGCUGCAGAUUGAAAGUUAUGUUGAUAUGAUUUUUCACAUGUAUCAUAGAAAAUAUAUUACAUCUUUAAUAUUUUUUAAAAAUUUAUAUUUGCUAUAUAUUAUUAAUUUUUUUUUAUAGUUAUAACUUUUUUUCCACAACAGUUGUAGCUUAAAAGUCACAGCACCUCAAUCUCAAACAAAUCCUUAGACAUUCAUAGUGUGUUUAUUUUUUGGAUUGGUGAAUCAAAAUUAUUGACAACGCUAACUUCAUCUUCACUGUUCGCAAUCCAACAGCAGCAAUUGUCGCCAAUAAUGAUAUCUCCAAUGAUGAUGACAAUUAUUAUUAUUAUUUUUAUUAUUAUUAUUAUUAUUAUUAUUAUUAUUAUUAAUUAAUUAAUUAAUUAAUUAAUUAAUUAAUUAAUAUAUUAAUGUUGAUAUUAUUAUUAUUAAGAUUAACAAUAAUUAUUAGUAAUACAAUUUUUUGAAUAAAAAUAAUCACAAUAAUUAAAAUACAAAUUAAUAAUUAUGACAAUAAUUAAUUAAUGUCUUUUUAGUAAUUUGUAAUAAUCUAACUCAUUUUGGUUCUGAUUAUUACAGCUUAAGUAAACAAAUUAUUAUGAUUCCUAUUCUCCUUUCCCAUUUUAACUCACUUUGAUUCCAGUCUAUUCCGAUUUCUAUUUAAUAAAUGCACCAUUAGUGCUAAAGUAAUAUUUCAUACAUAGAAAAAUAAAAACUACGCCUAAGGUUAAGGGAAAAGACUUCAAAAUUCUCUUUUGAUCAUAAUACAUUUUGUCCUAAUUAACUUAAAGAUUUUGAAUCUAAUAUUUUAUAAUAAAUAAAAAUAUAUUCCUAAAAUAAAUAUAAUAUCAAUAUUUAAAAUAUGUUUUAAUAUUUUACAAUCUAUCAUACACAUUUUAUUAUAUUAAAGUAGAUUUAUAAUAAAUAUAUAAAAAUUUAGAAUAUUUAGAAUAUUAUAUAAAAUAAUUUUAAUAUAAUGCGUGAUAUAUAUUUUAUUAAUUUAAAAUGUCAUUUUACCUAAAAAAUAUGAUAAAUUAAUAAUUACAUAUUUGAAGUUAUUUCAAAUAUUAAAAAAAUUUAAUAUUAUUAAUCUUUUAGAUAGAUUAAAUUAUUUUUUAUAAGAGAGAUUAAAUUAUUUUAAAAUGCCUUAAUUGUUUUUACUUUUAACGUUACGGGCCUUUCUUUUAUUUUAUUGCAAAUUAAUGCUAACUAGAAAAACAAAAACAAAAGUGACAAACACAACCAGCUGGAAUCUUUUAUAAAACUACAAAUUAAAAUGGAUUUUUUUUUUUUGUUGAUAAAUUACACAUGAAAGUGGAUUCUUUUGAAUAUAAGUGGGGUAGGCUCUUUUAUUUUUUUUUUAAUACCGUAUAACAGGACUGUAGACUCUUUUAUUAAGCACAAAUAUAGAGUUGUCGAGACAAUUAGGGUCUUUUAUUAAACUACAAAUUGUAUAGUCUUUUUUAAAUUGUUCAGAUAUUUAUAAAUUGGUGGCCCCUACAAUCCUCAAUAAUUGUACCGAUAUUCACAAGCUGGUGGCCCCUACAAUCCUUAAUAAUUGUUUUUUUUUUUUUCUGCAUUCCCUUUCAUGCUCUUAAUAAUUAAAGAGCAUACUUUUCAAAUGUGGAGCCGCGGCUAAUGUCGCUAAUUUAAUUUGGGAUUAAAUUAGGGGACUAUUAUAUUGCAGUGUGCACUAAUUUUUAUGUUUAUCUAAACUCCUUAAAUUUAAGAUAUAUUAUGGCAUAAAUAAGAAUAUAACAAUAGCAAAAGAGUUAGAAAGUGUAGAGAAGAUCUUGCAGAAAUAUAAAUAAUAUUUAUUUUAAAAUAAUAUCAAUAUUUAAAAUAAUUUUUAUUAUUUUAUGAUCCAUUAGAUAUAUUUUAUUAUAUUAAAGUAAAUUUUAUAAUAAAUAAAAACAUACUAUUAAAAUGAAUAUAUAGAAAAUUUAGAGUAUUUUAAGUAUUAUAUAAAAUAAUUUUAAUAAAAUAUGUGAGAUAUUCAUAUUUUAUUAAUUUAAAAUACCAUUUAACCUAAAGAUUUAUUUAUGAUAAAUUAAUAAUUAUAUUUUUGAAAUUACUUCAAAUAUUAAAAAAAUUAAUAUUACUAAUCUAUUAGAUAGAUUAAAUUAUAUAUAUUAUUUUCUAUUUAUUAAAAAAUUUCAAAUUAUUUUUAAUUACUAUUCAAAAAAUAUGAUGAUAAAAAAAUCUUAACAUCUUUAUUAAAAAAUUAAAAACUUACAUGAUCAAUUCUCUAAAUAUUUAGGGUAUAUGUGAACCACGGUGGACAGAGGUCAUUACUAAAAUUUCUCUUCCACAGGCAAUUACAGCAGCUCCAGUUUAUCAAACUCAACCAAUUUUCUUUCUUAACAAAAUUCCAAAGAUGUGUAGCUUUUUUCAGAUCACAUGCGAUGGUGCUUUUUUCAAUCGUUGCUUGGAUUGCUUUCUUGGAAAAGCAGCAUACAUACGUAACCUCCAAGAUAAUCUUGAUGCCUUGGACACUGAACUGGGAAGACUAAUCGCAGCAAAGAACGAUGUGAUGAUUAGGGUUGUCAAUGCUGAACGGCAAUAAAUGAGAAGGCUGGACGGAGUGCAAGUGUGGGUUUCGAGUGUGGAUGCUGUUAAAACUGGAGCCGAUGAACUUAUCACAGACGGCUCUGAAGAAAUUGGCAAAUUAUGUGUUGGAGGCUACUGUUCCAAGAACUGCAGGUCAAGCUACAAAUUCGGAAAACAAGUGGCUAGAAAGCUACGAGAUGUGGAGACUUUAAUCGCCGAAGGAGUUUUUGAGGCGGUGGCUACUGAGGUGGUGCCUGAGAGAGCUCCAGAGCCUGUAGCAGAUGAAAGACCUACCGAGCGAAAAGUAGUAGGCUUGCAAUCACAACUUGAACAAGUCUGGACGUGUCUUGUGGAAGAAUCAGCGGGAAUCAUUGGCCUAUACGGUAUGGGCGGUGUUGGUAAAACCACACUAUUGACCCAUAUCAACAAUAAAUUUCUCGAGAGUCCAACCAACUUUGAUUGUGUGAUUUGGGUAGUAGUUUCAAAAGACCUGCGACUUGAAAAACUUCAAGAAGAUAUUGGGAAAAAGAUAGGUUUGGUUGGUGAUUCAUGGAAGAGUAGAAGUGCAGAGGAGAAAGCUCUCGACAUCUUCCGGAGUCUAAGAGGGAAGAGAAUUGUAUUGUUGUUAGAUGAUAUAUGGGAGCGGGUUGAUUUAACAAAAGUGGGCGUUCCACUUCCUGGACCACAAAAUACUACCUCAAAAGUCGUAUUCACAACNNNNNNNNNNNNNNNNNNNNNNNNNNNNNNNNNNNNNNNNNNNNNNNNNNNNNNNNNNNNNNNNNNNNNNNNNNNNNNNNNNNNNNNNNNNNNNNNNNNNNNNNNNNNNNNNNNNNNNNNNNNNNNNNNNNNNNNNNNNNNNNNNNNNNNNNNNNNNNNNNNNNNNNNNNNNNNNNNNNNNNNNNNNNNNNNNNNNNNNNNNNNNNNNNNNNNNNNNNNNNNNNNNNNNNNNNNNNNNNNNNNNNNNNNNNNNNNNNNNNNNNNNNNNNNNNNNNNNNNNNNNNNNNNNNNNNNNNNNNNNNNNNNNNNNNNNNNNNNNNNNNNNNNNNNNNNNNNNNNNNNNNNNNNNNNNNNNNNNNNNNNNNNNNNNNNNNNNNNNNNNNNNNNNNNNNNNNNNNNNNNNNNNNNNNNNNNNNNNNNNNNNNNNNNNNNNNNNNNNNNNNNNNNNNNNNNNNNNNNNNNNNCAGGAAGUCCUAGUGCGUGCUAUCAGAAAAGAUGCUGGGAACUGUUUCGCGAAAAUGUUGGGGAAGAAACUCUUGAGAGUGAUCAUGAGAUCGUUGAGCUAGCCCAAACUGUGGCCAAAGAGUGUGGUGGUUUGCCACUCGCACUUAUUACUAUUGGUCGAGCUAUGGCCUACAGAAAGAAAGCGGAGCAGUGGAGACGUGCAAUUGAAGAGUUAAGAAGAUCAGCUUCAGAGUUUGCAGGUUUGGGAAAAGAGGUGUAUCCUCUUUUAAAGUUUAGCUAUGAUAGUUUGCAGAAUGAUACAAUUAGAUCUUGUUUCUUGUAUUGUUGUUUAUAUUCUGAAGAUUAUGGCAUUCUUAAAUGGGACUUGAUUGAUUGUUGGAUUGGUGAGGGAUUUUUGGGGGAAUCUGACAGGUUUGGUGCAGAAAACCAAGGAUAUGACAUUUUGGACACUCUUGUUCGUGCAUGUUUAUUAGAAGAGGUGGAAGAAGAUGAAGUAAAAAUGCAUGACGUUAUUCGUGAUAUGGCUAUAUGGAUAACCAGUGAAAUUGAGAAGGAGAAGAGAAACUUUUUGGUUUGUGCAGGUGCUGGAUUAGAAGAGGCACCGGAUGUUAAAGAAUGGGAAAAUGUGAGAAGAUUGUCAUUGAUGCAAAACCAAAUUGAAACUCUGUUUGGGGUUCCCACAUGCCCUCAUCUCAUCACUUUAUUUAUUGACUUUAAUAGGGAGUUGAAGACUAUCGCGGAUGGCUUCUUCCGAUGUGUGCCUUCUCUCAAAGUUUUGAAGAUGUCAAACUGUGGAAAGCCUUAGAAAGGUUUGGAAUUACCUUUGGGGAUGUCAAAGUUGGGUUCACUACAACUUCUUGAUAUUUCACACACCUGCAUACAAGAAUUACCACAAGAAUUAAAGUUGUUGGUAAAUCUGAAAUGUUUGAAUUUGAGGCGGACAAUUUGGUUAAAUAAAAUUUCAUGGCAACUAAUAUCAAAAUUUUCAAGGUUACGUGUGUUGAGAAUGUUCGCUACUGGCUGGUUCAGUUUUCAUGAAGCACCAGAAGACAGCGUUUUAUUUGGUGGGGGUGAAGUUUUGAUACAGGAAUUGCUCGGUUUGAAAUAUUUAGAGGUAUUGGAGUUGACCUUGGGAAGUUAUCAUGCUCUCCAAAUUCUUUUGAGCUCAAAUAAGUUAAAAAGUUGUAUUCGAUCUCUUUUCCUACAGUUGUUCAGAGAUACAACGUCGAUUAUUGAUGCUACGGCUUUCGCAGAUCUAAACCACCUCAAUCAAUUAUGUAUUAGUAACGGUUCUGAGUUGGAAGAAUUGAAGAUUGAUUAUACGGAGAUAGUACGAAAAAGGCGGGAACCUUUUGUUUUCCGCAGCCUUCAACGUGUUACCAUAGAGGAGUGCCAUAAAUUGAAAGAUUUGACAUUCCUCGUUUUUGCUCCAAACCUCAAGUCUCUUUCGCUAUACGAUUGCGGUGCUAUGGAAGAAAUAAUCAGCGUCGGAAAAUUUGCUGAGACUCCUGAGAUGAUGGGACAUAUAAGCCCUUUUGAAAAUCUCCAAAUGCUUUAUUUAAUGGCAUUGCCGGAGUUGAAGAGCGUCUACUGGAAGCCAUUGCCUUUCACUCAUCUGAAAGAAAUGGAGGUACUUGGGUGUGAUCAGCUUAAAAAGCUUCCACUCGAUUCCAACAGUGCAAAAGAGCGUAAAUUUGUAAUUCUUGGAGACACACAGUGGUGGAACCGUCUUCAAUGGGAGGAUGAAGCCACUCAAAUUGCUUUUCGUUCCUAUUUCCAAACCUGAUUCCUGAGCGGUGGUCGCAAAAUUUGAUUUCUGGUGAGUGCGUUUGUCUUUUAAAAGAAGAAUUUAAAAGAAAUUUAUUCUUGUCGUUUUCUUCUCUGUUUUUAUUUCAGUUUGUUUCUCUCUCUCUCUUUUUGUCUUCUGCAAAUCACAAUUAAAUGUUGAAUUAAUGGAAUUAAUGCUUCAUAAAUUUGCCGGCACUGCCAGUACUUUUUUUUUUUUUUAAUACGAAUUGAUGCUUUAUUUAUUUCUUCUUAGCGAUUUAAUUUCCUGUCAAAAGACGAGCGAGAAGAACAUAUGACUUAAACCAAUUGAUACUUUAUUUAUGUGCAUUGUAUGUAAUAAAAUUUUCUCUGUUUUUUUCAAAUUGAGGCUUUAUUUAUAUUUUCUUCGUGAAGAGUGAUUUAAUUUCCUGCCAAAAGACAAACGAGAAGAACAUUAGAGUCAAACUAAUGCUCACAUAAAUUUCCCGUAAGAAUAUAUAUAUAAUUAGACUGGAAUGCACACCUCUAGAUUGAACAGAAUUAAAGCUGAGAAAAUAUUGAGUAUAGUAGCCCUCUUUACAGAAAAUGACGCGAAAGUUAAUUUAGAAAGAUAUAUUCUUGAUUAAUCCAUUUUCUGAAGUUUUUUAUUUUGUAUGGUCAAUUAUACCUUCAUACUAAAAAAAAAAAAAAAAAAGAGAAAAUAUGUAAUCCAUGAAUGGUUAAUUUUGUUUGUUUGUUUUUUUUUCUUAAAUAUCAUUCUUUUUCGGCCACCCAAGGACAUUUUCACAAAUACCUUUUGUGUGCAGAAGUCUUCCAAACCAUCAAUGGAAAAAUAAAAAAUAAAAAAAACACGGUCCAGUAUACCUCAAAAUAUCAUUGAUGACUUUUCUGGUCUAAUGCUAUGUAAAUAGUAUGUUAAGUAAAACAUAAUCAGUUCAGUACCUCACAAAUAAUUCGCAAUAUCUACAAAAUACUAUAAUGGCUACAAAACAAAUCCUGCUUGCAAAUUGUCAAGGAUACCUAUCCGUUCGCUUGACAAGUCAUUUGAAUAAAUAUUGUUCACAUUCCUUACUCUGUCAAUUAUCCAAAGCACCAUCAACUUUAGUUUGAAUAGUAUACAUGCCAUCACCGUUACCAAGAAUCAAGCAUGGAAGGGUCAUUCUAUAGAGUGCAGAACAUGACUCUAUGCGGUAGUCAAUUUGACACACGACGAACACCAUAUGCUGCAUAACAUACAAAUUAAUUUCCCAUAUGUGAUGCAAUUUUCUCCUCAACAUAUGCGCAAUUCUUUCCAUUCCGGCAUUUACACUCAAAUUUUCCUUCCUUUCUCUUUGUGGUUGAAUCUUACACCACAACUCAUGUGAUGCAAUCUCCUCUCGCUGCCUAAAUUGCACUCUCAGCAAAGCAGCAUAUGUAAGCAAGCUUGAAGAUAAUCUUGCUGCUCUGCAGAAGAACGGCAAAAGUUAAUCGAAGCAAGGAAUGAUGUAUCAGAAAAUAUUUGGUGGAGAAUUCAGCACAAACAUAUUUCGGAUGAUCAGAAUCAAUAAAACCUGGUGGUUGUGCCAUAUAAACAUCUUUGGAAAGCUGACCUUGAAGAAAGGCGUUAUUGAUAUCCAAUUGAUGAAGAGGCCAGCCAUGACUAACAUCAAUACUAAGAACAAGCCGUACUGUGGUGGACUUAACAACUGGACUGAAAGUGUCAUAAUAGUCCACACCAGGCCAUUGAUUGAACCCUUUGGCAACAAGAUGAGCUUUAAACCUGUCAACAGAACCGUUGGAAUGUCUUUUAAUACAAAAAUCCAUUUGCAGCCAACAAUAUUGGAAGGGAUGGGAGGUGGAACAAGCUUCCAUGUCCCGUUACGAACAAGAGCAUCAUACUCUUCUGACAUAGCUGGACGCCAGUGAAGAUUUUUGAUAGCUUGCGUCACAGUUGUAGGUUCACAAUCAGAAGAAGGGCUAAAAUGAGCACGGAGGUUAAGUUUUUGUAACGGCUUGUGAAUCUUAUUUUUAGCUCGGGUAGUCAUAUCAUGAUGACUUGUGGGGCAAUGAUCUAGUGGAGUUUAGGAAGAUGAUUGAACAGGAAGUGAAGAAGUGCUUUGUGUAGAGGUAGAAGUAGGUUGGGAGGAUUGCUGCGGAGAUGUUACCGGUAGAGAAGAAGGAGCAGUACACGGUGGCAACUCCAGAGGGCCCACAAUAGAUGGAGUAGGUGCCGACAAUGGAGUACUAGGAAAUGAAACAGGAAGAAUUGGUGGAACACUUGCAUAAUUAGGAGUGGUAGAUGAGCUUGUAAUGAUUUGCAUGGAAAAACAAACUCUACAAAUUUAACGUGACGUGAAAUAAAAAUUUGAAAGGUGGAUGGGUCAAAACAUAAAUAAGCACUUUGAGAUAAAGGAAUAUCCUAGAAAAACACAAGGCUUAGAGGGUGGUUCGAGUUUAUGUGAUGAAACACAAACAUUCAAAAAAUUUUAAGUUUAUAUUAAUUAGGAGUGGUACCAAAAAUUAAUUAGCUAUGGGGUUGUUGGAUGUGUUUUGGAUAUUUACAGUUAAGUUUGAGUAUCUCAACUUAAAAUUUGUAGUUUUCACUUGAAAAAAUUCAGUUAAAUUUUGCAAUGCAGACUGAUUGAUUUAUCAGUUUAACGUGUGCCAGGAAUGAAGAACUGGAAUAUCACCGUCAAGCAAGCACCCUGUGGAGCAAUACCAAAGAAUGCACAAUCUGGCUUUGCUAGGUAACACUGGAGGCUUUUUGAAAAGUGCUUCACGCUCACUUGCACAGAUUGAGCAUCCCCUCUGGAUAUUGCCCUCUCUGAUCGAGUCUGAGCACUCAAAUUUUGGUCCUCAGAGGGAGCUACAGUUUUCUCUCCACUAACCAACAAUAUUCUAAACUCAGCACCUAGUGUGAUCAGAGUUGUUGAUAUUUGCAAAUGGAGAUCCCCAUAUUUGCAAAUGGAGACAUUUAACAAAUCACCAACAUGCUUCAUCCGGUCCACGAAAUUCUGCAACUGAUGCAAAUCUGGAACCUGAACCAGAGUCGGAGGUAUAUCUUGAGCCAUAUCUAAAGCAGUUUGAAGUUCAAGACCUUGAGCCCUUGACAAUGGUUUUGAAAUUGGAACAUCUUGGAUUACUGCAGACUUGUACCCCUUGGUUUCAAAGGUAAGGAAAGGCAUUGCUUGAGUACAAUUUGGAGGCAGCUUCUUCACCAAUUUUAUUUGGAGGCGAUUGGCAGCGGAUCCAGCUGCACCAAUUUCAGAGCAACUACUGACACUACUUCGAACAGCACACUGAAGAAGUGAUAUGUCUACGGCGAAGGCAAUGCAGUCCUCAUUUUGGCUUGAGACACAGUAAUCAUCGAAGAGAGUUUCCUUGUGAAACUGGGCAACACAUUGAAUCCCUUCGGCACUGAGAAGGUUGUGGAGGAAGUAAGCUUUCUCUCUAGUAAGGAAGAGGUGGCAUACAUUCCCCAUUUUGUCUAGGGCAGGUAGGAAUCUUUUUUCUAAGAGAUUUACUUCAUUCUCUGUGAGAAAUGCUUUGAACUUCAUCCCUCUGUCUCUAUCCUCACUUAUCAGUAAAAUAGUUGAAAGCGCUACAAGGAGAGAAAAGAAGAGUAUUAAGAUAUAUAUAUUAUAUAGACAAGAAAAACAUUAGAUGUCGAUCUUACAAGCUAAUACUUCAAACAAUAUCCUAGAAAGCUAAAAACUGCAAGAUGGCUUGAAAUUUGAAAAGAGCACGUGCUUUUCCUCCUUAACUUGAGAAAAUGUUUAAUAUAGUGCACCUUACAGAAGCAUUUAAGCAAUUAGAACUUUGCACAAAAACAUCAAGAAGACUAAACAAGUCAGAUGCAGUGUAUUUGUCCAAGCACAAAUUGCAUUUUGUCCUCAACUUUAAUAUUUAUUGAUGAGAAUCAAUACAGGUCCCUCAUUUGUUAUAGAAAGCUUUCUUGUAGUCUCACCAGUUAAUAUGGAUAUUAGAUAAGGAAACUUUAUUAGGUUGCGAGGGUAAAAAAGGAAAGAGAUAUCAUUAUUUUAUUAUCGAUAAUUAUUAAAUUUUUUUCCAAAAAAAAGAACAAGCAAGGAUAUUUUAUUGUCAAUUGCAACCUUUAAUUUUUUUAAAUGCUAUUAGAAACACAAGAUAACAAAAAUGUAGUGAGAUGGGAUCUCCUGCAUGCCACUCUGGUUUAGAACACAAAGAAUGUGUCUGCAUAAAUAUCCUCUGAAAUUGAACAACCCACAAACACAAAGCACCUCCAAGUCGGAGGCAUUGUACAAAACAUCAAAAGCCCUUGAAUCCUUCUCGUUGCCACCAACCUCGAAUUCUUCCUUCACUAUGUAUGUUAUAGGUCCAUCAGAACUAAUAUGUUUUGUGCUAUAGUAAGAGUACAUAGCCUCCACCUCCAUCUGAAACUUCCUUAACAUUUCAUUUGUGUACAGUUUUGAGAGUUGAAAUUCAUAGUAACAUCUUGGUUUCCGGAUACAACUUGAAUUUCUUGAAUCCAUAUCUGCCAAGGCUACCAGUUGAUAAUUCGCCUGCAGUGCUUGAUCAUACUUGUCUAAGAAUUCUUUCAAAGGAGUAUUCUUAUCAAGAUAUCCUUCAAAGUAUGAAGUAGAAACCUCAUUCUGCAGGAACGAAAACACUCCUGAUAAAAAAGCUUCCUUCAAAUAAAUAGGAGCCCACCUUUUAUGAUCUUCAUAUAAAGUUUGAAUCCAUCCGUGAUCCUUUAUUCCAUGACAUUGAAUCAUGUCUUCCCAAGCUGCUUCAAAUUUCUCAGGCCUGAGAGAGUGAUAAAUUGCUCUAUGUAAUGCAGCUUUAAUAGCUUCAUAUUCAAACAAUCCUUGGAGUUUCUCUGGAAUUUUUUUGCAUGAUGCAUGACAAUGAAAAGAAAUGAUAAGCUCUUGGGAAAACAUCACCAACAGCAAUUUGCAAGAUUCUACAUUGGUCAGUGAUGAUUGUUUGUGGAGAGCGCCCUAACAUACAUGUAAGCCACGCCGUAAACAACCAUGUAUAUGAUUCUAUGGUCUCACUGGCAAGUAAACCACAACCCAACAACACUGAUUGUCCAUGAUGAUUCACCCCAAUGAAUGAAACCAGUGGUACAUCAUAUCUUUCAGUCAGGCACGUAGUAUCAAUUAAGACCACAUCACCAAAGUACCUAUAUGCAACUCUUGACCUGGUAUCAGUCCAGAAUAGGUUUUUCAAGCAUCCCUUUUCAUUUAGAUCCACUACAUUAAAAAAGUUUGGAUCUGUCAACUGCAAAUGACAAAAGAAACUCUGGACAGCUUGUGCAUCUCCUGGUUUAAGCUUCAAUUGAUUUGAGCUAUUAACAUUAUUUCCAAAUACUCCAUUAACAUCUACCAUUUCCCUUGGUAUCAAUGAUAAGAGUUCGAAACAGUUUAAUUUUUUGAACUUCUUCAGCACUAUCUAAAUGCAAUGUUCUUUUGGUUCCAAUACCUAUGUGCUUAUGUGACUUGUAAAACUUUCCGCUUCUUGGGCUUAACAAGUGGUUAUGCUCAAGCUCGACUUCAAUGAUUCUCCACCUUUUGGUUUCCAUCAACCUAAACUUUAUCAUUGCUGGACAGCCAGUUCUUGUUUCUGGUCUUGGGCGGUUUGCCUCGCUUUUCUUCUUGAAGCCUGCACUACUACAGCUCAGCUUUCCUCUAUACUUUUCUCUACUCUUUCGGUACCAUGGAUUGCUAACUCUAACACCAAAACCCUGUUCCUUGGCAUAGCAAUUGUAAAAGUAAUAUACAUCAUCAUACAUCUCAAACUCCAUUCCAACAGUAGGAGGCAAGGGAUUUUGGAUUAUCCCAGUUUGUCCAACAUAUUCAGUCAUCGCACAAUCUCCUACAACCUCAAAAUCAUCAGUGUCAUCAUCACCUACUGGUUCGGUGUUGAGAGAAACUUCAUCCAUCUACAAUGGAUGUUCAAUGAAGUGAGCUUUAAGGAGAAAAAGCAAAAUCUGUUCAAGGAAUGAUAAUAUAAUCAUACAGUUACUUUCACAAAGCUUCAUAUUUCAUCACUGCUUUACCAACAUGCAACUGCCAGAGAACAAACAGACAUGUCAUAGACGCUUGAAUUAAGUAUUGGUACAAAUGAGCACACAUCAUGUGGGACAAAAUUUCAGUCACUAAACCCAAUACCACUUUUUACAUCAUACCAAGGAACAGAUUAAACCCGACACCUUCUUUUAAACCAUACCAAGGAACAGAUUAAAUCAUCAAUGAAAAAUUAAUCACAUAAUAACUUAACCAGACAAAUGAAGAGCCUGAAACAGCACAAAACUUGAAUCUGAUUAUGAUAAUUGUUGAGUCCUUGUAUCUACAGCUUUCCUUCAAUGAUAAGACAAUGAACAUAAACGAGACACAAAAAAAUUAUUUUAAACUGACAGCCCAUGAUAUAAAUCAAACAAAAUCAACUCCUUUUUUUACACAUUACAUCUCAUAUUCAUUUACAUUGAAACACAAAAAGGAAGCAGGAGUGGGAAAAAAACAACAGCAGAGGAACUUAUUUCCAUAAGGUUUACGAAAUAAGGAAUCUAUUAAAACCCAAAACUUGAGGUCACCACUAAGAAUUUGGUUCUCAUUAUUUUUUUCUUCAUUUUUCACCAAUUGAUGAACUUAAAAUACAAUCAUAAAUGAUAAAACCCCAUCUCCAUCUUUUUGAACUAGAGCUAAAGCAAAGCAUUUUAAGAUGUUUCAUCAUUUUUUUUUUUAAAAAAAACUCAAUAGUACAAUGUUUUUCAAUGCUAAAUGCACAAUUCAAUCUUCUCCUAAUUUACUCUAAUAAUCUCUUAAUUAAGGAAGAUUAAGCUUCAGUUGUAAGCUAAAACAAAUUUCUUAAAUCAAGCCCCAAUGCUUUAUGCUAUUCAACAAGGGCUCAUAAAUGAUAAAACUACUUCUAUAAAGAUACCCAUUUUCUAAAUUAAUUUCACAAACUGAAAUCAAACUCCUGAAACGUAACGAGCAUUAAUAUAAUCAAGCCCGAACAAGAAUUGAAAAAUGAUACAUAAACUCGUUUACACAUUUCGACAGACACUUUGCAAUCAAUGAGCAAAAAAUUAAUGGAGAAGAUAAAAUUCAAACGAAACAUGCCUUACAUUGAUAAAUUAGAAGGGCAAAAGAAAUUUUAGUACGAUAUGCGAUCAGGGUCUUGCCACGGUGAUGUUAUUUGUGAAGUUCGAGCGACUCAGCAGCCUUCGAGGUUGAAAAUUUGAUUGACCAAAAGCUUCCCGUUCGUUGAUUCUCUAAUAGUAGAAACGAGACUGGCAGUAUACACAAGAAGUUCGCCGAUUUUAAAUUCCGUUGUUUGAGAUGGAAAAUUUUUUGAAAAAAUUAAUGUGUUCGAUGAAAAUCAAAAUCUCAAAAACCUCUUGUUUUUCAUUUUUUUGGAAAAAACCAUUGAGAUCCUUACUAUUUUUUCUUAUAUCAUCUUCCUUAAUAAUUUGCAAAGUCUAUCGCAUAGCACCCAUGUAUGAUGUAUGCUGCGUUGUAAUUUACAAAAUUGCACAUGAAUAAAUCCAGCUAAAAUUUGUUAAAAGAAAAUAAUAAUAACAUGUUAAAACUUUAAAAUUUGAUUAUUCGAAGAAAUUUUAAUUUAGUUAAGUAGGUGACAUGAUAAUAAAUAGAUACGUAUAAUGUCCGAGAUUUUUUAUAAGAUUAAUAAAUAUGAUAAAUUUGGAUUAGUUCAAUUUUGACAUAAUUCAUAAUAAACACAGCUUGCUAAUCUAAAUUGCCACCGUUACUCAUCAUCAGGUACCUGUUUGAAAAAUAAUUACAAACAAUUUUAUUUGUGUUGUUUCUCUAAAAGUUUGAGACACAAAUGUUAUUUCAAAUUGAUAAAAGUACGAAAAUUCCCCCUUGCUCUUCAACUAAAAAUGAAACAUGCAAAUAUACACACUAAUUUAGAUGUGUGAAUAACAAAUAUGGAACGACACAUGCAAAGUCAUCUGUAUAAUUGAAACGCCAUGCACUAGUAGUAGGUAAGAGAAACCAAGGUUGAAGUUGCUCCAAUGGUUACUGUUAAUUUAUUUUUAUUUAUGAUUUUUUUUGUAAAAUGUAAGAAAUAUGUAGAAAUGUUGCCAGCAAUGAUUUUGGAACUUUGCAUAAAAUUUUUAUCAUUAUUGUUUUUGGUAUUAAGAAAUCCGAGGCGGUGAUUAGACGUAUGUUGCAACAAUUAAGAAAUUUCUUAUUGGAGAUAAUUUGGUAGGUUUGCAGCAAUUAGAGAAUAAUUUUCCUGCCAGUUAAUCAAUCAAUAAUAAAUUUCAAAUUGCAGAAAAUAAAAUAAUACAGCCUCACUUAGAAUCAUCUUUUCUAUCUCUUUCAAUUGUGGCAAUCAUUUGCAACAAAUAAAUCAAUUUGAUGCACAUCAUUUCCCCAAUUCAAAGUUCAAGUCACUGCUCAAUUACAGAGUAGUUAGUGGACAUGCAUGCAUGUUUAAUUAAGUACUGCAUUGUAGUAUCGAAAAUCAUAACAUCUCACCAAUAUCAGAUUAUUAACCAUGGAAAUCAUAUCACAAUAUCAUAUAGAAUUCACAAAUCUGAAAAUCAUCACCAAACAAGUACCCAGAGAAAUAAUCUCGUCAUAUCCAGACCUCAACGGACGGGCAAUGACGUACUAUUUGGGUAACGUCACACCCUGGAGCUACACGGAUAAAUAGGAAAAUACCAUCUCAUAUCUCAUCAUAUUUGUGCAUGCAUAAUCUAGUCCCCAAGGGACAAAAGCGCCCAAGCACACGGCCCAAAGCCUCUAUGUGUACUCAGACGGGCCCCAAAGGCCUGUAUCUCAUAUGUAUCAUAUGUAUCAUUUGUAUCUCAAUAUCUGUUUGUAUCUCAUUUCCGUAUAUCUAUAAUCAUCAUACCGCAUGCAUAUGCCCCCAAAAGACAAAAGCGCCCAAACACAUGGCCCAAAGCCUUUAUAUGUGUUUAGACGGGUCCCAAAAGCCUCUUAUCUCAUCUUAUCUGUAUCACUGUAUCUGGAGAGAAGGGUACUGUCUAAUGAUUUAAAAAACAAUCAUUAUACUCAUAUUUACAUACCUCUUAAUCAUAUUUGAAAUCAUAUCACAUUUGAAUCCACUUUUCUAAUCUUUAAAAUAUUAUCAUGCUUUAUUCAAAGUCGAUACGCAAAAUCAAUAACCAAACAUUUUAAAUCAAAUUAUUAACCAUGGAAAUCAUAUCACAAUAUCAUAUAGAAUUCACAAAUCUGAAAAUCAUCACCAAAUAAGUACCCAAAGAAAUAAUCUCGUCAUAUCCGGACCUCAACGGACGGGCAAUGACGUACUAUCUGGGUAACGUCACACCUUGGAGCUACACGGAUAAAUAGAGAAAUACCAUCUCAUAUCUCAUCAUAUCUGUGCAUGCAUAAUCUAGUCCCCAAGGGACAAAAGCGCCCAAGCACACAGCCCAAAGCCUCUAUGUGUACUCAGACGGGCUCCAAAGGCCUGUAUCUCAUAUGUAUCAUAUGUAUCAUUUGUAUCUCAAUAUCUGUCUGUAUCUCAUAUCCGUAUAUCUAUAAUCAUCAUACCGCAUGCAUAUGCCCCCAAAAGACAAAAGCGCCCAAACACAUGGCCCAAAGCCUUUAUAUGUGUUCAGACGGACCCCAAAAGCCUCUCAUCUCAUCUUAUCUGUAUCACUGUAUCUGGAGGGAAGGGUACUGUCUAAUGAUUUAAAAAAUAAUCAUUAUACUCAUAUUUACAUACCUCUUAUCAUAUUUGAAAUCAUAUCACAUUUGAAUCCACUUUUCUAAUCUUUAAAAUAUUAUCAUGCUUUAUUCAAAGUCGAUACGCAAAAUCAAUAACCAAACAUUUUAAUAAAAUACCAAUGCAUAAAUAAAAUUCAUUUCGAGAAAUCAUUAAAUCAGAACAUUUAAAAUACUUAUUUCGCAAACAUGCUUUACUAUCAUCGCUAACUAUGAAAAUAAGUUUUGUAUAUUCCACUUUCAGUGAUGGUGUUCACGGUCGGUUAUCGUCCAUAUCUGCAGACCGAUUCUCGCUCGCGAAUCCUCCUAAAUCAAGGAAACGACAUAAUUAUUUUUUGUAAAUCGGAAUUAUGACUAAAUUUUAUGCAAUAAACUCAAAACGAACAUCUAUUCAUAAUUGACAACUCCUAUAUCCAUAAAAUUACUAAAAUAUCCUUGAGUCCGUAGAUCAUUAACAUGCUCCGAAAUCGUAAAUCACUGAAUUACCCUCGGAAUCGUAAUUACACCCGAUCCUCAAUUAUAGGAAUUACUAACAGAUCCACAGGCUUAGAAAUUACAAAAUUGCCCUCGUAGUGUGAAAUUACCAAAAGCCGGAAGUUGGUCAACAAUGGCUAGGAAGCUCAAAUCGUAAAGUUCCAAUCACGCUGAGUUCAAUGGUACCGGCGGUGAGCUCCAACGCGCGACAACGAUGCCAGAAUCUAGCUCGGCAGCCGUGAAUUCCACCAAUCGACCGGCGGCACAACAGUGACUCUCGGUGCCUAUGGAUGGUCGAAAAUGGAAGAGGGAGCCGUGGGGAACAAAAUCCAACCGGUGGUGUCACCAAAACCGGUGAAAAUCCCGGCGGAGCAAAGUGAAACAGUCGCGGGUUUCAUGCUUCGAUCGCCGGUGUUCCGAUUGGUUUUUGGCGAGGAGGAUGGCAAGGGAACGACAGCCGGCUUCUAAGCUUCAGAUUGGUACCAAGCUCGGCCGAAACGAUGGCCGGAAAUGGGAGAUAUGACCGGGUCAAGGUCGCGGGUUCCGGGUCGGGUUUUUUGGUCUGUAGUUGGGUCGGUUUGGUAGCUUCUCUCUCACUCUCUGUUACACGUGCAUAUGUUUCCUCUGUUUCCAGCUUAUUCUUUUGCUUUUACUAACUUCUUAACCGCCUCAUACUUAUUCAUUUUUAAUUCACAUAUGUUACAAUAAUUCCCGAGUAUUAAAUAACCAGUGGUCAUAAUUUUUGUACAAGAUUCUUUUUUUUUUUUGGAGAUCGUUAAAAGUGGUUGACGAUCCAUUUCGUAAUAUCAUAGAGGGAUCAUCAAUUCCUUUUCUUUUCUGUGGCUAGGCAACACUUUUUGGCCAAAGUAAGGAAAUCUAUUUUAGGUAAUGUAAAAACCAGUUGUAGGAUGUAAUAGUUUAUUAUGCACUGACAAUAACUUUUUGUAUAAUUGUCAGUUUAAUGAAUGCAAGAGGAACUCUGUUGGCAAAUUCAUCCAAGAUAGAUGCUAAAAUUAUUUAUGCAUGCCAGUUGCCUUAACUAAGUUUUCUCAGCACUGGUUUUGAACAGGAAAAUGAAUAUGCAAUUUGUAUAUUGUGCCAUAGUGGAGAAUUUGGAUAUUCUUAUUUAAGUAACAAGGAGAUUAUUUGCCUCAUCUUUAAACAAUGAAUCUUUGAGAGAUGAGGAGUGGGUGAUUGGAUGUGUCUUCAUGUAAUUGUUCAUUUAUUUGUAUUUUGAACUGUUAUGAAAAUCUUUAUAUGCCAAAUUAGUAAUACAAGUAUUCAGAUGAUUUUUCCUAUUGAUCAUGCAUUUGUAUCUGCCCACAACCAUUGUAUAUCACUUUAUUCUGAUGCGCAAGCAUCUGUAAUUUAGAAGAAAAGAAAUAAUAAUCAUAUUUUAUUGCUUGGUUCAUGAUUAUUAACGAUUAUGGCUUUAAAAAUCUACAAAUUUCUUGUGUUCAUGUAUGAAUGUGCCAAGUUUGCUGUAUCUUAGAUUACCUUCUUCCAAGGUAACAAGUUCAUAUAUAUAUAUUUUUUAAAUCAUUUUCCAUUACAGUUGAAUUUCAAGUGUUAGUUUUGUUAUUAGUACCUGGUUUCCUGUUAUAAGGAUCUAAUAAACAGUGUACGGAUAUGUGCUCUACUUUUGGAGGGCUUCCACGUGAAAGAAAAUUACAACAAUUGAAUUCUUCCGGAGGAUAUGGUAAUUAAUUUAUUUUCUCAACUUCUUGUAAGACUAAUAUAUUUCCUUCAGUAGGCACAGCAUGGUGGGAAGGGUUUUUAUUGAAAGAAUUCUGAUAUUUCUUAGACUUUGUUUUGGAAGGGGGUGGAGGAAUUUCUCAUCCAUAUAUGGUUACUUGAUUAGCUUUUGACUGUAUUGUCUCUGUCGUGCAAAGGAAAAUCUAAAUACUAACGAUGGGGAAUUGCUUAGGCACCCAAAAGGCAGAAAUGAAUUACAGAAGGAAGUUUUUGCUGCUUUAUUUAGUGCUGCUGAGAAAUCUGAUGAAUUUCCUGAAAUUACGGUGAAGACCGAGUGGAGGUCCAAAGCAUUAGGAAAGGUGGUGAGUGAACUGCCGGAGGAAUUUGUACCAAAAUACAAGGCUAAUGUGGUGCACUUGCAGCAAGAUAACCAGACCGGUAUGUGCUCUUAUAUUAACUAUAUUGACUGGAUUUGUGAGUGUGUGCAUUUUUUUGUGUAUACUCACUUUUGUAUUUAUGCAUAUUAACAUGUGUAGGAUUCUUGAUUUCUGCCACUUACUGGAGAACUAGUGGAAAGCUUUAUAUUGAUAUAUCUGCAAUAACUAAUGGAAACUAUGAUAUGAAUAUUUUCUCUCACCUGGGGAGCUGUGUAACAGAUAUACUUUGUGGCUCUGGAAUGCUGAAGAUUCUGCAAUAACUAAUGGAAAAUAUGAUAUGAAUAUUUUGUCUCACCUGGAGAACUUUGUUACAGAUACCCUUUGUGGCUCUGGAAUGUCUAAAGAAUGCUUUAGUUAGAUCAAAUAUCUUUUAGUUAGAAAAGAUAAAAUUCUCUGAGUCUGAAAGACUGAAACAUUUUGCAUAUUUUGUGAAAGGGAAAUAUCUGUUGAUACUAGCUCAUGCAUUGAGGUAAUAUCGAUGUUAAAGAAAAACAGCAAUGAUUUAUGAUAUAGAAUUGGGUUCACUUGCUUCAAAUGCUGGUCUGAUCAACCAUAUCAACCUGUAAUGAUUCUGCAGAAAUAUAUAUACAUGGAGAAAGUAGCUAAAUUUUUCUUUCAUUUAUGGGUUCGGUCUUUUUUCCCCUUAUUUUUCAGCUUUCCUUCUCCUGAAGUAUGUUAACAAUUGCAGAUAAUGAUGAAGACGACAGCUUCCGGGCUCUCCUUAGAGCCGUGAUGGAAUAUAGGGGCACAAUGAAGGAAUAUUGUAAAGCUGUAGGUACUUUUUCUCCUUUCAUUUAUGUUUUCUCACACAUUUUGUAUAUGCCCUGAACAUGCACCUUUGUAUGUAUCAAUUGACUUUUAAAUUUUAAAAGCCAUAAAGUAAGAAUACGGUUCCUUGUCAGGCUACUGAUGACAUUCGCUCAGGGGGAUCAUGUUCGAGCAGGAAAAUUUCUAGAACAGGUAAGGUUUCCAUCUACAGCCAUCCAUUGACAGCAGAUACAUUUUCAUUCAGCAGACUCUGUUAGCAUUCAAGAUGCUGGCAGAUUCACUUGAUUCUUAUUAGCUUGUUUAGUGGCAAAGCCUAUAACCUGUAUUUCAAAGCCAAGUUGUGCUAUUGAUUAUGUUAACUUUUUUGUUAACAUAAAAUGAUAUGGAGGAAAUAAUCAGUGUUGGAAAAUUAGGUGAAAAGAUGAUGUCAAAUCUUGAACCUCUUACGAAACUCUAAGUUCUUUACUUGAAGAGGCUACGAAAUUUGAACAGCGUCUACUCGAAGGCCUUGCCAUUCCCUGAUGCAUGCAGAAUUUUUGUAUUUAAAUGCCCAGAGCUUAAGAAGCUGCCACUGGAUCUUGAAGGGGCAGACCAAGGUAAAAAUCUUAUCAAGGGAAAGGAAGAUUGGUGGAAACAACUUAAUGGGAGGAUCAAGUAACUCAGAAUGCAUUGCUUCCAUUUUUUAAAUUGACUGACAAGUGAUUGAACGGGGCAUCAUCAACAUCAUCAACAGGGAUGGAGAGAUACCGGAGCAGAUCAGCAGGGUUUGAAUAUGACCUUUGGCGGUUGCUUUUUUUUUGUGAUUUUUUUUUCAUUUUUUCCUUCCUGUCAUUUUAUCAUUUCUUUCUCUGUUUCUAUUGCGGGUGUUACUGCAUGCUUACUGUUGCUUGACAAAGUUUGCUAGCUUUUUGUUUGCAGUGUUGCUAUACACUCCGAGUCAAGCCUCGAAAAUUUAUUAAACGAAGCCGUUUCGACAGUAACAAUUCUUUUCUUUUCCCUUUGCAUGUCUCUUUCAUCUGCUGUUUCUCUAUCACUUUUCAUUUUUGAUUUCCUUGCUUCUCAGCUGCCCCUAAAUUGUUAUUCUAGCAAUAUACUUUCUCAUCUUUGAAUUUUCAUCCUUGAGUACUCCCACAGCCGUAAUUUCAUCAUCAUAGACUUCACUUGGAAUGCUGUAUUUUUUCGAUUCUUGAGCUACUUCAAUUACAUCUUAGUAUAGGAUCCUCAUCUUCCUUUAUUUCUUCAUCUUAUGAGGUAAUAAAUGGAUUUCACAACUCAUCUACUUUUAAGCAAUUACAUAUUAUACCUUGAAUGAUUCAACUGUUCUGACAGUUAAAGAUUUUAUGCUCAACCUGCAGUGCUACGAACAUUGUCCAUGAAAGAUGAGUUUCAGCAUAUAAAAUGAAAUAUAGAUGUUUAAUCUAAAAUAACCCUUCACUGCCAGAAACCUAGGUCACAAAAUUCACAGAUAAUGAUAAAGAGCUAAAAAAUUUGAAAAACUCUACAGAUCACACAUCAAGCAAGAUAUCAUGUUUUUUUCCCUCAUUCAGUGGUGAUUGAUUCGCUUUUUGAUGAUGGAUAUGGUAUAAAAGUGUUGACCCAAUUUCAAGCAAACACAAAUAGAAACACAAACACAAUCGGGACUAGAGUUGUGGGCGAUUAUCUUAGGUGUACAAGUGAAACGGUGGUGGCUGUCGAUGGUGGUAGUGGGGUGGUUGGGUAUGCGUGAUGGCUAGAUUUUAGGACAAUAAUGAUUGGAGUUGACCUCAAUCAACGAAGGAAAGUGACAACAAUUUUGACAUCAAACGGUGCAUUUUUUAGCUUAGUAAAAUGGAGCCGUUUCGAUUUUGGGGUUUAAUCCGGGGUUUGACUCGGUGCAAGUAUCAUUUUCCUUUUGUUUAUUAAAUUUUUUUAUGGUCACAAAGUAUCACUCGUUCUAUUUGAGAGUCAUGUGAAUCAAUUUUUCAAAUUUUCAAUUUUAAAUUUUGUGGUCAAUGUGAAUUCAAUUUCAUUUGUCUCCUGCAAUUAUGAAAAAAUUAAAUAGUCAUAAUAUGGAAAAAUACACCGGUAAAAACUUUGUAAAAGCUUCGGAGUGAUACGGGGAAUUCACUUACUACUAAGGACAAUUGGUGGCAAGCUAUUCCAUUCAUUUUAUGUCCAUCCAUCUAUUUAGUUAUUGAAGAUAAGUGGUCCAUUUGUAAAUUUCAGAUUGUCUCUCUCUCCCUCUUGAAAUAACAAUAUUUAAUAUAUCUCAUAAAUUAUUAUAAAUUUUAAUUUACUCUCGAUUUAAAAUGGAGCAUGUCGAUAAAUUUUUUUUCUUCUUAAUAAAAUUGACGUAAGUUGUGUUUACAGUAGUUUGAAGUUUGAAAUAUUUUAAAGAUUAUUAUUCUAUAAGGGAGUAAUAUGAAAUGAUAUUUACUUUUCAUGUGUGAAAUGAAAAAGGACGAAGCAAGUGUCCCUGCUUUUAUUUUAUUUCAAGGAGGAGUCAUCUCACAUACUUUAGCUCUUAACAUUACAUUUUUUCUGGUUACAUUUUUUAUUUAUUUAUUUUUUUUUUUUUACACAUGCGUGUGGGUUGCUUUUCUGUAAGCUCCUUAAUAUAUAUUUAAGACAAAUCAUGGAAGAGAUGGGAUUAUAUCAAGAUGAUCAAAGAAUGUUAAAAAAGAAAAAAGAAAAAAAAAAGAAGUAAGACACUGAAAAUGGAGAAGAGAUGGAAGCAAAAGAUAUUCCAAAACAAAGCAAUCUAUCCCCUUUCGAGGGCAGACUUAUCAGGUUUAAAAAAGUACACGCUUUGGAUUGGUAGUUGCAAUCAAGGGAAAAUAAAUAGGAUCCAAUGAAAUUUAAAUCUCGGAGAAAAUAAAUAAUCAUGCAGAUUUUCAAGAUUUUAAUAAGGGAUACUAAUAUCUUAUUUUGAUUAAUAAUAUCCUUUCAUUGUGUUAACUCAAAAAAUAUAUAUUUUAAUGUUUUGCAAUAAACAGAAACGUACUAUUAAAAUGAAUAUAUAAAGAAUUUAGAAAAUUUUGAAUGUUAUAUAAAAUAAUUUUAAGAUAAUGCGUGAGAUAUAUUUUAUUAAUUUAAAAUGUUAUUUUACCUAAAAAAUAUGAUAAAUUAAUAAUUACAUAUUUGAAGUUAUUUUAAAUAUUAAAAAAAUUUAAUAUUAUUAAUCUUUUAGAUAGAUUAAAUUAUUUUUUAUAAGAGAUAGAUUAAAUUAUUUUAAAAUACGUUAAUUGUUUUUACUUUUAACGUUACCGGCCUUUCUUUUAUUUUAUUGCAAAUUAAUGCUAACAAGAAAAAGCUAGAUCAUAUUCCACAAAAGCAAAAGUGACAAACACAACCAGCUGGAAUCUUUUAAUUACUAUUCAAUAAUUCGAGACGAUUAGGGUCUUUUAUUAAACUACAAAUUGUAUAGUCUUUUUAAAAUUGUUAUAAAUUGGUGGCACCUACAAUCCUCAAUAAUUGUACCGAUAUUCACAAGUUGGUGGCCCCUACAAUUCUGUUCGGAUAAUUUAACUGUGCAAGUGCUCAUUCACAAUAAUUGUUUUGUUUUUUUUUUCUGCAUUCCCUUUCAUGCUCUUAAUAAUUGAAGAGCAUACUUUUCAUUUUCAAAUGUGGAGCCGCAGCUAAUGUCGCUAAUUUAAUUUGGGAUUAAAUUAGGGGACCAUUAUAUUGCAGUGUGCACUAAUUUUUGUGUUUAUCUAAACUCCUUAAAUUUAAGACAUAUUAUGGCAUAAAUAAGAAUAUAACAAUAGCAAAAGAGUUAAAAAGUGUAGAGAAGAUCUUGCAGAAAUAUAAAUAAUAUCUAUUUUAAAAUAAUAUCAAUAUUUAAAAUAAUUUUUAAUAUUUUAUGAUUCAUUAGAUAUAUUUUAUUAUAUUAAAGUAAAUUUUAUAAUAAAUAAAAACAUACUAUUAAAAUGAAUAUAUAGAAAAUUUAGAGUAUUUUAAGUAUUAUAUAAAAUAAUUUUAAUAAAAUAUGUGAGAUAUUCAUAUUUUAUUAAUUUAAAAUACCAUUUAACCUAAAGAUUUAUUUAUGAUAAAUUAAUAAUUAUAUUUUUGAAGUUACUUCAAAUAUUAAAAAUAUUAAUAUUACUAAUCUAUUAGAUAGAUUAAAUUAUAUAUAUUAUUUUCUAUUUAUUAAAAAAUUUAAAAUUAUUUUUAAUUACUAUUCAAAAAAUAUAAUGAUAAAAAAGAAUCUUAACAUCUUUAUUAAAAAUUUAAAAAUUUACAUGAUCAAUUCUCUAAAUAUUUAGGGUUAUAUGUGAACAACGGUGGAGAAGCUUUAUUUAAUAUUAUUGAUUUAAAUAAUAUGUCAAUUAAAAAUGUACAGAGAAGGAAAUUUCGGUGGGUAUUUUAGUCUUUUCAGCAAUUAUCAUGAUCAGAUCAGCCUUUAGCCUUGAAUCGUCGGUCAGAAAAGUUUUAAAAUUAACGCUAACAAGAAAAAGCUAGGUCAUAUUCCACAAAAGCAAAACUGACAAAACAACCAGCUGGUUUCUUUUACUAAACUACAAAUUAAAAGUGGAUUCUUUUGAAUGCAAGUGGGACAGACGAUUAGGCUCUUUUUAUUAAAGGCAAGUAAAAACUAGUCGAAUAGUCUUUUUCAAAUUGUUGUUUUAUUAUUUUUCCUUCAAAAGUUAGUGUGGCUCAUGUUUGCAGGUGCGAAUGUGGGUCCCGAAUCAUUACUAAAAUUUCUAUUCCACAGCCCACCGCAGCUUCAGUUAAUCAAACUCAAAUCAAUUUUCUUUCUUAACAAAAUAUUCCAAAGAUGUGUAGCAUUUUUCAGAUCACAUGCGAUGGUGCUCUUUUCAAUCGUUGCUUGGAUUGCUUUCUUGGAAAAGCAGCAUACAUACGUAACCUCCAAGAUAAUGUUGAUACCUUGGGCACUGAAUUGGGAAAUCUGAUCGCUAGAAAGAACGAUCUGAUGAGGAGGGUUGUCGAUGCUGAACGGCAACAAAUGAGAAGGCUGGACGGAGUGCAAGUGUGGGUUUCGAGGGUGGAUUCUGUUAAAACUGAAGCUGAUCAAUUUAUAAGAGACGGCUCUCGAGAAAUUGAAAAAUUAUGUGUUGGAGGCUACUGUUCCAAGAAUUGCAUGUCAAGCUACAAGUUCGGGAAAAAAGUGGCUAAAAAGCUACGGGAUGUGCGGACUUUAAUCAGUGAAGGAGUUUUUGAGGUGGUGGCUGACAGAGCUCCAGAGUCUGUAGCAGAUGAAAGACCUACUGAGCGAACAGUAGUAGGCUUGCAAUCACAACUUGAACAAGUCUGGAGAUGUCUUGUAGAAGAAUCAGCGGGAAUCAUUGGCCUAUAUGGUAUGGGCGGUGUUGGUAAAACUACACUACUGACCCAUAUCAACAAUAAAUUUCUCGAGAGUCCAACCAACUUUGAUUGUGCGAUUUGGGUUGUAGUUUCAAAAGACCUGCGACUCGAAAAAAUUCAAGAAGAUAUUGGGAAAAAGAUAGGUUUGGUUGGUGAUUCAUGGAAGAGUAAAAGUGUAGAGGAGAAAGCUGUCGACAUCUUCCGGAGUUUAAGAGAGAAGAGAUUUGUAUUGUUGUUAGAUGAUAUAUGGGAGCGGGUUGAUUUAACAAAGGUGGGCAUUCCACUUCCCGGACCAAAAAAUACUACCUCAAAAGUCGUAUUCACAACCCGUUUCAUCGAUGUUUGUGGUAGCAUGGAAGUUGACAGGAAGUUUCAAGUAGCAUGCUUAUCAGAAAAGGAUGCUUGGGAACUGUUUCGAGAAAAAGUUGGGGAGGAAACUCUUCAGAGUCAUCAUGAUAUCGAUGAGCUAGCCCAAAUUGUGGUCAAAGAGUGUGGUGGUUUGCCACUCGCACUUAUUACUAUUGGUCGAGCUAUGGCCUACAGAAAGAAAGCGGAGCAGUGGAGACGUGCAAUUGAAGAGUUAAGGAGAUCAGCUUCAGAGUUUGCAGGUUUGGGAAAAGAGGUUUAUCCUCUUUUAAAAUUCAGCUAUGAUAGUUUGCAGAAUGAUACGGUUAGAUCUUGUUUCUUGUACUGUUGUUUAUAUCCUGAAGAUUAUGGCAUUCUUAAAUGGGACUUGAUUGAUUGUUGGUUUGGCGAGGGAUUUUUUGGGGAAUCUGACAGGUCUGGUGCAGAAAACCAAGGAUAUGACAUUUUGGACACUCUUGUUCGUGCGUGUUUAUUAGAAGAGGUGGAAGAUGAUGAAGUAAAAAUGCAUGACGUUAUUCGUGAUAUGGCUAUAUGGAUAACUUGUGAAAUUGAGAAGGAGAAGAGAAACUUUUUGGUUCGUGCAGGUGCUGGAUUAAAAGAUGCACCGGGUGUUAAAGGAUGGGAAAAUGUGAGAAGAUUGUCAUUGAUGCAAAACCAAAUUGAAACUCUGGCAGAGGUUCCCACAUGCCCUCAUCUCCAUACUCUAUUUCUUGACUUUAAUAGGGGGUUGGAUAUGAUCGCGGAUGGCUUCUUUCAAUUUAUGCCUUCUCUCAAAGUUUUGAAGAUGUCAAACUGUUCGAAUUUGAAAUUACCUGUUGGGAUGUCAGAGUUGGGUUCAUCACUAGAACUUCUUGAUAUUUCAGAAAACAGCACAAGAGAGUUACCGGAAGAGUUAAAGAAGUUGGUAAAUCUGAAAUGUUUGAAUUUGAGGUGGACAGAGCAUUUAAAUAAAAUUCCACGGCAACUAAUAUCAAAUUCUUCAAGGUUACGUGUGUUGAGAAUGUUCGCUACUGGCCGGUUCAAUUUUCAUGAAGCACCAGAAGACAGCGUUUUAUUUGGUGGGGGUGAAGUUUUGAUACAGGAAUUGCUCGGUUUGAAAUAUUUAGAGGUAUUGGAGUUGACCUUGGGAAGUUAUCAUGCUCUCCAAAUUCUUUUGAGCUCAAAUAAGUUAAAAAGUUGUAUUCGAUCUCUUUACCUCGAGUUGACCGGAGAUACAACGUCAAUUAUUGAUGCUACGGCUUUCGCAGAUCUAAACCACCUCAAUGAAUUACGGAUUGAUAAUGGUAUUGAGUUGGAAGAGUUGAAGAUUGAUUAUACGGAGAUAGUACGAAAAAGGCGGGAACCUUUUGUUUUCCGCAGCCUUCAACGUGUUACCAUAGCGGAGUGCCAUAAAUUGAAAGAUGUGACAUUCCUCGUUUUUGCUCCAAACCUCAAGUCUCUUCGGCUAUUCUAUUGCGGUGCUAUGGAAGAAAUAAUCAGCGUCGGAAAAUUUGCUGAGACUCCUGAGAUGAUGGGACAUAUAAGCCCUUUUGAAAAUCUCCAAAUGCUUGAUUUACAAGGUUUGCCACAUUUGAAGAGCAUCUUCUGGAAGCCAUUGCCUUUCACUCAUCUGAAAGAAAUGGAGGUACUUAGGUGCGAUCGGCUUGAAAAGCUUCCACUCGAUUCCAACAGUGCAAAGGAGCGCAAAUUUGUUAUUCGUGGAGAAGAAGACUGGUGGAACCGACUUCAAUGGGAGGAUGAAGCCACUCAAAUUGCUUUUCGUUCCUGUUUUAAAAGUGAUGCUUUAUUUAUAUCUUAUUCGUGAAAAGUGAUUUAAUUUCCUGCCAAAAGACGAACGAGAAGAACAAUAGAGUCAAACUAAUGCUCACAUAAAUUUCCCGUAAGAAUAUAUAAUUAGAUUGGAAUGCACACCUCUAGAUUGAACAGAAUUAAAGCUGAGAAAAUAUUGAGUAUAGUAGCCCUCUUUACAGAAAAUGACGUGAAAGUUAAUUUAGAAAGAUAUAUUCUUGAUUAAUCCAUUUUCUGAAGUUUUUAUUUUGUAUGGUCAAUUAUACCUUCAUACUAAAAAUUUCUGAAGUUAUAAAUUAGUGCAACUUGACAAUUUUUACUGAUGAUAUCUUCUAUUUUUCCCUUUUUUUUUUUUUCACUUUCAUAGACUGGCAGCGGAUCCUGCGGCACCAAUUUGAGAGAAUAUACUGACACUACUUCGAACAGCAAGCAGAAGAAGUAAUAUGUCUACGGCAAAGGCAAUGGAGUCCUCAUUUUGGCUCGAGAUGCAGUAAUCAUCGAAGAGAGUUUCCUUGUGAAACUGGGCAACACAUUGAAUCCCUUCACCACUGAGAAGGUUGUGGAGGAAGUAAGCUUUCUCUCCAGUGAGGAAGAGGUGGCAUAUACCUUCCCCAUUUUGUUGAGGGCAGGUAGGAAUCUUUUUUCUAAGAGAUUUACUUCGUUCUCUGUAAGAAAUGCUUUGAACUUCAUCCCUCUGUCUCUAUCCUCACUUAUCAGGAAAUAAGUUGAAAGCACUAUGAAGAGAGAGAGAGAGAGAGAGAGAGAGAGAGAGAGAGAGAAUUAAGAUAUAUAGACAAGAAAAAUAUUUGACGUUGAUCUUACAAACUAAUACUUCAAGCAGUAUCCUAGAAAGCUAAAAACUGCAAGAUGGCUUGAAAUUUGAAAAGAGCACAUGCUUUUCCUCCUUAACUUGAGAAAAUGUUUAAUAUAGUGCACCUUACAGAAGCAUUUAAGCAAUUAGAACUUUGCACAAAAACAUCAAGAAGACUAAACAAGUCAGAUGCAGUGUAUUUGUCCAAGCACAAAUUGCAUUUUUUCCUCAACUUUAAUAUUUAUUGAUGAGAAUCAAUACAGGUCCCUCAUUUGUUAUAGAAAGCUUUCUUUCUUGUAGUCUCACCAGUUAAUUCAGAGGUCUAUAAUCAUCUUGCAAAGUUAAGGGCAUUUCUUUUGAUCUAAAGUCUUUGCAUCACCACCUCAUCACACGCCAAGCCAAUAUUCCAUUUACCUCUACAACAAAAAGUUUUAAUUAAACAAUCCUAAUGCACGCAGCCAAAUAAAAUGCAGUAAGAAUAUUCAACUUAAAAAUCUGAAAGCCAACUUGGUGAAUUGCCUCCUUAGGUGAAGUUCCAUGCUUUACUAUAGUUGACAGAACUCAGCAAAAGCUUCCAUACAACAGAUUUUGAAAAUGAUGAUGCCAACAGAUACUCAUUCAAUGCAUUGAAACUCCAAAGGUUCAUUGUUCAUAGAAGUUUACAGAGUUUUGGUCAUCAAAUAGCUCAGACCUAAUCCCAAACAAAAAAUGAGUGAAAAUUAGAUCACGAGCAGCUAAUUGUAAAUUCUAACUUAACUCUUCAUCUCCUUUGUAAACAAGAAACAAAAUGGAGACACGCAAAAUGAAUAUGGAGAAAAUUUGAACUCAAAUGAAAUGAGGGCAUGAAAGCAAACAAAUGGCAUGCACCAAAAAACCAAGCCUCAAUCAAAAACUAAUUAACCAUUAAGAAAAAAAUUGGUCAGAGAAUGAACUCCAAAUUCAGGAGUCAAGCAAGAAGCUUUCAUUAUUAUCAAAGUCAAUUAUCUUUGUUAGUAUGCGAGUGUGACGACUAUAGGUUGUUCUUUUUCUAAUGUCAUAUGAUUCCAAUUUUAGGUACAGGGCAUCUCUCUCUCUCUCUCUCAUCGCUAAGUGGAUAUUUUUCUCUUUUGUCAUAUACUUUAGUUAUUCUUCAAUUUACUAACUAAAAUGAAGGCCGCUUUAUUAAGAAGUUAUAUCCAGUUAUAUAAUUUGUUGUAUUUAAUAUAUGUUUGGGCUCAUAAUUUUUUUUAAAAAUAUAUAUUUCAUUCUCCAUAAUUUUUUCCCAUCAUAGCUACGAAACGUCUUAGUUUCGACUAAAAUCCUAAAAUUGGUCCUUAAUUGAAUAUGCAUUGCAAUUUGCAAAUGUAAUAUUGUGAAUGGGACACUGGAGAUACCAAAAUGGUCAAAUGCGAAAUAAGUUAGGAUUGUACGAUGUAGUUUGUAUUCAUAUUCAAUGCCUUUUUUUUCAAAAAACAAAUUGAAAUGCCAUUACUAAACGAUUCUUGAUGAUGGGAGCCACCGUGCCAGCUUUGUCGCUGAUUUGGUAUUAUUCUUAACUUGCAGAUAGUUGUGGAUAUGAUAUGCAAAAAGGUAAGGACUAUAUCUUCUUGAUGGAGGCCUCUGAUUUUUUCCCUUCUAUGUAAUUUAGUAAAUCGCAUUUUCCCUUGUGAUUGAUAUAUCAUACCAAAGUCAAGUCUUAAAUACUGCUGUCAUAUGUUAAGGUUCAACUUCCAUUUUGAUUAACGUCCAUUUGCUGCUGCUUCCAAAAGUGAGAAUGAGAUACUUUGGUUAAUUUCAGUAGUUGAACCCAAUAGAGUACUUUAUUUAGAUCUUCAUGGUUCAAAGGCCUGAAAAAACUUGCCGGUAUUUGCAAAAUGACAUUCUGUGCUUUUAUUUAGGCUUAUUAUUUAAGUGAUAAAAACUCCCGUAACCUGCUGUCAAGAAAAUUUCAGAUUGUUAAAAGACAACAUUUUGUUUCAGCCAAAAAUGUUUGUUUCGAUUAAAGACUUGAACCAUUUUCAUUUAACCUUGAUUGUGAUGCUUUACAUUAUGCAUGUUCCUCUCAAUCAAUAAAAGUUGAGGUCAUGAUUUUAUAUUUCUAUUUUGUAACUUGAAAUAAUUGGUCUGCCUGUUUCUGUAGCUUGAUAACAUGAAUUUUUCCUUCUGAAGUUAAUUUGAUCAAUAAAGUAAUUCUUCGGAGAUGAUAUGCCCAUUCUAUAGUCAUUUUCUUAGGUAACAUGUUUUUUCUUCACUCUUCAGAGCAUGUCUAAACUAAUUGAUCGCUCAGCGGAGACUUUGGGUGAGAAGACAAAAUUUCUUGGUAAAUCCUCUAAAAAGGUAUGCAUAAUUCCCGAGUAUUAAAUAAUCAUUGGUCAUAAUUUUUGUACACAACUCUUUUUUUGGAGAUCGUUAAAAGUGGUUGAUGAUCUAUUUUGUAAUAUCAUAGAGGGAUCAUGAAUUCCUGUUCUUUUCUGUGGCUAGGCAACACUUUCGGGCCAAGCUAAGGAAAUCUAUUUUAGGUAAUGUGAAAACCAGUUGUAGGAUGUAAUAGUUUAUUAUGCCCUGACAAUAACUUUUUGUAUAAUUGUCAGUUUAAUGAAUACAAGAGGAACUCUGUUGGCAAAUUCAUCCAUGAUAGAUGCUAAAAGUAUUUAUGCAUACCAGUUGCCUUAACUAAUUUUUCUCAACACUGGUAUUGAACAGGAAAAUGAAUAUGCAAUUUGUAUAUUGUGCCAUUGUGGAGAAUUUGGAUAUUCUUAUUUAAGUAACAAGGAGAGUAUUUGCCUCAUCUUUAAACAAUGAAUCUUUGAGAAAUGAGGAGUGGGUGAUUGGCAGUGUCUUCAUGUAAAUGUUCAUUUAUUUGUAUUUUGAACUAUUAUGAGAAUCUUUGUAUGCCAAAUUAGUAAUACAAAUGUUCAGAUGAUUUUUCCUGUUGAUCAUGCGUGUGUAUCUGCACACAACCAUUGUGUCCCACUUUAUUCUGAUGCACAAAUAUCUGUAGUUUAGAAGAAAAGAAAUAAUAAUCAUAUAUUAUUGCUUGGUUCAUGAUUAUUAAACGAUUAUGGCUUUAGAAAAUCCACAAAUCCUUUGUGUUCAUAUAUGAAUGUGCGAAGUUUGCUAUCUCUUAGAUUACCUUCUUCCAAGAUAACAAGUUCAUAUAUUUUUUUUAAUCCUUUUUCAUCACAGUUGAAUUUCAAGUGUAAGUUUUGUUAUUAAUAGCUGGUUUCCUGUUAUUAUGAUUUCAUAAACAGUGAGAGGAUAUGUGCUCUACUUUUGGAGGGCCUCCACAUGAAAGAAAAUUGCAACAAUUGAAUUCUUCCGGAGGGUAUGGUAUUUAAUUUAUUUUCUCAGCUUGUUGUAAGACUAAUAUAUUUCCUUCAGUACCCAAAAGGACAGAAAUGAAUUACGGAAGGAAGUUUUUGCUGCUUUAUUUAGUGCUGCUGAGAAAUCUGAUGGAUUUCCUGAAAUUACGGUGAAGACGGAGUGGAGGUCCAACGCAUUAGGAAAGGUGGUGAGUGAACCGCCGGAGGAAUUAGUACCAGAAUACAAGGCUAAUGUGGUGCACUUGCAGCAAGAUGACCAGACCUGUAUGUGCUCUUAUAUUAACUAUAUUGGUUGGAUUUGUGAGUGUGUACAUUUUUGUGUGUAUACUCACAUUUGUAUUUAUGCAUAUUAACGUGUGUAGGAUUCUUGAUUUCUGCCACUUACUGGAGAACUAGUGGAAAGCUUUAUACUGAUAUAUGUGCUAUAACUAAUGGAAACUACAAUAUGAAUAUUUUCUCUCACCUGGAGAACUGUGUAACAGAUAUAAUUUGUGGCUCUGGAAUACUGAAGAUUCUGCAAUAACUAAUGGAAAAUAUGAUAUGAAUAUUUUUUCUCACCUGGAGAACUUUGUAACAGAUACAUUUUGUGGCUCUGGAAUGUCUAAAGAAUGCUUCAGUUUAGAUCAAAUAUCUUUUAGUUAGAAAAGAUAAAAUUCUCUGAAUCUGAAAGACUGAAACAUUUUGCAUAUUUUGUGAAAGGGAAGUAUCUGUAGAUACUAGCUCAUGCAUUGAGGUAAUAUCAAUGUUAAAGAAAAACAGCAAUAAUUUAUUAUACAGAAUUAGGUUCACUUGCUUUAAAUGCUGGUCUGAUCAACCAUAACAACCUGUAAUGGUCCUGCAGAAAUAUAUAUACGGGGAGAAACUAGCUAAAUUUUCCUUUCACUUAUGGGUUUGGUCUUUUUUUCCCCUAUUUUUCAGCUUUCCUUCUCCUGAAGUAUGUUAACAAUUGCAGAUAAUGACGAAGAGGACCGCUUCCAGGCUCUUUGUAGAGCUGUGAUGGAAUAUAGGGGCACAAUGAAAGAAUAUUGUAAGGUUGUAUGUACUUUCUCUCUUGUCAUUUAUGUUUUCUCACACAUUUUGUUUAUGCCCUGAACAUGCAGCUUUGUAUGUGUCAAUUGCCUUUUACGUUUUAAAAGCCAUAAAGUAAGAAUACAGUUCCUUGUCAGGCUAUUGAUGCGUUCGCUCAGAAGGGUCAUGUUCAAGCAGGAAAACUUCUAGAACAGGUAAGGUUUCCAUCUACAGCCAUCCAUUGACAGCAGAUAUAUUUUCAUUAAGCAGACACUGUUAGCAUUCAAGAUGCUGGCAGAUUCACUUGAUUCUUAUUAGUUUGUUUAGUGGCAAGGCAUAUAACCUGUAUUUCAAAGCCAAGUUGUGCUAUUGAUUAUGUUAACUUUAUUGUUAACAUAAAGUGAUAUGGAGGACAUAAUCAAUGUAGGAAAAUUAGGUGAAGAGAUGAUGUCAAAUCUUGAACCUCUUACAAAGCUCCAAGUUCUUUACUUGAAGAAGCUGCCAAAUUUGAAGAGCGUCUACUGGAAGGCAUUUCCAUUCCCAGAUGUAUGCAGAAUUUUUGUAUUAAUGCCCAGUUCUUAAGAACCUGCCACUGGAUUUUCAAGGGGUGGGCCAAGGUAAAAUUCUUAUCAAGGGAAAGGAAGAUUGGUGGAAAGAACUUCAAUGGGAGGAUCAAGCAACUCAGAAUGCAUUGCUUCCAUUUUUCAAAUCAACUGACAAGUGAUUGAAGGGGGCAUCAUCAACAUCAUCAACAGAGAUGGAGAGAUUCUGGAGCAGAUCAGCAGGGUUUGUAUAUGAUCUUUGGUGGUUGCUUUCUUUUGUGAUUUUUUUUUUCUUCCUGUCAUUUUAUCAUUUCUUUGUCUCUUUUUUUAUUGCUGAUGUUAGUGUAUGCUUACUGUUGCUUGACAAAGUUCGCUUGCUUCUUGUUUAUUAAAUUUUUUAUCGUCACAAAAUAUUACUUGUUCUAUUUGAGAGUGAUGUGAAUCAAUUUUCAAUUAUAUAUUUUGUGGUCAAUGUGAAUUCAAUUUCAUUUGUCUCCUGCAAUUAUGAGAAAACUGCAGAGUCAUAAUAUGGAAAAGUACACCAGCAAAAACUUUGUAAAAGCUUCGGAGUGAAACAGGGAAUUCACUUACUACUAAGAACAAUUGAUGGCGAGUUAUUCCAUUCAUUUUAUGUCCAUCUAUCUAUUUAAUUAUUAAAGAUAAAUGGUCCAUUUAUAAAUUUCAGAUUGUCUCUCUCUGAAAAUAACAAUAUUUAAAAUAUCUCUUAAAUUAUUAUAAAUUUUAAUACACUCUCGAUUUAAAAUGGAACAUGCUGAUGAAAUUGUUUUCUUCUUAAUAAAAUUGAAAUAAAUUGUGUUUGCAGUAGUUUGAAAUAUUUUAAAGAUUAUUAUUUUAUAAGGGAGUAAUAUGAAAUGAAAUUUACUUUUCAUGCGUGAAAUGUUGAAAAAGGACAAAGCAAGUGUCCCUGCUUUUAUUUUUAUUUUAAAGUGGAGUCAUCUCACAUACUUUAGCUCUAUCAUUACAAUUUUUCAGGUUACAUUUUUAUUAUUUAUUUAUUUUCUUUUUUACACAUGCAUGUGGGUUACUUUUCCGUAAGCUCCUCAAUAUAUAUUGAACCCAGCGAAGAAUGUUAUGGAAGAGCAAAUUAAUGAUAUUUCUGAUAGAGUCUAUUUGAUUAUGUAGCCUGAAUGGAUGUCUUGUUGAAAGAUAUCUCAGUGCAUUAGUUCAUCCUUGUCUGUCAAUGUGUUUUUAAUGGUUUUUCCAAUUGUUUAUUAUUAUAGAUUGAUUGUAAAUUGAUAUGAAAAUUUGAUAUGAAUUUAAUGUUGAAAUGUUUUCUCUUUAGUGGAAUGAAUUUAAAAGUGCAAAAGAUUAUUGCACACAGAGAAAUAAACAUAUAUGCUUUAUAACUUUAGCAAUCGAUUCUUUUACAGCUGGAAACAGAGAUGAUGAUUAUCAUAAGGAUGAAGAAAAGUAGUGCGUUAGACGAUUAGACUCUCUUAUUAAAGGCAAGUAUAAAGUAGUGAAGAAUCCAAUAUCUCUAUUGUCUAGUCUUUUGUUUAAUUCUUCUUUUAUUAUUUUUCAGAAUAAUUUUUGGUGAUUACAAUCGGGUUAUUAUUCAGAGUUAUUGUUAUCUUCUGGGGCAGUUUCUGUUCAUCGAAUUCAUUAAUUAAAAUUUUAGAACUCUUAUCAGAAGAAUAUUUUUCGGUUAUCUUUUUUAUGUUCUAAUUCCAAUUGUAAGAAGUAGCCAUUUUAGAAUUUGGGUCUUGAAUCGAAUUUCAAUGCAUGAAUUAAUAUUAAAAAAAAAAAAUUCACUACUCGCAGUUUAGGUUACAAAUUACUUUUUGGAAAGUUGACUUUGGAAUGUUUGCAAAGAAAGAGACUAACAUAUUUCCAAUUACACUAAAUCUCUAUUAUGAUAAUGUUAAGACUAAAUUAAUUUAAAUAAUUUUUAUUUGAAAAUUAUAUCAAACGCAGUCUAAUUUUAUUAAUUUUAAGAAAUAAUAAUUAUAAAAAUUAUUGUUCUGACUUAAUUAAUACAAGUGAUAUAAAAGUUAAGUGUGCACUAAAUCUGUUUUAAUUUUUUCCAGUAUAACUAACAGAGGUCAUUACUAGAAUUAUAUUACUAGUCUAUUAGAUAGAAAAAAUUACUUAUAUUGUUUUAUAUUUAUUAAAAAAUUUAAAGCCAAUUUUUUUAAUUACUAUUUAAAGAAUAUUAUAAUUUGAAAAAUUUUAAUAUCUUUAUUAAAAAUUUAGAAAUUUACAGUCCUCUAAAUAUUUAAGGCGUAACUGUCAUUUUCUCAAGAAGCUUUAUUUAAUAUUAUUGAUUUAAAUAAUAUCUUAUUAAAAAUGUACUGAGGAGAAAUUUUGGUGGGUAUUUUAGUCUUUUCAGCAAUCAUCAUGAUUAACCUUUGGUUGGCCUUGAAACGUCGGUCAGAAAAGUUUUAAAAUGCUUAAUUGUUUUUCACUGUUAACGUUAGUGGCCUUGAAAUUGCUUAUAUUUUAUUAAAAAUUAAUGCUAACAAGAAAAAACUAGAUCGUAUUCCACCCCCAAAGCAAAAGUGAUAAAACAACCGGCUGUAUUCUUUUAUUAAACUACAAAUUAAAAUGGAUUUCUUUAAUUAAAGUGGAUAUCAUUUAAUUAAUGUUUGAACAUUAAAGUUCUGAUAUAUAACCACUAUGCCGACCACCUAAUUGCUGCUAUUUAAUUUCGUUCCAGUUCUCUCUCUCUCUCUUUUUCUUUUUUUUUUGGGCCAAGCAAUAAAUAGUAAAAAUUCAAUAAAAGCAAUAUUAAUGCUGCAAGUGAGUCAUGUUAUUUAUUGUCAAUUAGGAAAUGUGAACCUAAUUUGAUUGCAUCCCUUUAAUCAUUUAAUAAUUAUGUAAGCACCAUCCCUUUAAUUAUUUAAUAACUAGAAAAUAGAACACUGCGUUUCACGCGGCUUUGAAAAAAGAAUUUAGUAUUAUCUUUUUUUCUUACUUUACACUUGAUGAAACUGAUAAAAAAUAUGAAUUGAUUUUUUUUAAAGAUGAGGCAGCCUUAUAAAAAAUAAAAAAAGCUAUUAGCCAGCAAUACAAAUAAAGAAGGAAUGCAAGAUAAAGAAUAAAAUGAGAGAAUAUAUUAUAGAGUGAUCUUAUUCAUUCUAAUUGUGUGUGUACAAAACAAAAAGAUGAGCUCUCCUUUUAUAACUACAUAAUUACUUCAUGAAAUUAAUGAAAAAUUAUGAAUCAUAAUUUCUUGUGAGAUAGUGGGAGUUAUUGGGAAGCUAAAAGUUGCUAAUGGGAGAUAGUGGGGAGACUAAGAGAUAUAUAUUAUGAACAUCUACAUUUAUUUUAAUAAAUUCAUAACACUCCCCCUUAAAUGUUCAUUACAAAGAAUAUGCCUCAUUAAAAUCUUUACAUAAUUGUUAUUGUGUAAUAACAAUCAAAUUAAUUAUAAGAAGAUGAAAAGCCAAAUCUAACAGAAAAUUUCUCUAUUUAUUAGAUAAUAGAGAAUAUAGCAAGAUGAGAAAUGGUAAUGCCACAUCAUCUCCUCACGUCCCAACUUUAUAUAUAUAUAUAUAGAUAAUAUAUAUUAUUCCUGUCCUACAUUCACAUAUUUAAUUGUCCUUUUGAAAAUAUUCAUGAGUUAGGCCAAGUAAAGUCAAAGAAAUUGGGAAAAAGGAACAAAAGGACAAACCUAAAUUAAUUGAACCUAAUUCAUGAAAAUGCACACUUUUGUGUUGCGGACGGCGGACCCUAAAGCUUCGUUGUUUGCAGCUGCAAUUAAUUCUUUUCCUUCAAAAGUUAGAGGCUCGUGUUUACAGUGGGUCCCGAAUCGGACGUACCUAAUAAAUCUUUUAAAAAAAUUUGCCGUAUAAAGGACAGAGGUCAUUACUGAAAUUUCUCUUCCACGGGCAAUUACAGCAGCUUCAGUUAAUCAAACUCAAAUCAAUUUUCUUUCUUAACAAAAUAUUCCAAAGAUGUGUAGCAUUUUUCAGAUCACAUGCGAUGGUGCUUUUUUCAAUCGUUGCUUGGAUUGCUUUCUUGGAAAAGCAGCAUACAUACGUAACCUCCAAGAUAAUCUUGUAGCCUUGGACACUGAAUUGGGAAAUCUGAUCGCUAAAAAGAACGAUGUGAUGAGGAGGGUUGUCGAUGCUGAACGGCAACAAAUGAGAAGGCUGGACGGAGUGCAAGUGUGGGUUUCGAGGCUCGAUGCUGUUAAAACUGAAGCCGAUGAACUUAUCACAGACGGCUCUCGAGAAAUUGAAAAAUUAUGUGUUGGAGGCUACUGUUCCAAGAACUGCAGGUCAAGCUACAAAUUCGGAAAACAAGUGGCAAGAAAGCUACGAGAUGUGGAGACUUUAAUCGCCGAGGGAGUUUUUGAGUCGGUGGCUGAGAGAGCUCCGGAACCUGUGGCAGAUAAAAGACCCACUGAGCCAACAAUAGUAGGCUUGCAAUCACAGCUUGAACAAGUUUGGAGAUGUCUUCUUGUAGAAGAAUCAGCGGGAAUCAUUGGCCUAUAUGGUAUGGGCGGUGUUGGUAAAACCACACUGUUGACCCAUAUCAACAAUAAAUUUCUUGAGAGUCCCACCAACUUUGAUUGUGUGAUUUGGGUCGUAGUUUCAAAAGACCUGCGACUUGAAAAAAUUCAAGAAGAUAUUGGGAAGAAGAUAGGUCUGUUUGAUGGUUCGUGGAAGAAUAAAAGUGUUGAGGAGAAAGCCGUAGACAUCUUGCGGAGAUUAGGAGAGAAGAGGUUUGUAUUGUUGUUAGAUGAUUUAUGGGAGCGGGUUGAUUUAACAGAAGUGGGCGUUCCACUUCCCAGCCCACAAAAAUACUACAUCAAAGUCGUAUUCACGACCCGUUUCAUUGAUGUGUGUGGUAGCAUGGAAAGUCACAGGAAGUUUAAAGUGGCAUGCUUAUCAGAAGAGGAUGCUUGGGAGCUGUUUCGAGGAAAAGUAAGGCAAGAAACUCUUGAGAGUCAUCAUGAUAUCGUUGAGCUAGCCCAAACUGUGGCCAGAGAGUGUGGCGGUUUGCCACUCGCGCUUAAAACUAUAGGUCGAUCUAUGGCCUACAGAAAGACAGCUAAGGAGUGGAGACAUGCAAUUGAAAUGUUAAGGAGAUCAGCUUCAGAGUUUGCAGGUUUGGGAGAAAAGGUGUAUCGUCUUUUAAAGUUUAGCUAUGAUAGUUUGCAGAAUGAUACGAUUAGAUCUUGUUUCUUAUAUUGUUGUUUGUAUCCUGAAGAUUAUGGCAUUCUUAAAUGGGAUUUGAUUGAUUGUUGGAUUGGUGAGGGAUUCUUAGAGGAAUCUGACAGGUUUAGUGCAGAAAACCAAGGAUACUACAUUGUGGGCACUCUUGUUCAUGCAUGUUUAUUAGAAGAGGUGGAAGAUGAUAAAGUAAAAAUGCAUGACGUUGUUCGUGAUAUGGCUAUAUGGAUAACCGGUGAAAUUGAGAAGGAGAAGCGAAACUUUUUGGUUUGUGCAGGUGCUGGAUUAAAAGAGGCACCGGAUGUUGAAGUAUGGGAAAAUGUGAGAAGAUUGUCAUUGAUGCAAAACCAAAUUGAAACUCUGUCAGAGGUUCCCACAUGCCCUCAUCUUCUCACUUUAUUUCUUGACUUUAAUAGGGAGUUGAAGACUAUUGCGGAUGGCUUCUUCCGAUGUAUGCCUUCUCUCAAAGUUUUGAAGAUGUCAAACUCUGGAAAGCCUUGGAAAGGUUUGGAAUUAAAUUUGGGGAUGCCAAAGUUGGGUUCACUACAGCUUCUUGAUAUUUCACACACCUGCAUACAAGAUUUACCGCAAGAAUUAAAGUUGUUGGUAAAUCUGAAAUGUUUGAAUUUGAGGCGGACAAUUUGGUUAAAUAAAAUUUCAUGGCAACUAAUAUCAAAUUUUUCAAGGUUACGUGUGUUGAGAAUGUUCGCUACUGGCUGGUUCAAUUUUCAUGAAGCACCAGAAGACAGCGUUUUAUUUGGUGGGGGUGAAGUUUUGAUACAGGAAUUGCUCGGUUUGAAAUAUUUAGAGGUAUUGGAGUUGACCUUGGGAAGUUAUCAUGCUCUCCAAAUUCUUUUCAGCUCAAAUAAGCUAAAAAGUUGUAUUCGAUCUCUUUACCUCCAGUUGACCGGAGAUACAGCGUUAAUUAUUGAUGCUACGGCUUUCGCAGAUCUAAAACACCUCAAUGAAUUACGCAUUGAGUCGGCUACAAAGCUGAAAGAAUUGACGGCUGAUUAUACAGAGAUAGUUCGAAAAAGGCGGGAACCUUUUGUUUUCCGCAGCCUUCACCAUGUUACUAUACAAAGCUGCCAGAAGUUGAAAGAUUCGACAUUCCUCGUUUUUGCUCCAAACCUCAAGUCUCUUUCGAUAGUCAAAUGCAAUGCUAUGGAAGAAAUAAUCAGCGUCGGAAAAUUUGCUGAGACUCCUGAGAUGAUGGGACAUAUAAGUCCUUUUGAAAAUCUCCAAAUGAUUGAUUUACUAGGUUUGCCACAUUUGAAGAGCAUCUUCUGGAAGCCAUUGCCUUUCACUCAUCUGAAAGAAAUAUCUGUGCGUUAUUGCCCUAAUCUUAAAAAGCUUCCACUCGAUUCCAACAGUGCAAAGGAGCGUAAAUUUGUUAUUCGUGGAGAAGAAGACUGGUGGAACCCACUUCAAUGGGAGGAUGAAGCCACUCAAAUUGCUUUUCGUUCCUGUUUCCAACCCUUGUUCCUGAACAGUGGUCGCAAAAUUUGAUUUCUGGUGAGUGCGUUUGUCUUUUAAAAAGAAUAAUUUAAAAGAAAUUUAUUCUUGUCGGUUUCUUCACUGUUUUUAUUUCAGUUUCUCUCUCUCUCUCUCUCUCUCUCUCUUUUUGUCUUCUGCAAAUCACAAUUACAUUUUUAUUCUUGUCGUUUUCUUCACUGUUUUUAUUUCAGUUUCUCUCUCUCUCUCUCUCUCUCUUUUUGUCUUCUGCAAAUCACAAUCAAAUGUUGAAUUAAUGGAAUUAAUGCUUCAUAAAUUUGCCGGCACUGCCAUUACUUUUUUUUGGGGGAUCGAAUUGAUACUUUAUUUAUAUCUUCUUAGCGAUUUAAUUUCCUGUCAAAAGACGAACGAGAAGAACAUAUGACUUAAACCAAUGCUCGCAUAAACUUGCUGUAAAAAGAUAUAAUCUCACUGAAAUGCACACGCCUAGAAUGAAUAGAAUUAAAACAGGGAAAAUAUUAAGUAUAUUAGCCCUCUUUACUGAAAAUCAAAUGACAGUAAAUUUUUUGAAGUUUUGAUUUUCUAUGGUCAAUUCCACCUUUUGCAAUUUCUUCUGUUCUAACAAAAACCAAUUUCUUUGUUCAAGUAUUUUCGUUUGGAUAUUAAUAAUUCUCCACCGAAAGAGUGAACUCUUGCUCAAAGGGAUCUCUAAUAAUACAUAACAUGAUUAUUUUCGUUUGAAUAAUUGAUUUCUUGAUUGAAUUGUCGUGUAAUUGAUUUAUGGGGGAUGACACAUCAACAUACUUGAAAAUACACUAAUCUCAGCAUCAUCGGUUAAUAACUUUUAGAUUUAUGGGUAAUCAAUAGUUAAGAUUAGUUGUCAUUAAUACUAAAUAAUUUUUACUUUUUUUGUCUCUUCUAGAGGAUCUUCUAGAAAAAUGCAUCCACAAUUAAAUUUAAUACUUUACAUAAUAAACAAAGCCUAAAUGUUAAAUUUAAGAAACUGCAUUGUAUUUCAGUUGAAGUUGACUUUAAUAUUUAGGGUAGAAAAACAAUUAAUUUUAUUUUUUGAAAUGUCCAUAUUCAGAGCACAUUUCAAAAAGACUCAAUAAUUUCUCAUAAAUUUCAAUUAAAAAUAUUCAAUUUGUUGUUUCAGUUCUUUUAUUUUUUAUUUUUUCCGACAUGAAAGCGACUUAAUGUUACUAAAUUGGGUGGUCUUUGGAUUUUCAUGACCCAAUAAUUGGAACAAAACAAUUUUCUCAAGCGCUCUCCCGCAACAUUUUAUAAUUGAAGCCGCUGCCCCGCCCGUGGUUUCAAACUUUUUUCUUUCUCCUUGUUUAAAUUAAUGGGAGCAGCCUCCGUCCUUGACUAGUUGACUGCUUGUCUUCUUUUUUUUAUUAAUUAAUUAAUUCAGCCGCCCCCCUUUCUUGUCCCAAUAUCUUCUACUUUCGGUUUCCUUUUAUUAUCUCUUUAUUUUUAAAAAAUGCUUAUAAUAAUAAUAAAAUAUAAAAUAUAAAAAUAAAAAUAUAAUUUAUCAGAAAAUUAAGAUAAAGAAAUAUUAUAAGCACAUCAAUCAACAAGUGAAAAAAAAACAAUUUUAAUUUACAUUAAAUAUAAACUUUCAGUGUUAAUCAACUUUUCUAAAUAACUAAAUUAAAAAAUUAAUUGAUUUAAUUGUGGUGUAAUUGAUUUGUAGGGGAUGAAUCAGCAGCAUCAUCGGUUAACGCUUUCAGAUUUAUAGUUAAUCAAUAGUUGAGAGUUGUUAUCACUAACGCCGUGUAUUUUUUAAUGUUUUUUCUCUCUCCUACAGCAUCUUCUAGGAAAGUGCAUCCGUUGCUAAAAUUUAGUAUCGUAAAUAAUAAACCAAGAAUAAAUAUUAAAUCUAAGAAACUGUAUUGCAUUUAAUAUUUAAGGGAGAAAAAUAAUUAUAGUGUCUUUAUUAAUCAGUAAAAAAAAAAAUUAGAAUCAUAAUAAAUUGUAUUGUUAUUGAUGUAUUUAUUUUAUUUUAUACUCAAAAUAAAUUAUUUUAAAUUAUUAAAAUAAUUUAAAAUUAGUAUUUUAUUUUAUACUCAAAAUAAAUAAUUUAAAAUUUUCAUUUCUUGUUUAUUUCGCAAGUUGUUAUUGCCUAAUGCUAUGUCAACUCGAACAUUAGCAUUUUUUUUUUUGGUCCUCUUUUAACGCAAAAUUAGUGUAGGUUAAGUAACAUAAUCAAUAUUAGGACAAUUUGAAAUCCCUAUGGGUGCGUUUGGUACACUGUAUUGUAUUAUACUGUAUUGCAUUAUUUUAAUGCUGAUGUAUUGUAUUAUGUUGUAUUGCAUUAGCACUGUAUUAUAACAAUGCUAUACAAUAUUUGGUGUUACAUUGUACUGUAUUAGAUUUUAAUUAUAUUAUAUUUAGUGUUACAAUUGUUGUAACAUAAACACGACCAAAAUAAAUUGUACUAAAUAAUCUAAGUAAGAGUUCUGUAGUAUAUGUAAUAAUACUAUUUAUAUUAUUAUUAUUAAUAAUUCUAAAUUAAUAUUAUUUAAUUUUAUUCAUAUUUAAAUAUGUAUUAUUAGUUUAUUAAAUUAUUUAAAAUAAUUAAUUUAUAUAUAUUAAUUAUUGUAACUUAAUUAAAUAAUGUAAUGCUAUAUUAUAUUUUUAUAUACUAUUUAAGUAUUUAUUAUUAAUUAUAUUUAAUUAUAAAUUUAUUAAUAAAUUAUAAUAUAAAAAUAAAAAAUAAAAAUUAAUAUUGUAUAAUAUUAUAUUAAAUUAAAGUUUUAUUUUUAUUACUAUUAUUAUAAAGUAAAAAAAAAAAAAAGGGAAGCUACUGACUUUUGAAACACAAAAGUCAGUAAUACAACCUAAUCACGAGGGGGGGCGCGGGUUUUGAUAAUGCGGCAAAAGCUGCAUUGUAAUGCUGCUCAAUGCAAUCCAUUUGAUCACCAAACACAGGUAUAUUUUAACUAAUGCUGGGCCCACAAAAUAAUACAAUGCAAUUCCGCAUGCCAAACAUACCCUAUGGGUGCGUUUGGUACACUGUAUUGUAUUAUACUGUAUUGUAUUAUUUUAAUGCUGGUGUAUUGUAUUAUGCUGUAUUGCGUUAGCAUUGUAUUAUAAUAAUGUUGUACAAUGUUUGGUGUUACACUGUACUGUAUUAAUUUUUAAUUAAACUAUAUUUGGUGUUAUAUUGUAUUGUAUUAAUUUUUAUAAUUAAUUAAAUUAAAUAAUUAAAAAAUAAUAUUUAUUAAUACUUAGAAAAAUAAUAAAUAUAGAAAUCUUAAUUGUAGAAAUUUAACAAAUUUUUUAGUAAAUAUUAAAAAUUAAUGAUUAAAUUUCUAAAAUUUGUAUUAUAAUUAUGAUAAAAUAAAUUUAUAAAAUUUAAUAUUAUAUGUAAAUAAUAAAUUUAGAUUAUAAUUAAUAUUAUAAUUGUUAAUAUAAAUUAAUAAAUUAUUAUUCAAUAAUAUUCAAUUAUAUUUUAAUUUACAAUAUAUUAUUAUUUUUACAUUUUAAUAUAUUAAUAAAUUUAUAAUUUAACAUAAAUAAUUAUAAAUUUAAAUAAUAUUAAUUUUAAAAUUAAUAUUAAUGUAAAUAAUAUUAUAAUAUUAAUAUAUUAUUUUUAUAUGAAUCAUUAAUAAAUAAAAUAAUAUUAUCAUAUAAUUUAUUUUUAUAUUUUAUUCAUUAUAUUAAUAUUUAAUAAUAAAAUAAUUUAUUUUUAUAAUAUUUUAAUAAAAUAAAUUUGCCUCAAUUGAGGCAUUAACUGUUGCCUCAAUUGAGGCAAAAAGCUUCCGCAUCCCUCGGGUUUGCGUAAUGCGGCCCCAUGCCUCAUUAUGCUGCAUUAUAAUGCAGCAUAAUGAGGUGUCAAAUUUUGCCAAACAUGUUCUUGGUAAUAAACUAAUGUGAAUAGUAGUAUAAUACCACAUAAUCUCAUGCACCAAACACGCCCUAUGUGUAUUAUUCACGGUAUCUAUGAGGGCUUAUCCUUUUGCUAGAACAAACUCUAGCAAAUUGUCAAAUGUGCUUAUCCUUUCCCUUGACGACUCAUUUUAAAAUUGUCACUCAUUUUAAAAUUGUCUUUCAAUGCACAAACACAGACAUAACCGCCGACAUCGAGCACCAAGUUUGGAAUUUAAUUGAUAAGCAUACAUUUGAUAAAUUAAUGAAAAGUUUGGAGAGUAGUUUUGAUCACCCUUGAUUAGGACGGUAUUACAAAAAAGAUCAAAAAGAAAACAUCGUCUCUCUUCACAAAAAUAAAUAUUUUCCGUUAGAAUUUAAUACAAUAAUAUUUUUUUUGAUUAAAAUUUAAUUAAAUACACAAAUAAAUUAUAUAUUUUUUAAAAAAAUUUACACCCAGUCACAAGGCUGGCUAUUAAACUUAAAGGGUGGAAGCUUCGGAGACUAAAGUUGGUAACUUCUCCAAGUGGUCUUAAGUUGACCGGAACUACCCAGACUUUAUGUUUGGUAGCCUAGACCUGAUCGGACCUAGGCCCAAGUUUGGUCUUAAAGUCCACAAUUAAAUUAAAAAAAAAUUAUUUGAUUUGUAAUUGAUUUAUGGGGAAUGAAUCCGCAGCCCUAAAAUUACACCAAUCUUGACAUAAUGACAUCAUCGGUUAAAAACGUUCAGAUUUAUGGUUAAUCAAUGGUUUGAGAUUUGUUAUCAUUAAUGCUAGAUAUUUUUUAACAUUUUUUUCUAUCUCUCUUCUCCUGAAGGAUUUUCUAGGAAAAUGCAUCCACAACAAAAAUUUUAAAUUGUAAACAAUAAACAGAGUAUAAACGUUAAAUCUAAGGAACAUCGCUGCAUUUCAGCUGAAGCGAACUUUAAUAUUUUACGGAGAAAAAUAAUUAAGUCUUUAAUGUGAUUUAUUGAUUAAUAUAUAUGACUAAUUUUUUAAAAGAAGAUGAAGGAUGAAGCUUAAAAAUAUAAAUUAUAGAAUUAAUUUAUCUCUUCAAUAAAUCUAAAGUUUAUUUUUUUUAUUACAUGCUUCUAUUUUAUUUUUAUUCCAUGUUAAUGAAUGGAGAUUUAAAUCCAUUUUGGAUUUAUAAAGAUGUUUAGAUAUUUAAAUCCACGUGUGAUUCCAAACUUGAACCUUUUUUUUUUUUUUUUCUAAUUAAUGCAAACAGCCGCCUCUUUGACUGCUUUUCUUCUUUGUUUAUUAAUUAAUUAAUUCAGCUGCCCACCUUUCUUUUCCUAAUGUUUUCUACUCCCAAAUUUUUUUAAGGACAAGGCUACGUUGCAGACGCUGUACCUAACAGCUGCACCUUCGCCAGCUUAAAAAAGGGUGCAUUUGGUAAGCAACUUUUCUUUCGUGUGCAUAUGUGUCCUGCCACCAUUGGGUGUGUACGUAACAGAUAAUGUACCGUAACAAGCUCCUAUUUUUAAAUUUGUUUAUAAUGAUAAAAUAUAAAAAUUAAGAUUAAAAUGUAAUGUAAUGUAAAAUUAAAGGUGGAAGAGUAUUAAAAUAAGGCUAAACCUAUGUUACGUUUAACGUAACAUACAUUUAAAUAUAUAAAAUAUCAAUGGAAACCCUCAAAUUUUAUGGAAACUAUAUUAAUAAAAUUAAAAGAAAUAUUUUUAAAUCUGAAAGAAGAAAUAAAAGAUAUAAAGCAAGAGAUAGGAAAACUAAAAAUAGAAAUAUCUGUAAAAGAAAAAGGAAAAGAAAAAUUAGAAAUAAAAGAAACAACUCCAACUGAAUCGAAUUCAGACUAAUGGAAGAUGUAUUAGAAACUUUAACUGAAAAAUUCAGUGACAUAAAUCUUAGUGAUUUAGAAGACUUUGAAAAAGAAUAUUAGAUAAAAAUGAAUACUGCUGGAGGACCAGAAAUGAAACCUAAUGUAGCAUAACCAAGUCAUAGAUAUGGUAUAAAUAAAAUGAAAAAUAAACCUUUUUACGAGUAUAUACCUCCUAUUAAAAAUACUCCUUGGAAAAAAGAAUACAAACCAAAUCAAGAUACAUUAACCCCAAUAAAUAAUGCUGGAACAUUUUUAAAUCUAGAUUGUAAGAUAGACAUUCGAAAGGCGUUAGCAGAAUGGGUGUUACAAAUGAAAUUAUUUUUUAUAUUUAACGGGUCAAAGGAUGACUAGAAUGUAGAGACUGAAGAAGAAAAAAUAGAUAUAUUUGUUGAAAUCUUAAUAGCCAGUUUUUCAGGAAAUGUGUUUAAUUGGUGGAGAGGAUUAAGCGAUGAUACACAAAACUUAAUAAAAGAUUCAACCAAAUAGCAUUUAGAAAAAAUAAAGCCUUAGGAAUGGAAAGGAUAACUGAAUACAUAGCUAGUGAAUUUUUAGGAGAAGAUUGGCUAGAAAAAUCGGGCAUAUAUGAAAAUUUAAAAAUUUAUGAUAAAAAGAUCUUAGUGUUUUUAUUAAAAAAUUAAAAUUUACAUGACUAUUUCUUUAAAUAUUUAGGGCAUAUAUGAACCACGGAGGAGAAAAGCUUUAUUUAAUAUUUUAGAAUAGUUUUUGAUCAGUACAAUUGGGUCCUUAUUCAGAAUUAUUGUUCUCUUCCGCAACAGUUUUUGUUUAUCAAAGUCGUCAAUUAAAAUUUUAGAAUUCUUAUCAGAAGAAGUAGUCGUUUUAGAAGUUGGGUCUUGGAUCAAAUUUCUACGAGUGCAUGAAUUAACAAUAAAAAAAUUUCAUUACACACGGUUUAAGCUACAAACUACUAUUUGCACAGUUGACUAUAAAACUUACCUCCAAUUACACUAAACCUCUCUAUUUGGUAACGUUGAGACUAAAUUAAUUUUAUUAGCAUGAAAAGAUGAUAGAAAUAUAAUUAUAAAUAUUAUUGUUGUUAAUCAAUUAGUACAUGUGAUAUAAAGGUUAAAUGUGCACUAUAUUUAAUAAUUAAUUAGUGGAGCAUGUUAAACAAAAUGUUAAUGUAUAUUUAUAUAGUGUUAGGAAUAUGCAAAGUCAAGUCCUCAAUUUGCAUUAUCCUGUAUAGAAUAUUACUCUAAAAAUGUUUUACUAUAAUUGGCUUAGAACAUUUGUAAAGAAAAAUAAUAAUAAAAUAAUAAAUAACAUACACCGUCACAUAGCACCUAGACAAUGAUAGAAAAUUAUUAAAGAGAGUGCAAACAAUUAAUUAGAGAUUUUUAUGAUGACUUUUAAUAUUCAUGAUAAUAACAAAUAAAUACAUGUAUCACUUUUUUAAAAUAUUAAAUUUGACUGCUCCAUUAAUAAAUUAUUAUUGUAAUUCAGACUCUAUCUAUAUAUCCUUGCACUAAGAAUAAUUAAGGUAACGUUUGUUUUUUAACUUAAUGACUUAAAGUGACUUAACUUAAUUAAUUAAGUUAAUUAGAGGUGUUUGUUUUAUAACUUAAUGAGACUUUUUAGAUAAUUUUGACUUAAUAAAAUAAGCUAAUUUUUUUUGGCUUUUUACUUAAUGGAGAAAUCUGAAUUAAGUCAAUUACUUGCUAAUGUCAAAAAUAUCCUUGUUUUAUAAUUUAUUUUUCAUGUCUAUCCCAAAACUCGCCCGUAGAUAUUUACCCCACAUAAAAAUAUCCCUGUUUUUUUCUUUCUUAUAUUAUAUACGAUAAAAUUUGAAAUUUAUAGUAUUUUAUAUAUUAAAAUUCUAAAAUAAUUAUGUAUUCACUUGAAUAUAGUUUUACUUAUAAAUGUUAAAAUAUGAUGGUAUUUAAUAUAUUAUUUAUUUGACAUUCAAAUUUAAUAAGGAUACAAAUGUAAAAGUACAUAUUUUCAGCUUUUUAAAUUGAAAAAAAAUAACUUAAUAUUUAUUUUCUGAGAUUCAGACGAAAAAAUAAACAUAUUAUUCAGAUUCAUACAUUCAGAUCUAUUCAGAAUUCAAACUAAUUCAAGUCUAUUCAAAUUUUAGACAAAAAAAUAAACGCCACCUAAGUCAUAAUAAAAAUUUUCGUAACUACAUCUCGUUUCUUCCUCAUAAUAAUAAUUAGAUUGGUUCGAAUAUUAUAACUAUAUAGAUUUAGUGUAUAGCCACAUCCAAUUUAAAUAUUGACCCAAUUGGGAUGGUCCCCAAAAAAAAAGAUUCGUUAAAGGAUAAUUCUAAUUAUUUUUACUUCUCAAACGUUAGUGGGACGUUUCUAUUAGCGCACUCGUAAGCCAAGUUGUCAAAUAUUUAUACUAAACUACAAUUGCUAACAAGAAAAAUCAAGAUCGUGUUAAGCAAGUGGGUCCCGAAUAGGACGUGCAAAUCUCUCGUAAGUCAAGUUGUCAAAUGUUUAUAUAAAACUAACAAUUACUGACAAGAAAAAUCAAGAUCGUAUUAAAAAUGGGUCCCGAAUAGGAUUAUCUUUUUAAGAAUAUUAUUAUUUUAUUAUUAAAAUUUUAUUAAUAUAACAGUAUUAAAAUUUAUUAAAAAAUAUAUUUUAUUAUUAAAAUUUUAUACCGUUAUCAAUUUAUUAUUAUUUUAUUAAAAAAAUUAAUAUUUAACAAAAAUUGAGAUAAAAAUUAAUUUUUGUUCUCUGUCUUUAUUUAUUUAUUUAUUUUUUUGGGUCUUCUGCAAAUCACAAUCAAAUGUUGAAUUAUAAAUUUGCCGGCAUUGCUUUUUUUUUUUUUUUUGGGCCGGGGGGUGGUGUUGAAUUGAUGCUCUGGGUUUUUGACUUUUGUUGUCAAAUUUUACUCUGUUUUUCCCAAAUUGAUGCUANNNNNNNNNNNNNNNNNNNNNNNNNNNNNNNNNNNNNNNNNNNNNNNNNNNNNNNNNNNNNNNNNNNNNNNNNNNNNNNNNNNNNNNNNNNNNNNNNNNNNNNNNNNNNNNNNNNNNNNNNNNNNNNNNNNNNNNNNNNNNNNNNNNNNNNNNNNNNNNNNNNNNNNNNNNNNNNNNNNNNNNNNNNNNNNNNNNNNNNNNNNNNNNNNNNNNNNNNNNNNNNNNNNNNNNNNNNNNNNNNNNNNNNNNNNNNNNNNNNNNNNNNNNNNNNNNNNNNNNNNNNNNNNNNNNNNNNNNNNNNNNNNNNNNNNNNNNNNNNNNNNNNNNNNNNNNNNNNNNNNNNNNNNNNNNNNNNNNNNNNNNNNNNNNNNNNNNNNNNNNNNNNNNNNNNNNNNNNNNNNNNNNNNNNNNNNNNNNNNNNNNNNNNNNNNNNNNNNNNNNNNNNNNNNNNNNNNNNNNNNNNNNNNNNNNNNNNNNNNNNNNNNNNNNNNNNNNNNNNNNNNNNNNNNNNNNNNNNNNNNNNNNNNNNNNNNNNNNNNNNNNNNNNNNNNNNNNNNNNNNNNNNNNNNNNNNNNNNNNNNNNNNNNNNNNNNNNNNNNNNNNNNNNNNNNNNNNNNNNNNNNNNNNNNNNNNNNNNNNNNNNNNNNNNNNNNNNNNNNNNNNNNNNNNNNNNNNNNNNNNNNNNNNNNNNNNNNNNNNNNNNNNNNNNNNNNNNNNNNNNNNNNNNNNNNNNNNNNNNNNNNNNNNNNNNNNNNNNNNNNNNNNNNNNNNNNNNNNNNNNNNNNNNNNNNNNNNNNNNNNNNNNNNNNNNNNNNNNNNNNNNNNNNNNNNNNNNNNNNNNNNNNNNNNNNNNNNNNNNNNNNNNNNNNNNNNNNNNNNNNNNNNNNNNNNNNNNNNNNNNNNNNNNNNNNNNNNNNNNNNNNNNNNNNNNNNNNNNNNNNNNNNNNNNNNNNNNNNNNNNNNNNNNNNNNNNNNNNNNNNNNNNNNNNNNNNNNNNNNNNNNNNNNNNNNNNNNNNNNNNNNNNNNNNNNNNNNNNNNNNNNNNNNNNNNNNNNNNNNNNNNNNNNNNNNNNNNNNNNNNNNNNNNNNNNNNNNNNNNNNNNNNNNNNNNNNNNNNNNNNNNNNNNNNNNNNNNNNNNNNNNNNNNNNNNNNNNNNNNNNNNNNNNNNNNNNNNNNNNNNNNNNNNNNNNNNNNNNNNNNNNNNNNNNNNNNNNNNNNNNNNNNNNNNNNNNNNNNNNNNNNNNNNNNNNNNNNNNNNNNNNNNNNNNNNNNNNNNNNNNNNNNNNNNNGAAGGGUCUCUAAUCAAUAGCUGGAAGCAAUUGAGAAGGCGGUUGCUACAGUGAAUUCAAAUGUAAAAUGUUUGCUAUUCUUCGAUUUGGUUAAUGAUUUCGUAUGAAUAUUGUUGUUCCGUUGAGUUGCAUGCGAAUUCAAAUGCAAAAUAUUCUUCGAUUUUCAAUUUUGAAAUCAAAUUUUUUUUUCCUUCUCAAGCAUGUUAUGCAGAAACGAUUGUCAUGUUAUGCAGAAACGAUUUUUACUAAAUCAUUUUUAACAAACUAUUGAAAUUAAACCACUGGAAUAAGAAUUGUAAGGAUUUAUCGUAAGCUUACUAAUACGAUAAUUCUGAAACUAUCACCUUUUUUUUUUUAUUUGUUGCAGGGAAACCCAAAUUUUGUAUUUUGUCAAUUUCAUCUGAUAUGGAAUUUAUUUCCUCCCUAAAGAUUUAUCAAACUGCUUCUCUUCCCUGCUUCAAUAUCUUUAUGCAAUUACGAUCUCAUAGGAAAAGAGAGUUUGGGUUGUAUAUCUUAUAGUAUUUAUUUAUUUUUUGUUAAAAGAAAUUUAUUUUAAAAUAGUUUAUAGCAACAGUUUUUAUUUAACAAUAAUGAGGAAGGAUUAUUAUAGGUUCAAAUAGUUGUUAGAACAUUAUAAAAAAGUCCAUUUACUAUCAAAUGUUUUAAAUUGGUGCAACGUGAUAAUUGUCUCAUAUAAUUUUUUAAGGGUAAAAACUCGUUUCAUUCCCAUAUUUUAAGAUUAUUACUCAUUUAGUCUUUAUAUUUUUAAAAAUGUUUCAAAACAUUCAUACCCUUAAAUUAUUAACAUCUCUGCUGUUACUUUUUAUUUUUUUUUGACUUGUUUUUACAAUAUUGCCCUCUUACAAUAAUGUUUCUUUUUAUAAAAUUAAUAAAAAGAAAAAAAAUUAAAUUAUCAAUUUAACCCCAAAAAUAAAAUAAAAAUAAAAAGAAUAAAUAUUAAUUUUUGUGAAAGUUUACAUGUGUCCAAAAUAAAUUUUAUUGUAAAAAUAAUUAAAUUGCCUUUUUUUUGGACAUUAGUAAUAAAAAAAUUAAUAUAUUAAUUCCUCAGCAGUGUGUUACAAAAAAGUAAAAUAUAUUAAUUUUGUUUUUAUUUUAGACAAUGAGAUAGAGAAAAGUACAAGAUAAAGGAAAGGACUUCAAAACUCACUGUUCAUCAUAAUGCCCUUUGCCUUUAAAAAAAAAUCAUUCUAAUAUUUUAUAACACAUAAAAUAUAAUCCUAAGAUAAAUAUAAUAAUACAUAUUUUAAACUAAUCUCGAUAUUUAAAAUAUGUUUUAAUAUUUUAUAAUCUAUCAGACAUAUUUUAUUAUAUUAAUGUAAAAUUUAUAAUAAAUACAAACAUAUUAUUAAAAUAAAUAUAUAAAAAAUAUUUAUUUUUUAUAUGUUUACACUGAGGACUCUCUUUAAUUCAUUUAUUUUCUCUCUCUCCAAACAGGUACUGUCUUCAGUUAGCAAUGCUAUGAUAGUAAUCCAAUUCUCUUCUCCCCCACCUGAGCGAGAUUUGAAUUUGAAUCCCUUGUUUUUCACCCACUCUGUUUUUUUUCACGCAAGAUUUGACAAUUUGAGUUAAAAAAUAUGGUCCAAAACUUGAACACGUAUCUUUUAAUUGUAAUAAAAGUUCUUUAAGCUUUGGAGAUGGCAUAUAUAUGGCUGGAAGUGUCCUUUUCUUUGACCUAGAGGCAGCACCAAGCUAUCCAGCAUCAUCAUUUUUCAAGUGGGUCUUAAAUGCCUAGAAACGUUGGUGUUUCUUGAUUUAAAGAUGACACAUGCUAUAAGUGUGAAUGGUUUGGCUAAGCCUAAAUUUAAAGUCUACUCAAGUCGCAUUCAGGAUCAUGGAAAUUGGAAAGGGAGAGAUGAUAGCAAGAUUUAUAAUAAACAAUUAACUUGGGUCCUCAGUGUACAAAGCAAAUGCCACGCAAGCGAUAGCCGGCCCAGCCCAGAAAACCCAGUGGCGAUCCCAGAGAUGGCCUCCUCUAACGAGUGCUGGGCCCAAAAAUCUUUGCGGGUUGAGCCCAGCUCCGGCAUAGCCCUUUUGAGCAGUAACAGUUGUCGAGACAAAAACCAGAAGACCCAACACUGUUCCAAUGACAAUGCAUACGGUAAACUCUGCCAAGAGCCUUGGCUUGUCUGGAGUCAAAAGCCAUCCACACAGAAGCAAAAAGGAACACAAACGAGCAAAUUAUCUCAAGCCAAAGGGCCUGCCUAGUCCCCAAGCCGAUCUCAACAGGCCCAUCUGGCCCAGGUACGACAACAUUCAGGGUGCAGCCUCCAAGUUGUCAAAUAUUUAUAUUAAACUACAAUUGCUGACUAGAAAAAUCAAGAUCGUAUUACAAGUGGGUCCCGAAUUGGACGUGCCUAAAUCUUUUUAUAAUUUUCCCAGUGUAGCGGACAGAGGUCAUUACUAAAUUUCUCUUCCACACGCCACAGCAGCUUCGGUUAAUCAAACUCAAUCAAUUUUCUUGGCUUCUCCGCUUAUCAAUAUUACAAGGUAUGGGUAGCAUUUUUCAAAUCACAUGCGAUGGUACUAUUUUCAAUCGUUGCUUAGAUUGCUUUCUUGGAAAAGCAGCAUACAUAAGUAACCUCCAAGAUAAUCUUGUUGCCUUGGAGACUGAACUAAGGAAACUAAUCGCAGCAAAGAACGAUGUGAUGACGGCGGUUGUCAAUGCUGAACGGCAACAAAUGAGAAGGCUGGACCAAGUGCAAGUGUGGGUUUCGAGGGCGGAUGCUGUUAAAAAUGAAGCUGAUGAACUUAUCAGAGGCGGCUCUCAAGAAAUUGAAAAAUUAUGUCUUAGAGGGUUCUGUUCCAGGAACUGCACGUCAAGCUACAAGUUCGGAAAACAAGUGGCUAAAAAGCUACGAGCUGUGGAGACUUUAAUCGCCGAAGGAGUUUUUGAGGCGGUGGCUGCCGAGGUGGUGCCUGAGAGAGCUCCAGAGCCUGUAGCAGAUGAAAGACCUACCGAGCGAACAGUAGUAGGCUUGCAAUCACAACUUGAACAAGUCUGGAGAUGUCUUGCAGAAGAAUCAGCGGGAAUCAUUGGCCUAUAUGGUAUGGGCGGUGUUGGUAAAACUACACUAUUGACCUAUAUCAACAAUAAAUUUCUCGAGAGUCCAACCAACUUUGAUUGUGUGAUUUGGGUAGUAGUUUCAAAAGACCUGCGACUUGAAAAACUUCAAGAAAAUAUUGGGAAAAAGAUAGGUUUGGUUGAUGAUUCAUGGAAGAGUAAAAGUGUAGAGGAGAAAGCUCUCGACAUCUUCCGGAGUUUAAGAGAGAAGAGAAUUGUAUUGCUGUUAGAUGAUAUAUGGGAGCGGGUUGAUUUAACAAAAGUGGGCGUUCCACUUCCAGGACCACAAAAUACUACCUCAAAAGUCGUAUUCACAACCCGUUUGAUCGAUGUUUGUGGUAGCAUGGAAGCUGACAGGAAGUUCAAAGUAGCAUGCUUAUCAGAAAAGGAUGCUUGGGAACUGUUUCGAAAAAAAGUUGGGGAAGAAACUCUUGGAAGUCAUCAUGAUAUCGUUGAGCUAGCCCAAACUGUGGCCAAAGAGUGUGGUGGUUUGCCACUCGCACUUAUUACUAUCGGUCGAGCUAUGGCCUACAAAAAGACAGCCGAAGAGUGGAGACACGCAGUUGAAGUUCUAAGAAGAUCAGCUUCGGAAUUUGCAGGUUUGGGAAAAGAGGUGUAUCCUCUUUUAAAGUUUAGCUAUGAUAGUUUGCAGAAUAAGACGAUUAGAUCUUGUUUCUUAUAUUGUUGUUUAUAUCCUGAAGAUUAUGGCAUUCUUAAAUGGGACUUGAUUGACUGUUGGAUUGGUGAGGGAUUCUUAGAGGAAUCUGACAGGUUUGGUGCAGAAAACCAAGGAUACUACAUUGUGGGCACUCUUGUUCAUGCGUGUUUACUAGAAGAGAUAGAAGAUGAUAAAGUAAAAAUGCAUGACGUUGUUCGUGAUAUGGCUCUAUGGAUAGCUUGUGAAAUUGAGAAGGAGAAGAGAAACUUUUUGGUUUGUGCAGGUGCGGGACUAAAGGAGGCACCUGAUGUUAAAAGAUGGGAAAAUGUGAGAAGAUUGUCAUUGAUGCAAAACCAAAUUGAAACUUUGUCAGAGGUUCCUGCAUGCCCUCAUCUCCAUACUCUAUUUCUUGCCUCUAAUAAUAGUUUGCAGAGGAUCACCGAUGGCUUCUUCCAAUUUAUGCCUUCUCUCAAAGUUUUCAAGAUGUCAAACUGCGGGAAUUUAAUUUUGGAAUUACCUUUUGGGAUGUCAAAGUUGGGUUCAUUGGAACUUCUCGAUAUUUCACAUACCUACAUACAAGAGUUACCACAAGAGUUAAAGUUGUUGGUAAAUCUGAAAUGUUUGAAUUUGAG
rnacentral:lncRNA from 1 species